CGGAGUGUAACUUCGACAGUCGCAUAGCGUACGGUCACCUUGGGUGCCCGAAAUCUGCGACCAGCUGCUCUUGGACAGGACUGUGCAUGAGUCAGGGGUGUAACUUCACCUACUGCGUAUAUAGAUAAGAUAGGCAGGCAUGUCGACCUGAUAGAAUAACAAAGAUGAUACCAUGGAUGGCAAUGCAGUAUGUAGUUUUAUUCGCUGCAAAGUGAUGUACGUGAAUGGUGAAUUAUUUACAUGCCUACCAUGGAUAUGUCUCGUUUUUCAUAUUAUCCUGAAAUAAAAAGUGUUCACUUUAGAGUCAAUUACAUCACAGGUGUCUGAACUUGACGAGAAAAUUCAUUCUCGAAAAAAAAACUUGACGAGAAAAGUCAGUUUGGUACUAAAACUUGCAGCAUAAUUGAACCAAUGAAAACACUUGGCUUGGGCGUGCAUCUAUGUGCUCAUCAUGUUUGUAUACAUACAAUGUGUUGAAGUGGCGCGCCAGCAUGACGUGGGCCCCAACAGACAGUGAUUGGGAGGUGGGGAUGAGGGUGUGUGGCCUUUUUUGGCAGAAAACACCUUAAAUUUAUUAUUUUGUCACGAAAAAGCCCCAGGAAUCUUUUUGUUUUUCUAAAACUCCCCUAGAUGUGUCUCUAUGUCCCUUGGGACCCACCCAUCACGAAACAAUACAAAGAGAAAUUAAUACCCGCGAACUAGUCCGUUAAAGAUGGUCACGCUAGCCAUCACACCAACUCUUAGAGCAUCUCCAGUCAUUGCCUCCCAGGAGGCAUAAAAAUCGCCGCCUGGAGGCGAGCCGGCGGUAGAAUCGGCUCUGGGGGCGGUUGGGCAUCCAGCCGUCGCCCCCAGGUCGCCCCUAGGUGUCGAUAUCGGCCCAAUCCUAGCUGCCUUUCGGCCCACCUUCGGCGAAAAAUGGCCCGAUAUCGGCACAAAUCGGCCCAUAUUCGGCGUGGUUUUUGAGUUAAAUAUUCAUCACAGGAAAUCAAGAAAAAUCUAAAUAGUUCAACAAAUAGUACAACAAUGGAUAGUUCAAUAAAAACUCAUAAUUCAUUACACGUCGAGGUAGGCGUCACCCUUGAUCCUCCAUAGGUGCUCCACCAGAUCCUGCUGCAGUUGUUAAUGCACCUGUGGGUCUUGGAUCUCCUGACGCAUAUUGAGGUAGGCAGUCCAUGUUGCCGGUAGCUGGUGAUCAACUUCGGCUAGAGGACCCUGCCUGCAGUAUGGUUCAGUGUCAAACAAUGGCUCUUCCUGCUCGCUCUCGAUGAUCAUGUUGUGUAAGAUGACACAACAAGUCAUGAUCUCCCACAUUUGAUAUUUCGACCAAGUUUGAGUAGGGUACCGGACAACAACAAAUCGAGAUUAGAGCACACCAAAUGCCCGCUCGGCAUCCUUCCUGCAAGCCUCCUGCACCUUGGCAAAGUGGGACUUCUUGCCUCCUGGCACAGCUUUUGAGAUAGUCUUCACAAAUAUAGACCAUCUUGGAUAGAUGCCAUCAUCUAGGUAGUACCCCUUAUUGUAGUGCCACCCAUUGACCUUGAAGUUCACCGGAGGAGAAUGACCUUCAACAAGCUUGGAAAAGACAUGGGAGCACUGCAGCACGUUGAUGUCACUGUGAGUUCCUGGCAUACCAAAGAAGGAGUGCGAAAUCCAGAGGUCCUGUCUGGCCACCGCCUCAAGUACCACACCGCAACCGCCUUUGGCGCCUUUGUACAUCCCCUGCCAAGAAAAUAGGGAGUUCUUCCAUUUCCAAUGCAUGCAGUCGACGCUUCCAAGCAUCCCAGGAAAUCCUCUUGCUGCAUUCUGUGCUAGGAUCCGAGCAGCGUCUUCCGCAUUGGGUGUUCGCAAGUAUUGCAGUCCAAACACUGCCAUCACUGCCGUGCAGAACCUGUAGAAACACUCAAUGGUGGUGGACUCGGACAUGCGCCCAUAGUCGUCGAGUGAAUCAUCCGGAGCUCCGCAUGCAAGCAUCCUCAUGGUUGUCAUGCACUUCUGGAUUGAGGUGAAUCCAAGUUUGCCGGUGCAAUCCAUCUUGCACUUGAAGUAGCUGUCGAACUCCCGGAUGGAAUUCACAAUCCUGAGGAAAAGCUUUCGACUCAUCCGAUAACAGCACCAACAUACUUUGUCGCCGUGCAGUGGAGCGUCGGUUAAGUAGUCGGAGUAGAGCAUGCAUUAGCCCAAGAAGAUGUCGGUUCUUUGCUUUCAUCCACCUCGGUGUCGAGCCAGCUCGCCGUGGCUUUUCAUUGCUCGCCAACAGGCCGGCGAGGGCGGCGAGGAUCAUGAGAUGUUCCUCUUCCUGAACGUCGGCAUCGGCUUCCUCCUCUAGUAGCGUGGCGAGUGCCUCCUCGUCGUCCAAGUCCAUUGCCGAGCCAGGCAAACCGCCGAACACCUUGCGGGCGCGGCUGGGCGCGCACCCGCCGCUACACUGCCCCUCUACGGCCGGAACGCCGAAAAUAUCGCCUAGACGGUGGUGGAGAGGCUGCCUCGGUGAAACCUCUACUCUUUUUCUGGGGGGAAAUGGCCUAUCUAGCAGUGGUGGGUGGUGGGCGGCGCCGGGAUCAGCCGGGUGGCGGGCGAGCACGCGGAGGGUGAGAGGCGAAUCUGGACGAUAGGCUUGACUUUUUGCCUGACGGUGUGGGUCAGACGUGCUUUUCCCUUGCGCCGGAGCCCCCGAGCGCCCCCCCAUUGCGUUGGGUACGUCCUGCGGUCGCCGGGCNNNNNNNNNNNNNNNNNNNNNNNNNNNNNNNNNNNNNNNNNNNNNNNNNNNNNNNNNNNNNNNNNNNNNNNNNNNNNNNNNNNNNNNNNNNNNNNNNNNNNNNNNNNNNNNNNNNNNNNNNNNNNNNNNNNNNNNNNNNNNNNNNNNNNNNNNNNNNNNNNNNNNNNNNNNNNNNNNNNNNNNNNNNNNNNNNNNNNNNNNNNNNNNNNNNNNNNNNNNNNNNNNNNNNNNNNNNNNNNNNNNNNNNNNNNNNNNNNNNNNNNNNNNNNNNNNNNNNNNNNNNNNNNNNNNNNNNNNNNNNNNNNNNNNNNNNNNNNNNNNNNNNNNNGAUGUCCAUCACGCACAUGGGGCUAAACUGAGCUGCACAGCGGCCCAUUUUUCACACGAUAGUUUUUAGUUAAUAAAUACUAUUUAUAUUUAUUAUUUUAAUUUUCUUUUUCAAAUUAUAAAAUAAUAAUUUUUACAGUUACGUGAAUAUUACUUUGAAUAAUAAUAUUUCUCUUAAAGCGAAUACAUGAAUAUAGCCUAAAAAUACACUGUUUUUUUCUGAAUACAUUAAUAAUAUUUAUGUAAUUCAAAUGAAUACCAUUAUUUUGGUUAUGUAAACAUUUCUAAAUAGUCAUGUGUAUUUUUUUGAAUUGUGUGAACAUUAUUUUAAAUAAGAACAUUUUUUAGAAUUGCAUGAACAUUAGUUUAAAUAAGUAUAUUCUUUAUAAUUACGUGAACAUUAUUUUAAAUAGUUUAUUUCAUUUGUAGUGACAUUAUUUAUAAUUUAAAUAUUUCUAAGGGUUGUUUUGUGUUGAUUUAAAUAUUUCUAAGUUUUUAGACAAUCUCACGAAGCUUUAUUCAACCGUCACCAUGUUGACACGGCGAAUGGAAUGCCGACGGGCUGUCCUGACCAAACAUGUCGGCCAGGCCCUAACUGCAACGCAUGCUUCGCUAGAUUGUGAGCCUCAAUAUUUGAGCUCUUAAAUUCGUGGACUAUAUUACAUGAAGUAAAAGUAGUGGAAUUAAAUCUAAUCUCCUGAAUGACCGCUCCAUAGACGGAACCACUUCCACGAUGAAUUUCUUCCACAACACCUCGGCAAUCUGACGCUGGAUGAAUCCGAUGCAAGUUCAAGUCUUGAGAUAGGGACAAACCAUCCCUAAUCGCCAUUGCUUCCAGUGUAGCCGGGUCCCCUAUGUUUGGGAAUACUUGGGCCGAAGCACCUAAGAAAAUUCCUUCCGUGUUUCUGCCAAUAACCCCUACAACACCAUACCCGACGGAUCCUCCCACCGUUGCAUCGACAUUAAAUUUCAUGUGUUGCUCUAGAGGAGCUAACCAGCCCCCUCGCCUUGGUGCCACAGCGCCCUGAACUUUGUAUAUUGGUGUUAAAACCUGCAGUUCCCCCAGGUAUGCAUUUACAAAAUCAUGAGUAGCAUGUGGGCUUUUAUAUAUGUCCUCAUAUAUUGCCUUGCGUCGAGCGCCCCAAAUGGCCCAUAAUGUUACUGCAAACCUGACAAAAUCCUCUCUUGGAAGUGCUUUCCCAAUAGAAAAAAUCCAACUUUUUGCACACUCCUGUUGGUUGAUGCUGAGUUGAUCAAGAAUGGCUUCAGAAGAAAGUGCCCAUGUACUGCAGGACACCGGGCAAUUCAACAACGCAUGCCUCCACGUAUCAUGAGCUUUGCAUAGACUACAUGACGAAGUAGUUGCCAUAUUUCCAUGAUUAAGCAUUGCCCCUGACGGUAUAGAGUUUUUAGCCAAGCGCCAUAGGAAAACUCUAAUUUAGAUGGAACUUGCAGCUUCCACAAUGCUUUCCAUUCAUUACCCUCUUCAUGGUGUGAAGUUUCUACUCUGCCCUCAAGCCAACCCUCCCAAUUGAGCUUAGUCCGUAGUAGCAUCCGGUAUGUCGAGCUGACUGAGAAGUUGCCUCGUGGUUCCUCACUCCACGCGCAAAAUUCAGCAAGCCUGCGAGUACAUAAAGGAAUUUUGAGUAUUACCUCAGCAUCAAUUGGUGUAAACAUUGUCCGAGCAAGAUCCUCUUUCCAGGAAGUUGUAGCUGCUUCAAUCAAUUCUGACACUUUUCGAUGGGGGUUCUGAACUAAAGAGAGGUAACUGGUCUCUUAUAACUUUCUCUAGGCAGCCAGUUUUGCUCCCAUAUGUCCGUACUUUCUCCAUCUCCUAUCCGACGUAUGAUACCUUAUGCCAUUAUAUCUCUUCCAUCAAGAAUAGCUCUCCAAAUCUACGAGGGGUGGGAUCCCAAUUCUGCAUGCAGUAGAGCACAGUCUGGGAAAUAGAUAGCCUUCAAAAAAAUUUCACUCAAAGAGUCCGGAUCAUCCAUGAACCUCCAUGCCUGUCUAGCCAAAAGUGACAAAUUAAAGAGCUCUAGGUCCCGAAAGCCAAAAUCCCCCAUGUACUUCGGCGUUGUCAUAGCAUCCCAGGCUACCCAUGCUGGUUUUCGUUUCCCUCUCUUGCUUCUUCACCAAAACUGCCUGAUGAUAGAUGUGACAUUCUCACACAAACCUCUAGGAAGCCUGAAACAAUACAUAGAGUAUACCACCAACUUUAUGAGCACCUCCUUUCUAGCUGCUGACAAUGAUUUCCCCAUCCAUCCUUUCACCUUUUCCCACACUCCGUACCACAAAAAAUUGGAAGUACCAUUCUUUGAGUGUCCCACUUCCGUUCGCAUGCCCAAAUAAUGAUCGCUGAGAGACUCAUUUUGUACCUGGAGUUUCCCCUUCACCUCGUCCCUUACUACUUGGGGACAACCUUUACUGAAGAAGAUGAAUGACUUUGAAUUAUUUACUUUCUGACCUGAGGCCCUGCAAUAUAAGUCCAGUAGGUUUGAUACCUUCUCUGCACCCUCCACACUAGCCUUGAAUAGCAACAGGCUGCCAUCUGCAAAUAAAAGAUGGUUAAUGGUAGGAGCCGUUGGCACCACCUUAACACCUGCCAACAAUGAUGACUGAGAAGUGGAUUUCAGGAGGCAUGAAAGGCCCUCUGCUGCAAUCAAGAAAAGGUAAGGGGAUACUGGAUCUCCCUGCCAAAGCCCACUAGAGUGAACUGCCGAAGCUUCUCUCCAUUAAAUAGAACUGGAAAGGACACACUGGAUAUCAUAGACAUGACUGUGUCAAUUCAUCCUUGUGCGAAGCCCAACUUACCCAUUAUAUUUCUCGGGUAAGCCCACUCCAACCUAUCAUAAGCUUUCAUCAUAUCCAGCUUGAGAGCACAAAAGUUGUUAUUCUUUGACCUGCUAUGCUUCAUGAAAUGUAAGCAUUCAUAGGCACAAAUGAUAUUAUCUAUUAUCAACCUCUCUGGCAUAAAGGCAGACUAAUCCUGCGAAAUUAUAUUUGGUAACACUUUUUAACCUAUUGGCCACUACCUUUGAUGCUAUCUUAUACAAAACAUUGCAUAAACUGACCGACCUAAAUUGUGGAAGGAGGGUGGGGUUAGUUACCUUCGGGAUAAGUACCAAGAUAGUAUUGUUUAUGCAUUCAGGGCUCUCCUCUCCUCUAACAAUUCUGAUAACUAUGUUUGUCACAUCAUCCCCACAGGCAUCCCAGUGCUUCUGAUAGAACUAGGCUGGGAAGCCAUCAGGGCCUAGUGCCUUUGUGGGGAACAUCCGGAAGAGUGUUGUUUUGACCUCCUCUCAUGUGUAAGGGGCACAUAGAUCAUAAUUCAUGGCCACUGUAACCUUGCGUGCAACAUGUUGAAGCACCUCCUCUAUGCCUUGCACCCCUUUGGAAGUGUAUAAUUGCUCAUAGAAAGCAGUUGUCAUUGAUCUCAAUUCAGUGGGGUCGUCCACCAUAACCCCCUCAAGAGCUCUAAUCAUAUUCUUUUUCCUCCGUAGACUGGCCCGCAGAUGAAAGAACCUUGCGUUUUUGUCACCUGGCGAGAGCCGCUCCACAUGGGCCUUUUGCCUCCACAUGAUCUCCUCACAAUGAUACAGCUCAAUCAAACACUCAUUAAUUUUCAACUCUCAUGGGUAGGAGCCGAGCGUAGCGGAUCCCUCGCAGUUCUUCAAGUUUUUGUUUCACACUUUUUAUUUCAUGCCUGACACUCCCAAAAUACUGCUUACUCCAAAUGGAUAACCCCCUAGAGACACUCGCCAAUUUAUUAUGUAGUUGUUGGAUGUUUUCUCAAGGGCCUCCUACAAGCCAUUCGGUGUUGACAGUCCCUCCAAAUUCCUCGUGUUGUUCCCACAUAGCCUCAUACCUAAACACCCGAGGUGGUAUUGUUGCAUGCACUUGUCCAAAAUCAAGGAGUAUUGGUCCAUGAUCAGAAGUAGCAAUGAUGUUCCAGACUUGCCGCAGGGAACUGCGCCAUCCACUGGGGGUUGACUAGCGCCCGGUCCAAUCUACACCUAGUAUAAGUCCCGCCGGCCACUUUGUUUUCAAAAGUCCAAAACCUUCCUUUGUAUCCAAUGUCCAUAAACAUGCAAACAUCCGUAGUCUCUCUAAAAUCUUGGAUUUGUGCAUUACUACAUUGACCAACCCCCUCAUGCUCACUUGGACAUAAAACUUCAUCGAAAUCACAACCACAGCCACGGGAGGGAGCCCAAUGUGCUUAUGUUUUUUAAAUCUGUCCAUGUCUGGUGCCUGAGGUGAGUUCGAUUCUCUCCAUAAACAUAGGUUAGUCUCCAAAGAUCCUAACCGUUCUCCUCAAUGGGCACGUCUAUAUGAUAACAAGAAUAACCCAGAACUUCAACUUUUAUUUCAUUGUUCCAAAACAAACCUAAUCCACCACUUCUACCUUGACUAUCAACUGCAAAUGCUUUAUCAUAACCCAAAGUACUAGCUAAAGAUUCUACCCUAGAUCCAUCGAUCUGUGUUUCAACAAUGCAUAAGAUGGUAGGGGGAAACUUCUUCAUGAAUUCGAGAAGCUCUUGGACUGUCGCAGCGUUUCCCACACCACGACAGUUCCAGCAUAACAUAAUCAUUGGCCCGGGUGGCGCUCCUCGAAGGAGCCCGCCAAAAUUUUCACCAGUUUGCUCUCACUAUCUCCAUGUACUUCUCCUGUGUGAGUGUGCUUGGGAUCCCUGGUAGGUGGUGGGCUGAUAACAUUGGCGCCAAAAGGAACCAUAGUUAGCUCAUUGUCCUUGGCAUCUGCUACAUGUUUCGCUUGUCCCGUUUUGGCAUUGGAAACACCAUCUGUUUAUUCUCCUCUAUUGUGGUACCAUUCAUCCAACAUCAUGUCACUAGCUGUUGAGUCUGGUUCUUCCUCAUGCCUGUAUAGUUCAUUCCCAUAUGCCUCCUUCCCAGCAUCCCGGUUAACCUGUUCGGCCACCUCUAUGCCCCCCCCCCCCGACGUCCAGGGCCACCACUAGAACUACGGCCAACCCGCAUCGUCCAGGAGGCUCGGAAUUCUUUAAACACUAGUGCAGUUGUGCUCUUUAAAAACAUGAACCAAGGUCCACAUACUGCACACCAAUCAGGGAGGCGCUCAUACUUGACCCUAUAAAUUUGCCUCUCCUUAUUUCUGAUUAGGGACAUCACAUUCUUCAGAGGAUUGUGGACGUUGAUCCUGACCCAGGUGUGGUAAAAAUUACCCGUGAAGUCAUAGGAAGACUUCUCGACAUGUAGUACUUCUCCUAGUUUUGCAUCGAGCGAUGGAAUCAGAUGAGCAUAAUGUUGGGCAACAUUGCAUGGGAAAAAAAUUCUUAUGCUCACCAAAAUCAAUCUAGGAGAAGGACAUAUACGAGAGGAGAGAUUGCAUCUACAUACCCUUUUAGAUUGCUAAGAGGAAGCAUUAAGAAACGUGGUUGAUGUAGUCGAACGUCACGUUCCAAUCAUGAUCCGUUCCGCGAACUCUUGAUCUAGUGCCGAACGGACGGCACCUCCGCGUUCAACACACGUACAUCUUGAUGAUGCCUUCACCUCCUUGAUCCAGCGAGCGAUGGUGAAGUAGUAGCUCGAGUCCUCCGGCAGCACGACGACAUGAUAGCGGUGGUGGUGGAGAAAUCUCGGUAGAGCUUCACCAAGCACUACAGAGAAGAAGAUGGACUACGAGGGGGAGGAGGAGCAGUGCCGUGGCACAAAUAGAUCUGUAUGGGUGCGGCUGCCCUCUCUCCACCUCUCUAUAUAUAGGGGGAAGGGAGGAGGAGGGGGCACUGCUAGAUCCAAUCUAGGGGCGGAGGCCAACAAGGGGAAACGCUAGAUGGGUUUUGGCCCCCCACCCCUUAGGAGACUUGGACCCCAAGGCAAAGGGGUGUCCUGCCCUAGGGAGGCGCCCCACCUCCUCUCGCAACGUGGGAAGGGGACUUGGGAGGUGCACAGCCCCUUAGUGGGCUGGUGUGCGCCCUCCACUUGGUCCAUGAGGCCCCCCAACACUUNNNNNNNNNNNNNNNNNNNNNNNNNNNNNNNNNNNNNNNNNNNNNNNNNNNNNNNNNNNNNNNNNNNNNNNNNNNNNNNNNNNNNNNNNNNNNNNNNNNNNNNNNNNNNNNNNNNNNNNNNNNNNNNNNNNNNNNNNNNNNNNNNNNNNNNNNNNNNNNNNNNNNNNNNNNNNNNNNNNNNNNNNNNNNNNNNNNNNNNNNNNNNNNNNNNNNNNNNNNNNNNNNNNNNNNNNNNNNNNNNNNNNNNNNNNNNNNNNNNNNNCUGGUCAUCACCAGGUACCCUCGGAACACUUCCGGACUCCAAUACCCUUCGUCCAAUAUUUUCUUCCUAAUUCAUCAAAGGUUACUAUUUCUUCUUUAUUCGGGUCUAUCUCUUGGACCUCUUUUUCUUUUGCUUAGGUUUAGCCGAGGUAGUGGACAAACAGAGGGGAAGAAAAUAUGGCGGGGGACAAAUUUCUUGUGAUUGUGAGCAAAUAGAAUUGCUUGUCUUGUUUAAUUAUGUUCAAAUUGAAAUUUACAGAAAUUUUGCAAAAAAAGUAAACUCUUCCAUUGAAGAUUUUUUGACCAUUCCGGAGUUCCUCUUCAUGUCCGGGGUCUCAUCCGGGACUCCGAACAACCUUCAGUAACCACCAUAAUGACUCAACUAUACUUAUAUUGUCACCAAAUGUUAAGUGUGUAGACCCUCCGGGUUCGAGAACUAUGUAGACAUGAUCGAGACACCUCUACGGUCAAUAACCAAUAGCGGGACCUGACUGCCCAUUUUGGCUCCUACAUAUUCGACGAAGAUCUUUAUCGAUCAAACCUUGGUGUCAAGGAUUCAGCUAAUCUCGUAUGUAGUUCCAUUUGUCGAUCGGUAUGGUACUUGCCUGAGAUUCGAUCGUCGGUAUCUCCAGACCUAGUUCAAUCUCGUUACCGGCAAGUCUCUUUACUCAUUCUGCAAUACAAGAUCCCGUGACUAACUUCUUAGUCGCAUUGCUUGCAAGAUUCUUGUGAUGUUUUAUUACCGAGAGGGCGUAGAGAUACCUCUCUGUCAUACGGAGUGACAAAUCCCAGGCUUGAUCCAUGCCAACUCAACAGACACCCUCGAAGAUACCUGUAGAGAACCUUUAUAGUCACCCAGUUACGUUGCGACAUUUGGUACACACAAGGUACUCCUCGGUGUCAGUGAGUUGCAUGAUCUCAUGGUCAUUGGAACAUAUACUUGACAUGCAGAAAAUGAUCGCAAUAAACUUCACACGAUCAUAUGCUACGUUUCUAGUUUGGGUCUUGUCCAUCACAUCAUUCUCCUAAUGAUGUGAUCACGUUCUCAAAUGACAACUCAUGUCUAUGGAUAUGAAACCAUAGCCAUCUUUGAUCAACGAGCUAGUCUAGUAGAGGCUCACUAGGGACAAGUUGUUGUUUAUGUAUCCACACAUGUAUCCGAGUUUCCGAUCAAUGCAAUUCUAGCAUGGAUAAUAAACUUUUAUCAUGAACAAGGAAAUAUGAUAAUAACUAAUUUAUUAUUGCCUCUAGGGCAUAUUUCCAACAGUCUCCCACUUGCACUAGAGUCAAUAAUCUAGUUCACAUCACCAUGUGAUUAUAUAACACCCAAUGAGUUCUAGGGUUUGAUCAUGUUAUGCUUGUGAUAAAGGUUUUAGUCAACGGGUCUGCAACAUUCAGAUCCGCGUGCUACCGCACUCCACUUGGAUCUAUUCCAAAUGGCUGCUCCACUAUAAGUAUCUGGUUUGCUAAGACUCAUCCAGAUUGGUGUUAAAGCUUGCAUCGAUGUAAUCCUUUACGCCGAACUCUUUAUCACCUCCAUAACCGAGAAACAUUUCCUUAUUCCUCUAUGGAUAGUUUUGACCGCCUUCCAGUGAUGAUCCACUCCUGGAUCACUCUUGCACACCCUUGCCAGACACGUGGCAAGGCACACAUCAGGUGCGAUACACAGCAUGGCAUACCGUAUAGAGCCUAUGGCUAAGGCAUAGGGGAUGACCUUCGUCCUUUUUCUUUCCACUGCUGCGAUCGAGCUUUGAGUAUUACUCAACUUCACACCUUACAACUCAGGCAAGAACUCCUUCUUUAACUGAUCCAUUUUGAACUCCUUCGAAAACAUGUCAAGGUAUGUGCUCUAUGAAAGUCUUAUCAUGCAUCUUGAUCUAUCUCUAUAGAUCUUGUUGCCCAAUAUGUAAGCAGCUUUACCCAUGUCUUCUUUUGAAAAACUCCUUUCAAACAACCCUUUAUGUUUUCCAGAAAUUCUACAUCAUUUACGAUCAACAAUAUGUCAUCCACAUAUACAUAUCAGAAAUGUUAUAGAGCUCCCACUCACUUUCUGGUGUAUACAAGUUUCCUGCAACCUUUAUAUAAACCCAAAAGCUUUGAUCACCUCAUCAAAGCAUAUGUUCCAACUCCGAGAUGCUUGCUCCAGUCCAUAGAAGGAUCACUGGAGCUUACAUACCUUUUAGCAUCCUUAGGAUCGACAAAACCUUCUGGUUGUAUCACAUACAACCUUUCCCCAUGGAAACCGUCAAGGAAACUUUGUUUUGACAUCCAUCUGCCAGAUUUCGUAAUUGAAAAUGCAGCAACUGCUAACAUAAUUCCAACAGACUUUAGCAUUGCUAUGAGUGAGAAAGUCUCGUCAUAGUCAACUCCUCGAACUUGUCGGAAACUUCUUUGCGACAAGUUGAGCUUCAUAAAUGGUGACAUUACCAUCAGCGUAUGUAUUCUUCUUAAAGAUCUAUUUAUUCUCAACGGCUUGCUGAUCAUCGGGCAAGUCCACCAAAGUCCAUACUUUGUUCUAUUACAUGGAUCCUAUCUUAGACUUCAUGGCUACUAGCCAUCUAUUGGAAUCUGGGCCCACCAUUGCUUCUCCAUAGCUCGUAGGUUCACCAUUGUCCAACAGCAUGACCUCCAAGAUAGGGUUACCAUACCACUCAAAAGUUGUGCGUACCCUUGUUGACCUACGAGGUUCGACACUAACUUGAACUGACGUAGCUUCAUGAUCAUCAUCAUUAGCUUCCUCUUAAACUAACGUAGGUGCCAUAGAAACAUCUUUCUCUGCUGCGCUACUCUCUGGUUGAAGUAAAGGUUCAACAACCUCAUCAAGUUCUAUCUUCCUCACACUUAAUUCUUUUGAGAGAAACCCUUUCUCAAGAAAGGACCCGUUCUUAGUGACAAACACUUUGCCCUCAGAUCUGAGAUAGAAGGUAUACCCAACCUUCUCUUUUGGGUAUCCUAUGAAGACACAUUUGUCCGCUUUGGGUUCGAGCUUUUCUGACUGAAGCCUUUUGACAUAAGCAUCGGAGCCUCAAACCUUAAGAAACGACAACUUAGGUUUCUUGCCAAACCAUAGUUCAUACGAUGUCAUCUCCACGGACUUGGAUGGUGCCUUAUUUAAAGUGAAUGUAGUUGUCUCUAAUGCAUAACCCGAAAACGAUAGUGGUAGAUUGAUAACCCGCAAUUAUACGGGAUAGUUGUAGCCUCUUUCAAUAAGUAAGAGUGUCAAACCCAACGAGGAGCUAAAGGUAGAACAAAUACUCUCUCAAGUCCUAUAGGCCACUGAUACGACUCUACGCACGCUUAACGUUCGCUUUACCUAGAACAAGUAUGAAACUAGAAGUACUUUGUAGGUGUUGUUGGACAGACUUGCAAGAUAAUAAAGAACACGUAUAUAAAAGCUAGGGGCUGUUUAGAUAAAGAAGCAAUAAAGUAAAUAUAGUGAGUGUGGAAAAGUGGUGGUAGGAGUUGUGAAAUUGUCCCUAAGCAAUUGACUACGUUACUAUACCGGUAAUCACUAUUGCAAUUCUAUUUGAGGGAGAGGCAUAAGCUAACAUACUUUCUCUACUUGGAUCAUAUGCACUCAUGAUUGGAACUCUAGCAAGCAUCCGCAACUACUAAAGAUUCAUUAAGGUAAAACCCAACCAUAGCAUUAAAGUAUCAAGUCCCCUUUAUCCCAUACGCAACAAUCCCCUUACUCGGGUUUGUGUUUCAGUCACUCACGCAACACACUAUAAGCGAAUCAUAAACGUAUUGCAACACCCUACAGCGGGAAUCCCUCACGCUUGCACGACACGGAGGGCACAAUAGGACAGCACCAAUAAUAAAACAUGCAACUCAAACCAAUCAUAGCAAUUCAUCAAUCAUCGAUAGGACAACGGAAAUCUACUCAGACAUCAUAGGAUGGCAACACAUCAUUGGAUAAUAAUAUGAAGCAUAAAGCACCAUGUUCAAGUAGAGGGUACAGCGGGCUGCGGGAUAGUGGACCGCUGUAGAUAGAGGGGGAAGGUGAUGGAGAUGUUGGCGAAGAUGACGGAGGUGUUGGUGAAGAUCGCGGUGAUGAUGAUGGCCCCCGGCAGCGUUCCGGCGCCACCGGAAGCAAGGGGGAGAGAGCCCCCCUUCUUCUUCUUCUUCCUUGACCUUCUCCCUAGAUGGGAGAAGGGUUUCCCCUCUAGUCCUUGGCUCCCAUGGUGUGGGAGGGGUGAGAGCCCCUCCGAGAUUGGAUAUAUCUCUCUAUUUUUGCGUUCCCAGAUUCUGCCCCUUCACCAUUUCUUUUAUAUCCGGAGAUCCGUAACUCCGAUUGGGGUGAAUCUUUCACCCAGAUUUUUCUCAUAAAAUUAGCUUUCUUGCAGAAAAACAAGAGCGUCAACCGCCUUACGGGUAGCCCAGGAGAGUGCCAGGCGCACCCAGGGGGAAGGGCGUGCCCCCUAUCUCCUGGCCACCUCGGGCACCAUUUUGCGUUGAUUCUUCCUCCGAAAAAUCCCAAAUAUUCCAAAAUAAUUCUCCGUCCGUUUUUAUCCCGUUUGGAUUCCGUUUGAUAUUGGGUUUCUACGAAACAUAAAACAUGCAACAAACAGGAACUGGCACUGGGCACUGGACCAAUAUGUUAGUCCCAAAAAUAGUAUAAAAAGUUGCCAAAAGUAUAUGAAAGUUGAAGAAUAUUGGCAUGGAACAAUAAAAAUUUAUAGAUACGACAGAGACGUAUCAGCAUCCCCAAGCUUAAUUCCUGCUCGUCCUCAAGUAGGUAAAUGAUAAAAAAGAUAAUUUUUGAUGUGGAAUGCUACCUAGCAUAAUCUUGAUCAUAUGUCUAAUCAUGGCAUGAAUAUUAAGAUACGAGUGAUUCAAAGCAAUAGUCUAUCAUUUGACAUAAAAACAAUAAUACUUCGAGCGUACCAAUAAAUAAAUCAUGUCUUUUCAAAACAACAAGGCCAAAGCAAGCUUAUCCCUACAAAAUCAUAUAGUUUGGCCAUGCUUCAUUUUCGUCACACAAAAUGCCCCCAUCAUGCACAACCCCGAUGACAAACCGAGCAAUUGGUUCAUACUUUUUAACGCGCUUCAGAUUUUUCAACCCUCACGCAAUUCAUGAGCGCAAGCCAUGGAUAUAGCACUAUAGGUGGAAUAGAAUAUGAUGGUGGAGGUUUAUAUGGAGAAGACAAAAAGGGAGAAAGUCUCACAUCAACGCGGCUAAUCAACGGGCUAUGGAGAUGCCCAUCGAUUGAUGUCAAUGGGAGGAGUAGGGAUUGCCAUGCAACGGAUGCACUAAGAGCUAUAAGUGUAUGAAAGCUCAAACUGAAAACUAAGUGGGUGUGCAUCCAACUUGCUUGCUCAUGAAGACCUAGGGCAUUUGAGGAAGCCCAUCGUUGGAAUAUACAAGCCAAGUUCUAUAAUGAAAAUUCCCGCUAGUAUAUGAAAGUGACAACAUAGGAGACUAUAUAUGAAGAACAUGGUGCUACUCUGAAGCACAAGUGUGGAAAAAGGAUAGUAACAUUGCCCCCCCCCCUUUUUUUUCUUUUUUUCUUUUUCUUUUUUUUCUUUUUUUGGGUGGGCUUCUUUGGCCCCCUUUUUAUUUAGGCUUCUUUGGCCUUCCCUUUUUUUUUCCUUUUCUUUUUUUCAUGGGGCAAUGCUAUAUAAUGAUGAUCAUCACACUUUUAUUUACUUACAACCCAAUAUUACAACUCGAUACUAGAACAAAGAUAUGACUCUAUAUGAAUGCCUCCGGCGGUGUAUCGGGAUGUGAAAAGAUCUAGCAUAGCAAUGACAUCAAAAAACGGACAAGCCAUUAAAACAUCAUGCUAGCUAUCUUACGAUCAUGCAAGGUAAUAUGACAAUGAAUGCUCAAGUCAUGUAUAUGAUGAUGAUGGAAGUUGCAUGGCAAUAUAUCUCGGACUGGCUAUGGAAAUGCCAUAAUAGGUAGGUAUGGUGGCUGUUUUGAGGAAGAUAUAAGGAGGCUUAUGUGUCAUAGAGCGUAUCAUAUCACGGGGUUUGGAUGCACCGGUGAAGUUUGCACCGACUCUCGAGGUGAGAAAGGGCAACGCACGGUACCGAAGAGGCUAGCAAUGAUGGAAAGGUAAAAGUGCGUAUAAUCCAUGGACUCACAUUAGUCAUAAAGAACUCAUAUACUUAUUGCAAAAGUUUAUUAGCCCUCGAAGCAAAGUACUACUACACAUGCCUCUAGGGGAUAGAUUGGUAGGAAAAGACCAUCGCUCGUCCCCAACCGCCACUCAUAAGGAAGACAAUCAAAAAAACACCCCAUGCUUCAAAUUUGUCACACAACGGUUACCAUACGUGCAUGCUACAGGACAUGCAAACUUCAACACAAGUGUCUCUACAAUCCACAACCACCCACUAGCAUGACUCUAAUAUCACCACCUUUAUAUCAGAAAACUAUUGCAAGGAAUCAAACAUAUCAUAUUCAGCGAUCUACAAGUUUAUGUAGGAUUUUAUGACUAACCAUGUGGAUGACCAGUUCUUGUCAUCUCUCUAAAUAGAUACAAGUGAAGCAAGAGAGUUUAAUUCUUUCUAUAAAAGAUAUGCCCACUCUCUAACAAAUAUAAGUGAAGCAAAAGAGCAUUCUACAAAUGGCGGUUUUCUUAUAUGAAGAGAAAUAGGCAAUCCAAACUUCAAAUGAUAUAAGUGAAGCACGUGAAGCAUUCUAUAAAGCCAUACUCAAAAGAUUUAAGUGAAGUGCAAUGAUAAUUCUAUAAAUCAACCAAGGACUAUCUCAUACCAGCAUGGUGCAUAAAAUAAAAGUGAAAAACUAAAUGCAAAAGACGCUCCAAGACUUGCACAUAUCGCAUGAACGAAACGAAUUCAAAAACAUAUCGAUACUUGUUGAAGAAAGAGGGGAUACCUUCCGGGGCAUCCCCAAGCUUAGACGCUUGAGUCUCCUUGAAUAUUUACUUGGGUUUCCUCGGGCAUCCCCAUGCUUGAGCUCUUGCCUCUCUUCCUUUUCCUCAUAUCGAGACCUCGAUUAGACACUUCAUCCACACAAAACUUCAACAGAAAACUCGGUAAGAUUCGUUAGUAUAAUAAAGCAAAUGACCACUCUAAGUACUGUUACUGUUGCAAACCAAUUCAUAUUUUGUUUUUGCAUUGUGUCUACUGUAAUAUAGCUUUUCCAUGGCUUAAUCCACUGAUAUAAAUUGAUGGUUUCAUCAAAACAAGUAAACUAUGCAUCAAAAACAGAAUCUGUCAAAAACAGAACAGUCUGUAGUAAUCUGAACAUUCACCAUACUUAUCGUACCCCCAAAAUUCUACCAAAAUUAGGAAAAAUAAAAAAGUUGUAUAUCAAGACAGUGCAAAAGUAAUCAGAACCAUUUCACGUUCUAGUUAAAAAAGUAAAAUCGGGCACUACAGCCAAAGUUUCUGUCCUGCACCGUACAAACCAACAAGCAUUGUAAACAUCCUAAAGGAAAACCUUGGCACAUUAUUUUUAUAAUACAAUGUAAUUGUACAAGGGGAUAAUUAUUUUUGAUGAAAAGUUCUGUAAUCAAGAUUCACAAAGUCUCCAUGAGCAUGAACAAAGUUCAAGGAGCUCCCCCACUUCAACAAUGCUUGUCUCUCUCACUUUCGCUUUCCUUUUCGAAAAGUUUUUGUGUUCCCCUCUUUAUUUUUUUGUUUUUAAACUAUAUAAAAGCACUCAAUAGAAAUAAAUGACUCUCUAAAACUUCCGGGUUGUUUCCCUGGCAGCGCUUUCUUUAAAGCCAUUAAGCUAGGCAUUUAGUGCUCAAGUAAUGAAUCUACCCGGAUCCCAAGGUAUAUCAAAGCCAAUUUUAAUUAACAAUGAUUUGUAAUUUAGUAGUGAGCACAAAGUAACAUAUAUCAUGCAACAAGGAAGUCUAACUCUCUUCUUAUGCAUCGGCAUGUCAUAAAAGAACAAUUCAUGUACACAUAGUAAAGGCCAAUGCACAGUAUAAGCAGUUUCUUGCAAUUUUAUUGUAUUGGAAACAUAAAGAGGCGGAGAUAUAGUUCCUCUCUCAUAAUAAUUGCAAGUAGGAGCAGCAAGCACAUGCAUAGUAGAUUCAUCAAAAUCAUCAUGUGCAAUGGUAAAAGGCAACCCAUCAAUAUAAUCGUUAAUAAGCACAAACUUCUCCAAUAUAGUGUAGUUUGGAGAAUUCAAAAAGAUAAUAGGACUAUCAUGUGUGGGUGCAAUAGCAACAAUUUCAUGUUUAACAUAAGGAACUAUAGCAAGUUCAUCUCCAUAAGAAUAAUUCAUAUUGGCAUCUUGGACACAAGCAUCAUCAAAAAGGGAUAUUCCAAGAGAAUCAACGGGAUCAUAACAAUCAUCAUAGCAAUCAUCCUUCGGUAAGCACGAAGGGGAAUUAAACAAUGUAUGAGUUGAAGAGUUACUCUCAUUAGAAGGUGGGCACGGGUGAUCAAUCCACUCUUCCUCCUUUUGUUCUUCGCUCUCCUCAUCAUCUUUUUCAUCCAGUGAGCUCACAGUUUCAUCAAUUUCUUCUUCCAUAGCUUCCUGCAAAAUAUUAGUCUCUCUUUGGACAGCGGAGACUUUCUCAAUAAAUGCAUCAAUAUUGUAAUUGUAUUCAUAAUUGUCAUAGCAAUAUUUCAAUAUAGCAAAAUUUUCAGGCCUAUAAACAUCAUCAUCUAAAGCUUCAUACUUUUCAAACAAAGAUUCAAUUUCAAAGCAUCCUUAAAAGCAACAAAUUCUUCAAUUUGUUCAACAUCAUAGUAAUCAUAUAUACCAUUAGCAUAAGUGAAAGAACAUGUGGUGCCCCCAUGUGUGGUUUUGGUAAUCGAUGACAAUCUCUCUAGACUAAUGGUUGCCUUGAGUUAUAUUUGAAGGUCUUGUCCAUAGGAUUUUCUUGGAGUACAUGUGUUGAUGUCAAGGAGAGCUUGUGUCGACCAAUGUGCUAUUAAGGAAUUAUCCAAAGAUUGGUCAUGUGAGAGUUGAGCUUAUUGCAAGCAUGUCUUGAAGAAGAAGAUUGUGUGAUCAUUUUAUGCUUACCUUCAAGGCAUCAUCCAAAUGAAGAGAGUUGGAAAGGUUCAAGGUUGAUCAAGACUAAGUCAAGAGUGAAUCAAGUUGAUCAACUCACAAAGCGUAGAAGAUGUACCAAGAGGGAUCAAGUGAUCCCAUGGUAUGGUAAGCAUUGUCAAUUACGCUUUGUGUACUAACCCAUGGUCUUUGUGAGAGUUCUUUGUGAUGUUAGGUUGCGGUGUGUAUGUUCAAGUGAUGCAUCACGAAGAGAUCAAGUGCUUGAAGCUUGCCGUCCAUUGUGGUGACAAUGGACUUGUGAAGAUGUGCCGAAGAGUGGCUCACCCAUAGUGGAGUAUGGGGGAGCAAUCUACUAGUCUUCACUGAGCCAAUGCAAUCAAGAAAGGUGGUCCAACUUGAGGAAGUCAAGAUCGUCUAAAUCGAGCUCAAGUGGACUUUGUGCAAGGCAAGGAUUUGCCCAUGAUAGGUGUUCUAUUUUACCGGUCUCACGAUAGUUGUGGGAGACCGGGUUAUAGGAUCGAUUGCCGUACUAUCAAGGGGGGCUCUCGAUGAGUUGCUUGAUCGUAUCAUUCGUAGAGAGCUCUAACCAUUGCAUCCUUGCAUCAUCUUUAUUGGUUCUUGUUUGGUUCUUCUCCUUGUGAGAUUUGGAGCUUAUGGUCAUUUUUAUGACAAGCUCGAGUUCAUCGAAAACGGAGUUCACAUGCAUCUUCUAUGAUGUUUUCGACAUUGGAGGGUAUGCCGAUUCUUCGCUGUUUUGAUGCUACUCGUCUUCCUCUAUCCAACAAGCUUGAGUUUGCUCAAUUCAGAGCUCAUUUACAGAAGUUAUGGCAGUUUUGGUUUUAUUGUUUCCCUCUGUUGUCUUCUCUGCAAAAUGAAGGACUCCUAGUGUUGCUGAUCUGGGGCAUGCGGUAGUACUGCUCUCCGGAGCGGUAGUACCGCAGGCCCUUGCGGCAGUACCGCAGCCCCCUGCGGUAGUACUGCAGGUGCUCACGGUAGUACCGCUCUAUGGGAGCGGUAGUACCAUGGCCUCAGGCCAGGCGCAACUGGUUGAGCGGUAGUAGGGGCGGAUGUAAUUUUUUACAUCCGUGCCCAACGCGGUAGUACCGGGCCGCGGGCGCGCUUGUACCGUGGGCUCUGGCCAGGCUUAGAAGCAUGAGCGGAAGUAGGGGCGGAUGUAAUUUUUUACAUCUGCACCCUACGUGGUAGUACCGCUCUUUGUGUGCGGUAGUACCGUGCCGAAUUUUUGCGCAGGUCCUCCCUCAGCGGAAGUAGGUACGAAAGUAAUUUUUUACUUCCGUGCUUUCUCUACGCCUAGUGUUGACUGCCUUACAGUAGUAACGUAGGGGCGCACGGUAGUACCGCUCCGGCGGUUCUACCGCUCGUUACCCUGUGCAACAGGCCUUCAUAUGGCCAGUGCUGCACAUGCGGUAGUACCGCAACCUGCAGCGGUAGUACCGCAGCUCCGUGCGGCAAUACCGCGUCGUGUGGGCUGAGUGAGGGGAUAACGGUUGGAUUUCUCCCCACCUAUAAAAGGGGGUCUUCUUCCCCAUUGAGACUUAUCCUUUGAGCUCAUGUUCUUCCCCCAUUGUUGACCUUCUUCGAGCUUGCUAACUCUCAAUCCCUCCAUGGAUUCUUGCUAGUUUUUGAGGGAAAAAAGAGAGGAGAUCUAGAUCCACAUUUCCACCAAUCACUUUCUCCUCUAUGUGAGGGGAACCCCUUGGAUCUAGAUCUUGGAGUUCUUGGUGUUCUCCUUCUUUUUCUUCCUCUCAUCUUCCUCCCUAGAAUUAGUUGCUUCGGUGGGAUUUGAGAGAGAAGGACUUGGGCAAUCCGUGUGCCCUUGCCAUUGCAUUUGGUGCAUUAGUUUGAGGUCUCCACGUGAUACGUGGAAGUUACAAGUUGAGAAGCUUAUUACUCUUGGGUGCUUGGUGCCCUUGAGCUUGUUCCUCUUGGGUGCUUGGGAGCCCUAGACGGUUGGUGGUGUUCAGAGCUCAAUCAUUAUGGUGUAAAGCUCCGGGCAAGCGUCGGGGUCUCCAAUUAGGUUGUGGAAAUCGCCCGAGCAAUUUGAUGGGUACCGGUGACCGCCCCCAAGGGUUGCCAACGUGUACGGGUUCGAUGACCGUCCCCAAGGGUCGCCAUUUGUACGGGUUUGACCGCCCUCAAGGGUCCCUUAGUGGAAUCACGACAUCUUGCAUUGUGCGAGGGCGUGAGGAGAUUACGGUGGCCCUAGUGGCUUCUUGGGGAGCAUUGUGCCUCCACACCGCUCCAAACAGAGAUUAGCAUCCACGAGGGUGUGAACUUCGGGAUACAUCAUCGUCUCCGCGUGCCUCGGUUAUCUCUUACCCAAGUCCUUUACUUAUGCACUUUACUUUGUGAUAGCCAUAUUGUUCUUUGUCAUAUAUCGUGCUAUCACAUAGUUACUUAUCUUGCUUAACAUAAGUUGUUGGUGCACAUAGGUGAGCCUAGUUGUUGUAGGUUUUGUGCUUGACAAAUUAAUCGUUAGGUUUAUUCCACAUUUGUUCAAGCCUCUACCGUAAUUAUUUUAAAACGCCUAUUCACCCCCCCUCUAGGCGACAUCCAUGAUCUUUCAAAUUGUAUCAGAGCCUCGUCUCUCUUUCAUAGGCUUAACCGCCUAGAGAGUAAAGAUGUCGACUAGGGGAUUAGGAUUCUCUGACACUCUUAGUUUCGAUGGCACAAAUUUUGAUGUUUGGGUAGUUCGCAUGCUUAAUCUCUUUAGGGUCAUGGACCCAAAUUUAGAGCGAAUUGUAGAUAUGGGUUUUUCUCCUCCAAAGGAUCCCCAAAAUUAUCUUUAGAGGAUGAGAAAAACUCUUAUCUCAAUGCUCAAGCUUCUAAUGUGCUUUUCGAUGCUUUGAGCGAUGUAGUUAUGUUUUAACUCAUGCCGUUCUGGAAUGCUCAUGAGUUGUGGACGAAGCUUCAAGAUAAAUAUGGUGUCUCCAAGAUUUGUAGGGAUGAUUGUUCUCCCUCCACCUCCGGCCGUAUAGUCUUCUCAACUUCUUCUACUUCACCUACAUGUGGUUUGCCACAAGGUAAUGAUAUGGUGAGUAGUGUUGGUCAUUGCAAUGAUGAUAGUAUGCUUAUUGUGGAUGAUUCUUCAUCACUAUAUUAUUGCAAUGCUCCUUCUUUGGGAUUUAACACUUCGAGCACUCCAAAUGUCUCACAUGCCUAUGUUGAUAGUCCUUGCAUAUCAUGUAGAAAUUGCUUGACUAAAUCUCAUGAUGAUAUGCUUGCUAUAUCUUGUUGCCAUGAUAAAAAUGCAUGUAUUUCCUCGAGUUGUUGUGCUAACAAUGUAGAGGAAACCCAACACUCCAUGGAACAAGAUGUGGUCUUGAAUGAUGCUUCAAGGGAUCCUACAUCAUCAUUUAUUGCUUUUUGCCUUAUGGCCAUGGCUUCAAAGGUAUCUCCUAGUUUGAAUCCCAAUAUAUCUUGUGAUGAUAUUGAUGAUGGCAAGAGUGAUGACGAUGUUGAUUAUGAUGAAGAGAAUGAUGAUGUUGCCUCCUUAAAAAUUAAGGGGGAAAUGAUUUUUAAAGCUCUUCUUAAGAAUAAAUUUGCUCGUUCCAACUUCAUGGAAAUCAUGUCGAUUGCUAUUGAGAGCAAGAAAUAUAUUGAUGAGUUGGAAUCUCGUCUUGAGGAGCAUGAGGUCACCAUUGAUAAAAUGGAAGGUCAUGAGCAUGAUUAUGCUAAUGAGAUUGCGGACCUCUCUCAAGCUCUUGAACUUGAACAAACCACCAAGGAAUCUCUUGAGGAGACUUUUGCUCUAGAAUUAACUAGAGUGAAGGAAUCUAAUGAUAGAGCUCUUGAGGUGGCCAAUGUUUUUGAAACUAAAAAUGCUAAGCUUGAAGUUGAUCAUGCUAGACUCCUUGAGGAUUUUGAGCACCUCGAAAAUGGCUCAAGGGUCAUCAAGGGUGAGCUCAUCAAACUCACCGAGUCUCAUGCUCAACUUGAAGCUUCUUAUUUAAAAGAGCUUGCCAAGUUGUCCUCUCCUAUUGUUGUAAAUGAUUAUGCUUGUGCUACUAACUCAAUUACUUGUGAAGCAUCCAUUUUGAAGGAGAACGUUGAGCUACGGGCUCAAUUUGAGUUGCUAUCUAGCAAUUAUGGGAAAUUGGAAGAAAGCCAUGAAAAGCUCUCAAGCUCUCAUGAUGAUCUUCUAGUAUCCCAUAAUGUGCUAAAGGUAGCUCAUGAUGCCAUGAUUGCUAAGGUAACAUCAAGUGAGCCUCGUGUGGAUACUAGCACUACUUCUAGUCAAAAUACUAUAUUGCCAUGUGCUAGUCCUUGUAAUUCAUCUACUCAUAAUGUUGGUACAUCUUGUGAUGAAUUGCUUUCCUUGCCUUGUUGCUCUAACGAUGAAGCUUAUACUUCCUCUAGUACUUGUGUUGAGACUAACCAUGUAGAGGAAAUCAAAGAGCUCAAGGCCGAAGUCACUUCUUUGAAGAAAGACUUGGAAAAGAGUCAUGAAGGGAAUUCCACACUCAACAAUAGAUUGAGUGUGCAAAAAUCCCCCAAUGACAAAUGUGGACUUGGAUUCAACUCCAAUAAGAAGAAGAAGUCCAAGAGAAUCAAGAAUAAGGGCUAAAAACAAGUCAAGAAUUCAGCCAAGAUUAUUUGCUUCAAGUGCAAAAUUGAAGGUCAUCAUGUUAGAUCUUGCCCAUUGAAGAAGAAGGCCAUUAGUGACAACCAACAAGGGAACCGGCUACAAGUGCAUUCUCAUGCUCAACCUCAAUUUGAAGAAAGGCCUCUUCCCAAGAAGACUCAAGCUAAUGCUUCUCAAGUUGAGAAAUCAAGUGAGAAGAAAGUGAAGAGUAGACGUUGCUAUCUAUGUCAUGAGAAAGGUCACCUCGCUUCUUCAUGCACUAGUGGUAACUUAUCCAACCCAAUUGUUAUUGAUGAUGUCUAUUCUCUUGGGAAGGAUAAGGUUGGCAAUGUGUUUGCCAAGUUUGUUGGUACUCAAAGUGGUUUGAAGCAAAGAACCAUUUGGGUAGCCAAGCCUAUUGUGACUAACCUCUUAGGACCCAACUUGGUUGGGGACCAACUAGCUCAAACUUGAUUAAUAGGUGUUGUUGGAGGGCAUUGGAGACUUGGCUACAUUAUGAAGAAAUAAGGUGACUUCAUCACUCUUAUUGUCUCAAGCCAAGUCAACUGAAUCGUCAAGUUUAUAUUUUAUAUCCAAUGUGCCUCCUUGCGGUAACUUGUACUUAAAAUUGCUUACAUUGAAAGUUACUUGCCCCCUUGAAUAUUUUGGUUUUGUUCCUUGCAUGUGUUUUUAUAUGAUGUGUCUCGAAAUUGCCUUUGUGUAUGUUGGUUUGCACAUCAUGUACUUGUGUGUCGUUCGUUGAGCCUUAGUGCAUCUUGGUUGUAUCUUAGUUGGAUCGUGUGAUAGAUUAAUGGAAUAUCCCAUUAUGGGGGAGUGAUGUGCUUUGUGCACUUCGCAAUCCUAUAAAGGUGGGUACACGGGGAAUACCACUUAGUAUUGAUAUUACAAGAUUAUCUAGUCGCUAUGUGGUAUGUCUUCUCAUGAGAAAUUCAAAUUCUAAAUAGUCCAUUAAUUAUCUCUUGUUGGAUCCUUUUUAUUUUCUCUUGUUAAUUUUUUAUUGGUAUCACACUAUGGGGGAGUAAUAUGCUAUGUGCAUAUUACAAGCCUAGAAAAUGUGUACAUUUGAGAUAUUUUCACCUAGAAUUGAUGUUGUAAAUUAUCUUGUUCCUAGGUGACAUGUUAGCUCUACAAGUGGCAAUUUGCUUGUGUUUGUUGUGAAGAUGAUGUUGGAUAUCCUUGUUUUCUACCACGGGGAAUUAUUUCCAAAUACUUCUUGUCUUUUGACAAUUGGUAGUCACUUAUGUGUGGUAGAAUUUAUUGAUCAUCUUUACAUUGGCUUUUGUUUUUAUUUGCCUUUUCUCUUGCCAAGGAUUGUGUCAACUCCCGUUGUCUUCCAUACCACUUGUGGAUCUUGUUAAUUUCUUGUUCUUGUCUAGUGUUUUCUAGAUAUAGUGAAAGUGGUGAUCCCACCUUGUGCACUUUGUAUUCAAAAGCAAAUUCUCUAUAGUGCAAAACUCCUGGGGGAGCUAUCCUAUUUUUUUAGAACACUCUUCUUGUGAUCCUUAUCAAGUGUGUGUUGGUGGAAGGCAAGCCGUUUUAUUGUGGUACCUUGUGUCGUCAUGAAACUUUGUUGAGAGCUUGGUUUGUUUGGAACCAUCCUCUCUUUGGGAGUUUGACAUCUUUAAUUUAGUGUGUAUCAAUGGAUAUCUCAUUCCUUGAUGUAUCUUUAAUGAUAUCUUCCAAGUGAUGAUUUCUCCAUUUGGUAUCCUUUUCACUUGGCAUUUCUUUGUCUUUUGGUUUCGGGUUUUGAAAGUCUUGAGCAUGCAUGUUUACUUCAUGUAUUUUAUUUGGAUUUCUUUCUUUCUUUAACCCAAUAUAUAGGGUAAACCCCACCAAGUCUCAAAUUGUAUGGGAUGUGCAUGAAAUUCAUUUUCAUAUCUAUAAGCACAUAUGUGUGUGGAGGUUGUCCUAUGUAUUGUUGGUUCUCUAACUCUUUGGUCCCAAUGAGUAUGGGUACCAUUUUGGUUGUGUUGUUGUUCUAGGAACAAUUGGAGAUGCAUUGGAUGCUCAUCUCACUCACAAGGAAGGUGGUGUCACCAUGUGAUUAUUGGAGUCAAGCUAGGAUGAUCUAUGAACUACUAUCUACCUUUAAUUGGUAUCUACUAUAUCCUUCCAUUGAUAUCUCGGUAACAAGUAUCAUCAUCUUCUUCAUGCACUCAUUUCUUGCAUCAACCUUGUGUAGGUUGCAUCAUGGCAUGCAAUGCAUUCUUUCUUGUGAUACUUGUUUCCUUUCUCUAAGCAUCCCAACAAUGAUCUGUUGUUGCUAGUUGUGAUGUCUUUUAUGUUUGUGUGGUUGGAAUUCAUUUAUAUACAAUAAGACCAUAUCUAGCCAUGUGCUAUGCUCUCAAGCAAAUUUCUUAUUGGUAUAUUUAUGAGUUCCUUGUGGAUAUCUUGUUCCUUCAUUUUUACUAUUUCGUGCGUAUAUCCUUCUUGGUGGAUUGAUAUCAUCAUGAUUUUCAUCUACCUAGAAUCUUAUACACUUGAGAGAAGUUACAUCUCUAGUUGAUAUCCCUUUCUUUCACGUCCAUCGGUUCCUUCUCAUGUUAUUUCUUUGGUGGCUCCGUGAAAGUGUGUGCCUUGAGUGCGGGUCAUAUCUCAUUGCAUCUUGAUGCACUCUUGUGUGGUGAAGAUCUUUCUCCUCAUGCUUGUCUUGACGAUGCUUUUUGCCAUCUUAAUUGGUAUCCCUCACCUUGAUGAGGCUUUCGCUUUCUAUCUUCACCAUGGGUUGUCACAAGUGUUGGUUAUUCAUUUUGCAUAUUUAGUGUGCUUGUGAACCCAUUUGCUUGGUGUGUGUGGGAAGGACAUGUCAUGCACCUUGUAUCUCCACUAUUCAAGACUACGUUGAUGCUUAAUGCUCACCCUUACAUUAGUCUUCUCAAGUGCUUUGCCAUGACUCACACACAUCAUUUUGGUUGAGCCUACUCUUAAGUUGCCUAUUUUAUAUGUUGCUCAACCAUUUUUUUGUUGCAAGUGCUAGGCUUUGUUUCCUACAUGCUCACUUGCACUUGUCGUGAGGUUCUAUUGAUCUUGGGGGAGUGACGAUCCUAUUUUGUGCUCAUUGUAUCCAAUUACAAAAUUCUUAUGUGUGCACAAAUCAUGGGGAGCUACUCUAGUUUCCUUAGAACACUCCUUUUCUCAUAUCAUAAUAUCCUUUAUUCAUGUUGCACGUAGGAUCAUUGGUCUAGUUGGUUCAAUUGGUUUCUUUUCAUAGCUUGCUUCAAUUGGUAUCUUAUGAUUGCUUGAUUGCUUGUUUCUCUCUUUGUUAUGUCUUUGUGGGAUAUCUUUCUUUUGUAAUCUUUGGGUCUAAAUAUAGUUUGUUUUCCUCCUAGUAUUUACUGUUGUAGGACCUUGAAGUAUGUCUAGAGGGGGUGAUUAGACUACUUGACCAAUUAAAAACUUAACCUUUUCCCAAUUUUAGAGUUUGACAGAUUUUAGCUAUCUUAGGAUAAGUCAAGCAAUCAUCACACAGUUCAAGCAAUCAUGCAAAGAGUAUAUAGGCAGCGGAAAUUAAAGCAUGCAACUUGCAAGAAACUAAGGGGAAGGGUUUGGAGGAUUCAAACACAAUUGGAGACACGGAUGUUUUUGGCAUGGUUCCGAUAGGUGGUGCUAUCGUACAUCCACGUUGAUGGAGACUUCAACCCACGAAGGGUAACGGUUGCGCGAGUCCAUGGAGGGCUCCACCCACGAAGGGUCCACGAAGAAGCAACCUUGUCUAUCCCACCAUGGCCGUCGCCCACGAAGGACUUGCCUCACUAGCGGUAGAUCUUCACGAAGUAGGCGAUCUCCUUGCCCUUACAAACUCCUUGGUUCAACUCCACAAUCUUGUCGGAGGCUCCCAAGUGACACCUAGCCAAUCUAGGAGACACCACUCUCCAAGAAGUAACAAAUGGUGCGUUGAUGAUGAACUCCUUGCUCUUGUGCUUCAAAUGAUAGUCUCCCCAACACUCAACUCUCUCUCAUAGGAUUUGGAUCUGGUGGAAAGAGGAUUUGAGUGGAAAGCAACUUGGGGAAGGCUAGAGAUCAAGAUUCAUAUGGUAGGAAUGGAAUAUCUUGGCCUCAACACAUGAGUAGGUGGUUCUCUCUCAGAAAUGGUAAGUUGGAAGUGUAGGUUUAGUCUGAUGGCUCUCUUCACGAAUGAAGAGGAGGUGGAGGGGGUAUAUAUAGCCUCCACACAAAAUCUAACCGUUACACACAAUUUACCAAACUCGGUGGGACCGAUUCAACAGGUCAGACCGAUUUAGUAAACCUAGUGACCGUUAGUGAUUUUCGAUGGGACUGACAUGCAACUCGGUGAGACCGAUUCGGUUAGGUUUAGGGCAUAACAUAAUCUCGGUAAGACCGAUUACACAAACUCAGUGAAACCGAUUUUGGUAAUAAGCUUUCCAGCGAGUUGGUCAGGUAAACUCGGUGGGACUGAUUUGCUCUUUUCGGUGAGACUGAAAUGUUACAAAAGGGAAACAGAGAGUUUACAUUGCAAUCUUAGUGGGACCAAUCGCUCACUUCGGUUAGACCGAAACCUUACGAAGGGAAACAGAGAGAUUACAAUCCCAUCUCGGUGAGACCGAGAUCCCUAUCGGUAGGACCGAUUUGCUUAGGGUUUGUGGCAGUGGCUAUGACUUUUGGAAUCGGUGGCGCCGGAUUGGAAGAAUCGGCGUGACCGAUUUUGGCUUUGGGUUUAGGUCAUUUGUGGAUGUGGGAAAGUAGCUGAGGGUUUUGGAGCAUAUCACAAAGCACAUGAAGCAAGAGGCUCAUUAAGCAACACCUCAUCCCUCCUUGAUAGUAUUGGCUUUUCCUAUAGACUCAAUGUGAUCUUGGAUCACUAAAAUAUAAAAUGAAGAGUGAGGGAGUUCUGGACUAGGGGGUGUCCGGAUAGCCGAACUAUCAUGAUCGGCCGGACUCCGAGACUAUGAAGAUACAAGAUUGAAGACUUCGUCCCGUGUCCGGAUGGGACUUUCCUUGGCAUGGAAGGCAAGCUUGGCGAUACGGAUAUGUAGAUCUCCUACCAUUGUAACCGACUUUGUGUAACCCUAGCCCUCUCCGGUGUCUAUAUAAACUGGAUGGCUUUAGUCCAUAGGACGACAACAAUCAUACCAUAGGCUAGCUUCUAGGGUUUAGCCUCCUUGAUCUCGUGGUAGAUCCACUCUUGUAACACACAUCAUCAAUAUUAAUCAAGCAGGACGUAGGGUUUUACCUCCAUCAAGAGGGCCCGAACCUGGGUAAAACAUCUUGUCCCUCGUCUCCUGUUACCAUCCGCCUAGACGCACAGUUCGGGACCCCCUACCCGAGAUCCGCCGGUUUUGACACCGACAUUGGUGCUUUCAUUGAGAGUUUCUCUGUGCUGUCACCAUCAGGAAGGAUGCCUUUUCCCGUCUUUAAAGACGGCACCGUAGUCAAGGGAGCUUUGGCCGACGGCCAGACUAUCCGGCUAGGCGGUUUUCUUCUGACCGCCUGUUCGGCCACCGCUCCGAUAAUGACCUCUCAGGUCAUUAAAAGCGAUCUUCACGUCAGCUCGGAAUUCGCCGAGCAGCUAGAUCCGAUUGAGCUCUCCUCCGUAAACGAGCUCUUGGAUCGCAUCGCCGCCUUGGGAGUCGCUACCGACUAUGAUCAGAUUGGCUUUAAAACCGAUCUAAGAGAAAUUAACUCUCCCCAGGUUACCCACCAUGUUGUUGUGGUAGAGGAACAAUGCGGCGACUCUUCUUCUAUGUUAAAAAUCAACUAUUUCCGGAUUCCCGAUCCCUCCAUGCCGGAUUCCCGCGGAGAGACAUACGCUAAUCAAAUACUGAACCUAAAGUCAGGCAUCGGACCAGAUUUGUUGGAAAGCGUCCAGCAAACCAAGCUUCCGAAUCCGGAAGCUUCUUGGCCUUUGAGUCUCAGAUCGGGCGGGGUUCCGAACUUGAUUCCACCCGCCCACCCAAACAUAAGUGAUCUAUCUCAAAUACGGCAAGAGCCCGAUGAAACAGUACAUCAUUACUGGGCCAGAUUCUUCCUGGUUAUGAACAGGAUAAAGGACUGCCGUGAAGAAAGCACGAUUUCAAUCUUCUGCAACAAUUGCACGGACAAGGGAAUCAUAAACGCCAUCAGCCGUCACGAAGUUACACGCUUCGUCGACCUAGCGACCAUUGUACAAAAAUACUGCGCGAUGGAGAGUGCCUGGAAAACUGAAACUAGGUUUUGGGACAAUCCGGCCCUGAAUACAACCCCAGUCCGAAAUAAAAGGGUGUGUCAUACUCAAGCACCUGGGUUAAAAACCAAAAAGCAAAAAAACCCUAAAGGGUACGGAACUGUACUGGAGGGAUGGCUCAACGGACCCUGCAAAAUCCACAGUACGGAGGGCGCCACUCCAACACAUAGCCUUCGAGCAUGUUGGAUAUUACGGCAGGUGGCCAAAAGUGGUGAACGCUUUUUAGCCCCGGGCAACCAGCCCAGCAGCACCAGUAUAGUAUUAACAGUCUUCGAGACUUUCGCAUCAAAUAACAUGCGGAAACGAACAAUCCGCAGCCUCGCUGAAGUCUACCAGGUAGCAACAACAAAUCCAUGGAGUGACACGGCUAUCACCUUCAAUGCCAGCGACGAACCUAAAUUCCGAACAGCUAGAGCACCAGCCACAUUGGUCCUCAGUCCGAUAGUGGACGGCUUUCGUCUUACCAAGGUACUCAUGGAUGGCGGCAGCGGAUUAAACCUCAUCUACGAAGAAACUCUUCAAAAGAUGGAAAUUGACUGGAGCCGCAUCGAGCGGAGCAGCACAACCUUCAGGGGAAUAAUCCCUAGUCGAGAAGUACGCUGCACAGGAAAAAUCACACUAGAUGUAGUGUUCGGCUCACCGGACAAUUACAGGUCCGAAGAGGUCACGUUCCAAGUGUCCCCAUUCGGCAGCGGAUAUCACGCCUUCUUAGGGCGAGAGGCAUUCACAAUCUUCCAAGCUAUACCCCAUUACGGGUACAUGAAGCUCAAAAUGCCCGGACCCAAUGGAAUAAUCACUCUCGCUAGUGAUCCAAAUACAGCACUCCACGCUGAAAAUAAGACAGCCGCACUGGCCCUAGAGGCAUUAUCCGAAGCCCUAGCGGCAGAGGAACUAACUGCACUGCGCUCCAUGGUGGAUAGGGACGAUGUGAUACUCGACAAGAGGUCCAAGUCCACCUCUUUCAAACCAGCAGACGAAAUAGUCAAAUUUCAGGUCCAUCCAACGGACCCCACAAAGACGUCAUCCAUUGGGGCACAAUUAAAUCCUGAUGUAGAAGCCGCACUACGAGAAUUCCUCCGGGAAAAUUGGGACAUUUUUGCCUCGCACCCUUCAGACAUGCCAGGAAUCCCACGCAAGCUGGCAGAGCACAGCCUAAAUAUCCUAAAAGGAUUCAAGCCAGUCAAACAAGCUCUUCGGCGAUUUUCCGAACCCAAAAGAUAGGCAAUGGGAGAGGAGCUAGCCAAGCUCUUAGAAGUCAGAUUCAUCAGAGAUAUCAAACAUCCGGACUGGCUAGCCAACCUAGUAAUGGUACCAAAAAAGGACAAAUCCUGGCGCCUCUGCGUCGAUUUCAAAGACCUUAACAAGGCAUGUCCAAAAGACCCUUUCCCUCUCCCUCGCAUCGACCAAAUCAUCGACGCUACCGCAGGGCACGAUUCAUUGUGCUUCCUCGAUGCAUACUCCGGAUACCAUCAAAUCAAGAUGGCGGAAAAAGACCAGGCCGCAACGGCAUUCAUUACUCCAUAUGGGCCAUUCUGCUUCAACACAAUGCCCUUUGGACUCAAAAACACAGGCGCAACAUAUCAGCGCAUGAUUCAGACAUGUCUAGCUACCUAGAUAGGCAAAACAGUAGAGGCAUACAUAGACGAUGUGGUCGUUAAGACCAAACACGUCGAAACUCUAGUACACGACUUGAGGGUGACAUUUGACAACCUCCGAGCAUAUGACAUUAAGCUCAACCCGGAAAAAUGUGUCUUCGGAGUAACAGCCGGAAAGCUUUUGGGCUUCAUUGUAUCUGGUAGAGGAAUUGAAGCAAACCCAGCCAAGAUCCGAGCUAUGUCACAAUUGGAUAUCCCAAAAGACCUCAAGCAAAUACAAAAACUAACUAGGUGCGUAGCGGCUCUAAGCCGCUUCAUCUCCCGUUUGGGAGAAAAGGCUCUGCCCCUCUAUCGCCUCCUCCGGCGCACCGAACACUUCGAAUGGACGGAUGCCGCCACGGCCGGACUCGAAGAAAUCAAGGCCAUACUGGCAACAAAUCUGGUCCUGGCCGCGCCCAACCUGGGCGAACCUAUGUUAUUAUAUAUCGCAGCGACACAUCAAGUUGUCAGCGCGGUACUCGUCGUCGAACGAGAAACAGAAGGACACAGAUUCCCUCUUCAAAAACUAGUGUACUACAUAUCCACUGUCUUAACUCCAUGCAAGUCCCGGUACCCACAUUAUCAAAAGAUAGCGUAUGCGGUGUUCAUGGCAUCCUGGAAGCUGCGACACUACUUUCAAGAGUGUUCCAUAACGGUGGCCUCCGAAGUACCUCUCAACGAUAUUAUAAACAAUCGCGACGCAACGGGCAGGAUUGCAAAAUGGGCCAUUGAGCUCUUACCAUUUGACAUAACCUACAAACCACGGUGAGCUAUAAAAUCGCAAGUUCUGGCUGACUUCGUCGCCGAAUGGACCGAAGCCGAACUCCCUAAAGAGUACGGCGCGUACUCCGAUUGGAUCAUGCAUUUCGACGGAUCCAAAAUGUUGGCUGGCUUGGGGGCUGGCGUCGUCUUGACGUCCCCAACUGGAGACACAGUCCAAUACGUACUUCAAAUAAUGUACAUGGACUCCAACAACGCAGCCGAAUACGAGGCCCUUCUACACGGCCUCCGGAUGGCAAUCUCCAUGGGCAUUCAACGCCUAGAGGUGCGCGGGGAUUCAAACCUCGCAAUAUCCCAAGUAAAUGGAGACUUUGACGCCAAAGAUCCGAAAAUGGCAGCUUACCGCAACGCCGUCCUAAAAAUGUCAGCUCGGUUCAAAGGACUCGAAUUCCACCAUGUAGCCCGGGAUAAUAACCAGGCAGCAGACGUGUUAGCACGCAUCGGCGCAAAACGCGACGCCGUCCCUCCAAACAUCUUCCUGGAACGGCUCUUUAAGCCAUCCGUAUUAUGGGAAGAGGAGUCCGGAAAUAACAAUCUGGAGCCAGCUGCAGCACCUAACUCAGACAAUUCUGACACAAUCGGUGGCUCAGCAAAUGAAAUAACACCUUCAGCCCACGAAAUAAUGGCAGUAAUUGCUCCGUGGACGGAACCAUUCCUAGCCUACUUAAUUAGGCAGGAACUUCUCGAAGACCAAAAUGAGGCCCGCUGCAUAGUUCGGCGAUCUAAAGCCUACAAGGUCCAUGAGGGAGAACUUUAUAAGAAAAGCACAACCGGAGUCCUUCAAAGGUGUAUCUCCGAAGAGGAAGGGCGUAAUCUCCUGGCUGAAAUUCACGCCGGACUCGGCGGGCACCACGCUGCAGCCCGGGACCUUGUAGGCAAGGUCUUCUGUACAGGAUUUUAUUGGCCGACAGCCCGGGCAGAUGCUCAGGACUUAGUCCAACGAUGCGUCGGUUGCCAGCUCUUUGCUAAUCAGAGCCACAUGCCACCCACCGCCCUCAAAACUAUACCCAUCACCUGGCCAUUCGCGGUCUGGGGGCUUGACAUGGUUGGACCCCUUAAAGGGGGAACCCACAAGCACAAAUACUUAUUGGUCAUGGUGGACAAAUUCACCAAAUGAAUUGAAGCCAAGCCGGAUAAAACGGCAGAAUCCGGACCUGUGAUAGAUUUCAUAUCCGGGGUAGUACACCAUUUUGGCGUCCCCCACAGCAUCAUCACUAACAACGGCACGAAUUUCACGGCCGACGAGGUUAAACUCUGGUGCAAAAAUAUGGGCAUCAAUCUCGACUACGCUUCAGUCUAUCACCCCCAAACUAACGGUCAAGUCGAGCGAGCAAAUGGUCUAAUCAUGAGCGGCAUCAAACCCAGACUAGUGCGGUCCCUCAAGGAAUCUAACACGCACUGGGUAGAGGAGCUCGACUCCGUACUCUGGGGCCUACGGACCACGCCAAACUGAACUACCGGAUUCACACCAUUUUUUAUGGUGUACGGCGCAGAGGCAGUUCUGCCCUGCGAUAUAAUUCAUGACUCACCUCGCGUGCGCAUGUACGAAGAAAGAGAAGCCAAGCUGGAUCGGCAGGAUAGUUUGGACGCCUUAGAGGAGGAGCGGGACGUGGCAAAAGCUCGUUCCGCAUUUUAUCAACAGCAAGCUCGAAGCUAUCAAAGCAGAGAAGUACGGGCCAAAGCUUACAAUGUUGGCGAACUUGUUCUACGCCUGUCGGACAAGAAAAAGGACAAACUUAAGCCCAAGUGGGAAGGUCCCUUCAUCAUCGACCAAGUCUUGACCGACGGAGCAUACCAUCUACGUAACGCAUCUGACAACUGACUCGAGCCGAACCCAUGGAACACAGCCCGUCUCCGAAGAUUCUAUGCCUAACGCCGGACUCAGAGUUCGUCUCACUCCUCCGUCCACCUUUUUACAUUUUCACUGUCUCUUGUCCCCCUCCUUCUUCCCACCUUUUUUCCAAUACCUUUGAUAGGCUGAUUUGCGCAUUGUUCGCACACACUUGAUGUGCUCCUAGCACUCGUUAUACCUGGGGGCUUCUUUAACAGAAGCUUAUUUAUACGGGCUUCAUGCCCAACACAUGUGUCAUACUUCCGCAUGUACCUUUUAUUCACCAUUAUAUGCAUCGAUAUGACUUAAGUUUUGGCCAAGCUGGGUUGUCUGGCUCCUGUGCUUACCCCUACGUUCCCGAUUGUUCGGCUAGGAGGUAAAGGGAGCACCUCUGCGAUUGUUACUGCCGGGUCAGCCGGAUGUGUACCUCAGACUGGGUGAAGCCGAAAGCUAGCGUUCUUAAGAGAAUAUUCGGUCAGUGACUUAAAAGAUGAUAUAUUACUUACUUAUUUAUUUGCCCCCAGAUGCUUUUUUUGCUAUUUUCGCAGUCCGGACAUGCACUUUAGGGCAUGCCUCCCAGGGAAAGGAACCCUUAACGGAACUAUUCUCCCUGGAAGAUGUUUCUUACUAACCAUGUAAUAUAACAUAGCUAGUUGGGCACUUGUCUGAUAAAGCAAUUAUGACCCCAACGCCUUGUCUCCACGCAUGCCCCUGUUCUUCUAUAACCAUAAGGGUAUUCGGACACAGUCCGGACUGUUGGGUCCGGAGGUUGAAGAGAAAAGGUCCGCAAAGACAAACGAUCUAUAAUCCGGCUAGAAGGCAUUUUACAUGUCAUUCAAAUUACAUCGUCAAACUGACUGAUUGUACUCCUCUUCAAUCCCAUCUAACAGGCUGUCUAAUUUACAGUCCUGUUGGGAAUAUUUCGCGGCCAGUUCUACUUGGUCGUACAUCAAGCUCACAGGGAUCUCCUUCCCAUCAGGCCCCGCAGGUCCGACCUCGGCCAUGUGGUUUGGGUCAGCCUUCGGGUACCGCGUCUUCACCAUGGCCCAGGCCUCCCUGGCGCCUUGACGGCAGGCCGAUAUCUUCCACAGACGGAGGCGUCGCCGUGCUCCCUGAAGCUUCUCAGCAAGCCCUCCAAGGCCCUCGGGUAGGGAGAUGGAUGGCCAUAAAGCAUGAACGACGCCACUCAUCGCCUGCCGAACAUGUUCGAGCAGUUGCACCAGCUUGAGAAGUUGGUCACCCGUUGAACCAGGCAUUUCCUCCGCAGGGCGACCUGUGAGCACACCUAAAGACACAUUUCUGUCAAUCGACUUCCUCGCCGAAUUCUUCUUUUCAAAGGAAUUUGCUCAAGCACUUACUAUAAAUGCCGCGACGAAGCCGCUGAUUCUCCUUCACGAAGCCAGACAGCUGGGCCCGAACACCUUUCAGCUCUUCUCCUAGCUGGGUGUGGGCAUCUUGGAUCUUGUUUCUCUCCUGCUGCACCUUCAUAAGCACCUCUCGCCGGCCUUUAGCUGAUGCAGUAGCUAUUGCUUGUCCAGAUCUAGCCCGGCGCCCUCUGCAAUAUUAUUGUCAGACUUACGCACACGCCGCACUUUGUUAACUACUUAUCUUUUCGAAGUACGUAUUACCAGCGGGGGUCUCUGUGGCUCCCCCUGUGGUGGCUAGUGCGGCCUCAAGUUAGGCCUUGCACUCUUGGAGCUCCUGGGACAGGUGGGCAUUCUUCUCCGUAAGAUCCUGCAUAAUAAAUGAUCCUUAAAUCAGUUAUUUUAACUAUUUUAAGUCUCGGGGCUACUAGCAUAUAUAACUAUUAAAAUUACUUACCCGUAUGUCCUUCACAUACUGCUCCGUGGCUCUGGUUAAACCAUGUUGAGCAGCACGGAGGUGCGCGUUUCCCGCAUCAAAGGCAUUCAACGCCUCCAGGGAGAAACACGCGUCACGAAGAAUUGUCCGGCGACGCCUGUGAUUCAUGGCGCUCUCCACCUCAGACCGGGUGGCGGACAGCCUGUCGGCAUCCUUUGUCGGAGGAGCAUCCGGCUCUUGCCUUGUGUUCGCCUCCACUUCCGGACCACGCGAUGGAGCAUGGCUGGCGGAGGCUUGAUUGGCAACCUCUCCGGACAAUGUCCGGCGAAAGCUCUUUCUCCUGGAAAAAGUUAUGAGCAUUAAUAUACCUCCUAUGGAUCCUUCCCUCAAAAACAACGGUGCGCCGUACCGUUGCAGCGAUGUUUCGAUUCGCGUCACACUCCUCUUCCGCCUGCUGGGCCGAACUGACCCUUGCUGGUCAGCCGACGCAGGUUCGGCUUCCCGCCUUAAAGGCACCUCCUGCGAUGCACCAUCAGUAUAGGAUGGUCAGAAUUGAGCACGGAUCAAAUGAUGGUGUCAAGACCUCGGUCGUAGUCACCUGGGAGGCCGGAAACAAACCGGGGUAGUCAGCCGUAAUGGCGACUAGGGCAUUGUCCAUGCUAAGUUGGUGGAACACCCCGUCAAUCAGCUCCACCUUUAUGUCCGGAUCCUCUUCGGAGCCCGGAUCAAGGGAUCGUUCUGGAUCCUCGAGCUGUGAAGUUAGGCUUCGUAUGCCCUCCACGUCCCGGCGCAGCUCCUGCGUCAAAAUCACAAAGUAAAAUACUUGACUUUGGAAGUAUGGAUCGGGUAGAUAAACGUCUGCUUACCCAGCUCUGAGGGUUAUUCAUGGAGAAUCCGUUCAAUGGAUUUGUGCGGAGAAAGUCCUCCUCCUCCCCCUUGUACAAGCCGGACAGGAUCUUUGCCAGAUCGGCUGCCGAGCUCGGCCCUCUGCGGCCAUAACGGGUGGCGUCGUCUUCCCCAUUGAAAUCCCACAUAGGGUGGCCCCUAUAUUGGAGUGGCUGCACCCCUCGCAUAAUGCACGUGGCCAUGAUUCCAAUCAUGGUCAAUCCGGAGUGGGCCAGUAACCUAAUCCGGCCCAUCAGAUAAUGGACGCUCACAUCAUCCUCCCAUUGAGGGCUCCGCGGGCGCCAACUCAGGCGUUUCUUCAAGGGAGCAUUGCUGAACUCCGGGAGGCCGAUCUGAACUGGAUCUGGCAGAGGGGCGUCCUCCAUGUAGAACCAUUCUGAAGGCUAGUCUUCGGAUGCCUUCUUCGGGCUGCCGGAUAGAUAUCUGGUCCCAGUGAUGCUCCAUAUUUCAGCUCCGCCCACUUGAUAUAUCGACCCCUCAUAAGAACGGGGUACGAGGCAAAACAAUCUCUUCCACAGCGCAAAAUGGGGCUCGAUGCCCAGGAACAGCUCGCAAAGAGCUACAAAACCCGCGAUGUGCAAAAUGGAGGCAGGUGUGAGGUGGUGAAGCUGGAGUCCGUAGAACUCCAGGAGGCCCCGGAGAAACGGAAGUAUGGGAAAUCCGAGUCCCUUUAUUAGAUAAGGGACAAAGCAUACCCGCUCUCCUUUGGAAGGGUUGGGGACGCUCUCCGCCUGCUUUCCACCCUUGAAGGUGGCUAGUCCGGCUCGAACCGGAACCAUGAAAGCUGGGGGAAGAUAUCCCUCGGUUUGGAGCGCCACUAGCUCGCUGUGUGGAACUGAGCAUCUCCCCCAAUCUCCUGGCUUAGGGCUGGGAGCGCGAGAGGAGGAGCCGCGUCGACUAUCCAUGAUAGAAUGGAUUUUUGUCAGAGGCGCUUCGAUGAGAACUUGCGAAUGGAGGAUGGUGUGAGCUGGAUCUAGAUCCUCGCCUCUCUUAUAGGCGGCUCGUUCGCACGUCUAGGGGGUAAAAUGUAAAAAUACCCUAGCUUUUCGCAUUCAUAUGACACGUGGAAGAAGGCCAUUAUUGGGCGUAGAAGCCAAGGAGCGCAACAUUUAUAAGGAAGCCGGACACUAUUCAACAGGAACAUGAAGUUUGAAGCAGAACCCGCCUUGCAACGCCGAAGACAAUAUACGCGCCGGACUCGUCGUCGUUGAAGCCUGGUUCGGGGGCUACUGAGGGAGUUCAGUACUAGGGGGUGUCCGGAUAGCCGAACUAUCAUGAUCGGAUGGACUCCGAGACUAUGAAGAUACAAGAUUGAAGACUUCGUCCCGUGUCCGGAUGGGACUUUCCUUGGCGUGGAAGGCAAGCUUGGUGAUACGGAUAUGUAGAUCUCCUACCAUUGUAACCGACUUUGUGUAACCCUAGCCCUCUCCGGUGUCUAUAUAAACCGGAUGGCUUUAGUCCAUAGGACGAACAACAAUCAUACCAUAGGCUAGCUUCUAGGGUUUAGCCUCCUUGAUCUUGUGGUAGAUCCACUCUUGUAACACACAUCAUAAAUAUUAAUCAAGCAGGACGUAGGGUUUUACCUCCAUCAAGAGGGCCUGAACCUGGCUAAAACAUCGUGUCCCUCGUCUCCUAUUACCAUCCGCCUAGACGCACAGUUCGGGACCCCCUACCCAAGAUCCGCCGGUUUUGACACCGACAAAGAGUCUUGAGCUUUUGAGCUUGAGCCAAUCCUUUGUCCUUAGUAUUUUGAGGGAUCCACUUUCAUCAUCCAUGCCAUGCCAUUCAUUGAGUUUUCCAUAAAUAAUAGUCUUGGAAUAGCAUUAGCUCAGUGAGCUAUAUGUUGAUAUGAAUUACCAAAACCACCUAGGGAUAGUUGCACUUUCAAUCUCCCCCUUUUUGGUAAUUGAUGACAACAUAUAGAUCAAAGCUUCGACAAAUGAUAAUAAGAAUAAAAACAUCGUCGCUUUGAGAAGUAUGUGAUAAGCAAGAGCUCCCCCUAAAUUUGUGCAUUGUUUAAAAUUUGCUUUGGACUGCAAAUGCACAAGGAAUUAGGCUCAUGGGUUACUCUUCCAUGUCACAUACAUCUUGGUGGAGCACUCAAAAUGAUAAGUAUUGAAUACAUGCACUCAUCACCAAGCAAAGUGAAUGAUCACAUAAGAUAGAUAGGAUAAUAUCAUCAAACAUGCAUAAGUGUAGCUUAUGAUCAAACACAUGAUCAUCAAUGUCUCACAAGCAUAGUAUCUCAACCAAUCAAAAGCAAACAAGUUUAAACCAACAAUGCAAGAGAGAACAAAAGCAACACUCUCUCUCUCUCGAAGCCUAUGAUCUAUACAUUUUUCUCCCCCUUUGGCAACAAGUUACCAAAAAGUUCAUAGAAAAUGCAUAGUGCUAGGUCGACUCUCAGGCUUGAUCUUUAGUUGGUGGUGUAGAGAUGGCUCCUUGGACGAAGGCUUCAGUUGAUGUAGAGGGUGCUGGAGUUGAUGCUGAAGCUGGUUGCACUGGAGCUGAAGGGGCAGUAGCUGGUGCUGAAGAUGUUGCUCUAGUGUCUGGCACUGGCACAGCAGUUGACCUCUGAGCUCUAGGCACUCUGGCAAAGACAUUUGUUGUUGUCUUGCCCUUCCUCUUCUGCAUGUCAUCCUGCAGUUGCUCCACAACUGACUGAAUCUCAGUUACUUUGACAUCUAGAUCAUAGAAUUUUUGUUCCAUGAUUCUUUCCAAGCUCUCCUAGUUUUGAGUUAAGGUGCCAACCCCUUCUCAAUCCUCAGUGAUGAUGCUAUCAAGUAACCAAGCUGCUCCUGCUUGUUUUUCAAGAAAUACUCAGAUGCCUCCUCUUGAGUUGGCAUCUUGGCAGCCUUCUCCUUCCUUGCCUUCUCCCUCUUCUCUUGAGCUUGAACUGAUGAUGGAUCAUCCUCAUUCAUGACAACCUCAUUGUCUUCAAAGUCUAGAUAGAGUGGAAAAUGUUCCCUAUCCAAUAGAUAUUUGCCAGUUCCCAUCUUUGAGUUGAUCAAUUCCUGAAUCUGAGGUGCAUAACCACAGCUCCUCUUCUGAUCUGUUGCAGUCCUCUUAAUGGUUUCAACUAUAAGGCGCAUGACUUUGAAUUUCUGUGGCACAUCAAAUAAAUGCAACAUAUUGAUGGCAUGCCCUCUGAUCAUGUUGUGGUCACCAGACUUGGGCAACAGAGUGUGCCUCAGAAUCCAAUUGAUAGUAGGCAGACCUGACAACAGAAAAUGGACUGAUCCAAAAGAGAAAGUCUCUAGGGCUUUGUCUGGGAUCUCCUUGUACAUGUGUGCCAUGGUAUUGUGUCCCAUUUUCUUCUUGGCAUAUACAUCCAGAUCAUCAUCAUUUUCCUUUGGGGCAUUUAUCAGUUUUGCCCAUUCUUCAACAGUGGAUUGGUACCUUGUACCUUCAGACAUCCAAACAAUUCUUCCAUCUGGGUAAAAAUGUGCUGUGGAGUAGAAUUGCAUGAUAAGUUCAUCAUUCCAGUUUGUGAGCUUUUGCCCAACAAAAUCUGUAACUCCACAAGCAACAAAGUUGUCUUGCACUCCAGGAUAGUGCUCUUCAUUUUCCUUCAUGUAGGUCCAGUCGACCCACCUCAUAUCACAAACUAUGGGCUUCUUGUCCAAUAAGAUUGUCUCAUAGAAGUCCUGCUGUUCCUUUGUAUGGAACCUGUAAUCAACAACAGUUCUUCUCCUUGUGGCAUAUGGAUUUGCCAUCCUCCAUAGCCUCAAUCCUGAAUCUUUUCUGAUGUUCAUGUCCUCAGCCACAAGAUGGGCAUCAUUGUGAUCUGGUAUCUUGGGCUUGAGCUUCCUCGGAACUUGUCCUUCUUCUUCUUCCUCCUCAGCAACCUCAGGCACUGGGGCCUUGUUCUUCUCAGCAGCUGGAAUACUCCUGGUAUUCCUCUUUGGUUAAGACUUGGCCUUGGGGGCAGCUUUGGGUGCUUCCUUGGGCUUAGAUGUUGCAGCCCCUGAUCUAAUAGCAUCACCCGUAAGCUCUUCCUCUUCCAUCAUGGAAGGUUGACCAACAACUCUGGCCAUGGUCUUCUUGACCCUUUCCUUCCUCUUCUUGCCUUCAGCAGCUGGCUCUUUAGGAUCGGGCUUUUCAGGCAGUUGAGUUGAUGCUCUGGCCUUGGACAUUGGUUGUCUUCCUGCAGGCCUUUUAAUCUUCAUGUCUGGCUUUAUAUCCUUUGCUGAGCCAUAUUCCUUCUUGAGCACCACUUUCUUGGAAGUAGCCUCAUCUUCUUCAGCUUUGUAGUCCUCAUCUUCUGAGUCUGAGGUUCUCUUUCUCCUUUGCCUGGUAGCAGCCUUAGGCAGGUUGCUAGGAGUGCUUCUGCUCCCUUCAUCUGAAGUGCUAGAGGGACUAGUGCCCUCACUCAUGUGAAUCUGCUCUGCUGACCUGUUCUGGCUGUCACUCUGGUCUGACAUGCUGCAAAAGCUGACUGCUGACCCUGUGAAGAGUUAUAGAUGAGAUAGAGUGGAUGAGCAUCACAAAAUGCAGAGAUUUUUCAAAAGAAUGAUUCAAAAAUUAAGUUUUAAUUUUCCACAGAAAGCAUUUCGGAUCAACCGAUUUUCAAACUCGGUGAUACCGAAGCAGUUUUUGGAACCUAAAAUGAUGAACUUGGUUGGACCGAGUCACAGUUCGGUGGCACCGAGACUACUAAGGUUUCACAGAAUCCUAAAAUCGGUCGCACCGAUUAGUAAUUCUCGGUCAGACCGAGAGUCACUAGUGCAAUGGCAUAUGCCAAAUCGGUGAGACCGAGUUUUUCAACUCGGUUGGUCCGAGAUGGUUUUGGCGGGAACCUAACCCUAAAAAUUUGAAUCUAAUAUACUCUACGGACUACUUUGGCUGGAUAGGAUUGUUUCAAUCGUGGCAAGAAUCAAUAAGAGUACAAUGUGCUAGGAAUCAGAUGUGGAUAGCACAAAGAUCGAGUCCAUACCCUAGUGCGGCGAUGAACUCGCUACGGCGGCAAUGGUGGGGUUGAAUUCCAUUGACAGCGGCAGAGACCAGCGACAGGAGGCGGCUGGCGACGAGGAGACGAUCCGGAGACCUUUGAUGGCAGAGUGAGCUAUUGCGCGGGCGAAAGGGUUCAGAGAAAUUUCCAAAAUUUUGCCCGUGUCUAUAUAUAGCCCGACCCUGUCGGUGUGACCGAGUGGAACAACUCGGUGGCACCGAGAUGAAUAAUUGUGUUCAGUUACAGCAACUCGGUGUGACCGAAAAGUUCAAAUCGGUUGCAUCGAGAUUGAAAGAUCAACUUAAUGAUCUCGGUAGGACCGAAAUGGAGGAAUCGGUCAAACCGAGAAUCACAAAGAGGUUUUGGAAGUUUAAGUCUAUGACGAAUCGGGGACUCCGAGUUCUCCUCACACAGAGUGGUUCGAAUCUGACUUGAUCAAAUUUUGUGAUGUAGCAUGAAUAGAGUUUGAGACGAGAAAAACAUAGAUAGCUAGAGAGGGUUCUUAGGCAUUCUUGUCCAUCCACUUGGCCAAAAGAAGAAAGAACCAAACAAUCAAAACAACAAGUGGAUUGUCGGGGGUUGGGUGCGACAUAUGCCAACGGAUGGCUUAUCAUGGUGGGAGCGAGUAGAACGUCGCCGGUGCCCGGAAGCGGGAUGAGGCGAAGACAUGCACGCCGGCGGAUCUUACCCAGCUUCAGAGCUCUCCGAGGAGAUAACACCCCUACUGCUGCUCUGCGGGGUCUCCGCAUGGUCACUAUGGAAAAGUGAGUACAAGGUUGCUCCUCGAGCUGUAUUCUGGAGGUAGGAGAAGGCAAGGCUAGCUCUUUCCUUCCUAUUUGCUAUGGUCUAGUUCUAAUGGAUUCGAACCAUUUGCAUGGGUGCCCCGGGGGGUUUAUAUAGGCCUACCCCUCGGGGGUACAAUGGUAGUUUGGCUGGGCGUGGGUCCCAGCCGUCUGUCUCUCAGGCCACCAUCUUCUCCGCCGACUGCUGGGGCCCGCCGACUAGUGGGCCCCGCCGACAGGUCUGGUACUAUAGCCGUGCUUCUAAUGACGCAGGCUUGGUCAUGGGGUCGUGGCAACAGUGCCGCCGUCUGACGGGCGAUCACUGUCGCCAUUCGCCGUCUCGUCUGGUUAAUGGCGUGCGGGGCCCGUGGGAGGGGCCAGCCGACUCCAGGGGGCCGACUCCCACGGGUCCGUCUUCGGGGCGCUCUUGCCGUCUUCGGUGCUCCCGUUGAUAGGCGGGUCCCUCUGUCUCUGGGUUGUACAGGUAGGCCAUCGUGGCCAUAGUGCGCUGCCCACUUAGGCUGAGGUCAGGGUAGGCAUGGCAACGGUGCCGCGCCACGAUGGAGAUAUCUAGCGAUUCGGCGCACUAUAGCCAUGCCAGCCCCUCGUAAGCAAGGUAGAGACGGACACGCUAUGAGCAUAACCCGCCCUGUCCAUCACGGUGAAGGCAGGAGGUGGUUGGAGUCGCGAGCCGACUCCCCUCAGCCGGCUUCUCUGGAAGCCGUCAGCUGAGAGUCGGUUUAUCUAGGAGUCGUCCCUGGGACUCUGCAUAUCUUGGAGUCAUCCCUGGGACUCGGCUUGAGGGGUGCACCCUGUCCCGAUGUCUUGAAAGGUUCUGGGGCUCGGGUUAGCCUACCCGUGGCCCGUUACUCCAACAGUAGUCCCCAAAGCUGGUGAGGCUCCGCGGAUACUACGUCGUGGGGCCUCAACAGUUUCAUUCUUCUGGUGGUGGAAUCUGGGCUUUGCUUGCCGUCUUCCUUCAGGCCGACUAUCCGGAGUCGGACUCGCAGAGGGCCGCCUCACUCCCUAAGGAGUUUGAACGUCACGGCGGGAACCAGGCGGCGUGCCUGAUACGCUUCCCCGCGAUCGCCCGCCGCGGCCCCGUCGCUCGGUGCCAUGCGGCGAGGACAGUCUGCCUACCCACGCGCGCGACGGGACAGGCUGUCAGGCGGGGCCCGCCACUACCGUGCCUCGGCACGCGAACGGAUCCGUUGUGGCCGUGCGGACGGUUGGGUUUCCCACAUUGUUACUGCGCGCAGUAACUUCAUGGGGUAAAUCGUGGGGAGCGUGGGGUCCCAUGCGCAGUUAAUCCCACGCCCGCCCCAUCGGCUUCUCAGCCUUCGAGGCUAUAAGUAGGCGGGAGGAGAGGAGCGGCGAAGCACACGCGCCCAUCCUCCCUGCUCCCCCGCCUCCUCUUGCCUCCUCUGCUUCCUGUCUCCUUCUUGCCGCCGUCGUGCCGAACCACGCCGCGCCUGCAGCGAUGAGCACUUCCUCCGCCGCCGCGGCUCCUGCCGUGCACUCCGGCGUGUGGGACGGCUCCGAAGUGGACAACGACCUCAUCGAGUUUCUUCGCAAGACGCGCCGCCUCCCCGGUGCGAACCUCGUGCGAGCCCGCGCUGCACCGGCGAGGGAGAUAUCGCCGGCGCCAGAGGAGGGUGAGCGGGUCAUUUUCCGCUCGCACCUCAUGCGCGGCCUGGGGCUGCCGGCGAGCGGCUUCUUUCGCUCCUUCUUGGACUUCCAUGGGCUCCAGCCGCACCACCUCACGCCGAACGCGGUGGUGCUGCUGGCUGCCUUCGCCACCCUGUGCGAAGGCUUCCUCGGUGUUCUCCCCACCAUCGAGCUGUGGGGAGAAUUCUUCCAAUCCAAGCUCGGCACGCACGUCGCCGGCGUGCCGGUCCAGUGCGGCACCUUCAUUGCGAUGCGGCAAUCGACAGCUGACAAUCUGUUUCCCUCCAUCCCGCUGAUCAAGUCGGUGAAGAUGUGGCAGCGGUCUUAUUUCUACGUGAAGAAUGUCGCCCCAGACGGCGACUGGGUCAAUUUGUCGCCUUACGAAGCCGGCGCACCGGCUUGUAGGCUCCCUAGCUGGUCUCAUCGAGUCAAGACACUGACUCCCGCCGGAGCCGCCGCCGUAGCGCGUCUCCGAGUUCUGACGCAGUCGGAGGGCCUGGUUGGGGCCGACUUGCUGGCCACCUUCGUGGCGCGCCGAGUCCUCCCUCUCCAAGGCCGGCCUCAUCUGAUCAGUCAGAUGAGCGACCACCGGGACCCGAGUCGGAUGUGCACCAGGGACAUGCCCCGCGCGGAAGUGGCGAACAUGGUGAACCACAUCGCAAACUGUGAGCUCGCGGCGGACUGGCAGUUCGGCAAGGAGCCGUACUCGCGCGCCAAUCCCCCUCCGACGGUAAGUCGCAUCUCUUGUUGCUCUGUUUUCUUUGUAGCCGAAUCCGACUUCUGAUCUUUUUGGUUUCUUUGAGUUAGAACCCCCUCAUUCAGCCUGCAGCCGGCGUCGAAAGACCGCCCCGUGAGUUCGUCCCCGACCGAGCGGAGAGCAACGUCAAUGACCCCGACUUGGGGGCGGCGGCGAUGGAGGCCGACGCCGAAGGCGGAGGAGGAGGAGCGGGAAGCGGCUUCAGGCCCUCGGCUACCUUCGCCGACUUGCCUGAAGAUGAGUUCGAAUGGGAAGUCGCCCCGCGCCACCAGCCAAGGGUCGGCCAGCCGGGUGCGAGUUCCUCCGCCGGCUUGGCCGGUCAAGGCGGCGUGAAGAGGUGCCAGGCUGGGCCGAGUUUGCUCGGCGGCAAGCCGAAGAAGUUCAAGGGGGCGGCCGCCGCGACCAAGCGGGAGGAGGCGGCCGCGAAGGCCAACCGAUUCCGCAAGGAAGUGAAGAGGCCGCCACUGCUCUCUGCGUAAGUGUUUCUGCCUUCGUCUUAUUUUCCUUUGGUGAAUCAUGUUCGAGUCUUUUACACCCCCUCCUUGCUUAAGGGCUGCUCUUACCCUAGAAAGGGUCGCCGCCCCCUCCGUCAUGGGGUCGGUAGAGACGUCCGCCAACACUCGGCGGGUUGACGCCGCCGCCGACCUCCGAGAGGCGACGGAGCAAAACGCGUAGGAGAAGCACGACGACGAGGAGGCCGGCCGCCUGGAGAAGGCGGAGGCUGAGAAGGCGGCGACCUCCGCCCAGAAAAAGCUGGGAGAGGCCGAAGCCGCCAUUACAGCAAGGCGGCAAGCCGAGGAGGCCACGCACCGCCAAUCGGUGUUAUUCGUCAUCCCGCUGACCUCCGCGCCGCCGCCCCCGGAGUUCACGGGGCAGACUGGAGAAGCCGGCGCCGAGAACCCCAUCGUGGAGAAGGAAAGCGGCGUGGCCUCCAUGUCGGACACGCUCGUGCUGCCACCGCCGCCUCCGCCGCCGUCUGGGAGCACGCGUGGAAAACAGCCGGUGGGCCCGCCGGUGCCGCCGACUGCGGACGAGUCUGAGGCGAGGCUGCUCCUUCAAGUUGCCUCGCCAGCGCGCCGCCGCCUUGAGAAGGCGACUUCGGCGCCGCGACCCUUGGAGACCGGUGCCGCCAGCUCAGCCAUUCCAGACGCCGAGGCGACGAGCGCCGUGCCCGUUGGGUGGGUGCACAAAGGCGGCACAGGUCCGCUGAACCGGGCACUUCUGGACGUCCAGGCGAAGCUGCAAGCCGAGGGCGACGCCCUCCAAAACUGCACCAGGGUGCAUCUGGCGUCGCGAACAGCCGUCCGAGUAUGCUUUCCUCUUUUGAUUCUUGUUUUUCUUGUUCUUCUCUGUGGGGGCGCGCUAGCGCACCCACUGGGAGUAGUCCCCGAGUUUCGGGCCGGCUACUGAGCAGGCGGUUCGGAACUCCCUCUGGCGAGUUCCAAAUAUUUAUCUUUGUCUGAAAUGCUUAUUACAGGAGUAUCACAACCUCCGCGCUACUGCCUUCAACCGCAAUGUUGAGGAGCUGGGCAAGCGGACUGCCGACUUGUCAGAGAGCCGGAGUGAGUCCUUCUUAUUCUUCUUUUCUUUGCGGGGGCGAGCUGGCGCACCCGCGGGCUAUAGUCCCUGAGAUUCGGGCCGACUGCUGAGCAGUCGGGCCGGAUCUUCUCAGCGACUUUCUUUGUUGACGACUUAACGUCUUUUCUCUUCUUUUUUUAUUCUUCAGAGGCCAACGCCACUCUUCAGCAGCAGCUGGGCGAGGCCAACACCGCCUUGUGCGCCAAGGGGGAGGAGUGCGGCAAUCUUGCCAUGGAGCGUGAUCUACUGGCCGCGUAGCUGGCGGAGCAAAAGGAGCUGCUCAAGAAGGCGCAGGAGGAGGCAGAUAAGAAAGAGGCUGCGCUCCUGUCCGAGUUCGAGAGCGAGCGCUCCUCCUGGACCGACAAGGAGGCGCAGCUGACUUCCGGCUUCCAUGAGAUCGAGGACAUCAUCGAUGGUGAGUUUCUUGGUUUCCUUGGAGCCGUCGACUGUGGGUCGGGCCGACUUCUGAUUCUGACUUGUUUCUUUUUUGUCUUGGCAGACUUCUUCCCUGGCCACUCGCAGGCAGUCACACAGGCCAUCGAGGCUGAUCGCGAGGCACGGAGGGAAAAUGGCGCGGAGAUUGCUGCUAACGCCUCCCUGACCAUCGACGAGCAGCUUCUGAGUAUCGAGGCCCGUCUUCGGCUGGCCCAUCGGUUGAUGUGCCGGCUUCAGCAUGCCGGCGCCCAAGCGGUUGCCGCUCUGUGGCCAGACACGCCGGUUCUGCGCACUGCCAGUCGGACUGCCUACUGGCUGGAGGUCGCAGCUGGCCGUCUUGAAUCCUGGAAGGGUUCCUCGGCCCGGGCCAGAGCGCGCCGAGCAAUGGAAUUUGUCAAGGCGUGGUAUCCGGGGCUGGACCUGGACCGGCUGGCCGUGUUUCAGUCAGAGGCCCAGGCAGAGCUGGUGGCUAUGGAGGGCGCCCUCGUCGAGCGUGCGGCGGCGAUUGCCAACUACACAGAUACCAACGUCUUCGUCCCUGAGCGGGCUGCAGGCAGCGAGGAGGUGCCGCCGGAGUGGUUCGGGAUGACCCCGGACUACGACGAGGACUCGGCGGAGGUGAUUGGCUCCAACACCGAGGAGGAAGGCAAGGCUGAGGACGAAGGCGAGACAGAGGCGCCAGAAGACGGGGCGGGCGACCAGCCUCAGCUCGACCGUGCCUCUAGCAACGAGCCGCGUCCUGAGAGGGCGGCUACCGCCGGAGACGAUCAAGCCGAGACUGCCCAGCCGGCUGCCCCGGCGCCUGACACCGCCGUCUCCUCCGACCCUCCGAACCCGUCUACCGCUCCCUAGGCUGCCGUCUGGCUUUAUUUUAUCUGCUUUAAGAGUCUUUGAAGAACUUUGUUAAUUCGAACAAUUCCACUCGCGGGGUGUAUUUGAACUUCUACUUGAAGAUCCGGCCAAGGGCCUAUGUAAAUAUUUAUCCUAGUUCUAUAUUUCCUUGCUCAUUGCUCUUUUGGCUUUCCCCUUUGCCGCCUUCCCUUAGUCGCCGCCUUGCCAGUCGGACAACUGCUCUGCGGACUGCCACUGGAUCAAACGCUUGGCUACUUUGGGAAGGCAAGUACUUAGCCAUUUUAGAGUCUUUUUAACAAGUCGGAUAGAAAGCGGUAAGCCGACUACUAAAGAGUCGGCUUGACUAAGAGAGGCAGGAAGCCGGUUUGAGCUCUGUUUAUGCUUUGAGUCCUUAGCCAUUUUUGUGCCGACGCCCAUUCUUCCUUACUCCUAUCCACCAAUCAGUUGCUCUGCGAGUUGCGGCUUCUGAUAGGAGACGGCUUAGGCGCCACGCACUACUUGUCCGACUGCAGGAAGCAUUUCAUAGCGCAAGGCGGCGAGUCCCCGGGCCGACUAGUCGAGCCCGGUGCCAAGCGGCAUAACAAAGAGUAGUAUACCCGAAGGCAUAAUUCUUAUCAUACAGAUAACAAAAAGGGGCAGUCCCCGAGCUCGUCUCGGGGGGGCCAAAGUCUUGGUACUUUAAUACAAAGGGUAGUGCGAUACAUACUGCAUUAACUGUAAAAUCUUCGGAGAAGAUUUGCAUUCCACGGGCGUUCUGUCUCUUUGCCGGAGUCGUCCCUCUUGCAUGCUCGGGGCUUCUGAGCGUCGAUCACGUAGUAGGAGUCGUUUCCCAGCACCUUCUUGAUAAUGAAGGGGCCUUCCCAAGGCGCUGACAGCUUGUGCUGGCCGGCUGUUCGCUGGAUCAGACGGAGCACGAGGUCGCCCUCUUGGAAAGAUCUUGGCCUGACCUUCCUGUUGUAGUAUCGGCGCAGACUCUGCUGGUAGAUGCUGGACCGGCUGAGUGCCAACAACCGGCCCUCUUCCAGUAGAUUGACGCUGUCUUGACGUGCUUCUUCUGCUUCUUCCUCGGUGUACAUGGUGACUCGCGGGGAGUCGAACUCUAUGUCCAUCGGGAUGACGGCUUCGGCACCGUAGACGAGGAAGAAAGGUGUGAAGUUGGUUGACUUGUUUGGAGUCGUGCGCAGACUCCAGAGGACCGCUGGCAACUCAUCAAGCCAACAGCUGGCCGAACGCUCCAGUGGUUCGACCAGUCGAGGCUUGAUGCCAGACAGGAUGAGGUUGUUUGCUCGCUCCACCUGGCCGUUUGACUGCGGAUGGGCAACAGACGCUAAGUCCAGUCGGAUGCCCUGCGUCGCGCAGAAACGGGCCAAGGCGCCUUUGGCAAAAUUUGUGCCAUUGUCGGUGAUGAUGUUGUGUGGGAUGCCGUACCGAGUCGUGAUGUCGGCGAUGAAAGUCACUGCAGUCGGACCAUUCAACUUCUUGAUGGGUUUUACUUCUAUCCACUUGGUGAACUUGUCCACCGUGACAAGUAGGUGAGUUAGGCUGCCUCGUGCCAUCUUGAAUGGUCCCACCAUGUCCAGGCCCCAAACCGCAAAGGGCCAGGCGAUGGGGAUGGUCUUGAGUGCGGAAGCUAGCUGAAGCGGCUUGGAAUGGAACAUCUGGCACCCCUUGCAUUUUUGGACUAAUUCCUUGGCCUCUUCUAGGGCAGUUGGCAAGAAGAAACCAUGCCGGAAGGCUUUGGCGACGAGUGCUCUUGAAGCCGCAUGGUGGCCGCACUCGCCUUCAUGGAUGUCUCUGAGAAUUGCUUGGCCUUAUUCUGCCUCGACGCCGCGUUGGUAGACACCAGUGACACUACGCCUGACCAGCUCUCUAUUGACUAUGGUGUGGGCUGUCGCUCGGCAUUGUACUUGUCGAGCCAAGAUUUCAUCAGUUGGCAACUCUUUGUUUACUAGGAACUUGAGGAUGGGCUGGGCCCAUGAGGGUGCUGCUAUUUCUUCAAUUGCCACUAUUGCGACUUGGACGAGGGCGGCUGGGCUGGGAGGCGGCGGGUUGGAGUCCGCAGCCGCUUGCUGAAUUGAUGAAGUCCCCGGGUCGACUGGAGCAGUCCCUGGGCCGGGCUCUGGAGUCUUUGGUCUGGUCGCCGCAGUCCCCGGGCCGGGUUCUGAAGUCCUCGAGCCAGCUUCGGCUGCAGCAUUCUUGGAGUCGGAUCCGACUUCUUCGGGUGGAGCCGGCACAAAGAUGGAGUAUGACUCUGGUGAAGGCUUGAUAGACGGCUUGAGGAUGCGCCGAAGGGCGACGCCAGAUGGUAUUGCUUGGCGGGUGGAGCCGACUCGUGCCAGGGCGUCUGCUUGGUCGUUGUCAUUCCUUGGCACGUGGAGGAACUCGCACCCCUCGAAAGAUCCGCUGAGUUGCUGCACAAGGAAGCGGUAGCUCGCCAUGUUUGCAUCUUUGGCGUCCCAGUCACCAGAUGACUGCUAUACCACCAAAUCGGAGUCACCAUAGCACAGGAUCCGGCGGAUGCCGAGCUCUUUGGCAAGCCGGAGCCCGUGAAUGAGUGCCUCGUAUUCAGCGACGUUGUUGGAGGCGGCGAAGUGGAUAUGCAGCGCAUAUCUGAGCUUAUCGCCUUUGGGGGAAGUGAGGACGACAUCGGCUCCCAAGCCGGUGCGCAUCUUGGAGCCGUCGAAAUGCAUCCGCCAAUGGGUGGAGUCGGGCGCUGGCGGCAGGUACUGGAUCUUGGCCCAGUCGACGAGGAAGUCGGCCAGUGCUUGCGACUUGAUGGCGGUGCGCGGCUGGUAGUAGAUGGUGUAGGGAGCCAGACCGAUGGCCCAUUUGGCCACUCGGCCCGAAGCAUCUCGGCUUCCAGUGAUCUCGGCCAGUGGGGCUGUGCAGACCACAGUGAUUGGAUGCUCCUGGAAGUAAGGCUUCAAUUUCUUGGCGGCAAAGUGCAUGCCGUAGCACAUCUUCUGGUAGUGGGGGUAGUUCUGCUUGGAGGCCGACAGUACUUCGCUCAGGUAAUAUACCGGUCUCUGGACAGGUAGCACCUUGCCUUCCUCCUUGCGCUCAACUACAAUGACUGUACUGACUACUCGGCUGGUGGCGGCAAUGUAUAGGAGCAUGGGCUCUUUGGGAGUCGGAGCCGCCAGCAUAGGGGGAGUAGUCAACAUUUUCUUCAGCUGGAGAAAAGCUUCGUCCGCCUUGGGAGUCCACUCAAAAAAGGUCGUCUUCUUCAUGAGCUGAUAUAAGGGGAGAGCCUUCUCGCCCAGCCGACUGAUGAAUCGGCUGAUGGACGCCAAACAGCCAGUGAACUUUUGCACAUCUAACAGUCGUCUGGGUGCUUCCAUCCUCUCAAUGGCCUUGAUCUUCACAGGUUUGCACUCUAUGCCGCGUUCGAAGACCAGGAAGCCAAGGAGUUGGCCGGCUGGUACUCCGAAGACGCAUUUCUCUGGGUUGAGCUUGAUCUGGAAUCAGCGCAGGUUCUCAAACGUUUCUUUGAGGUCUUCCAGCAAUGUUCCGUGCUUCUCCGUCUUCACCACUACAUCGUCCAUGUAGACGUGGGCGUUUCUGUCGAGUUGCUUGAGGAGGCACUUCUGCAUACAAUGCUGAAAGGUGGCGCCUGCAAUCCUCAAGCCGAACGUCAUGGUCAGGUAGCAGAAGGCUCCAAACGGCAUGAUGAAGGCGAUCUUCAGUCUGUCAGCCGGGUUCAGCUUGAUCUGGUGAUAUCCAGAAUAUGCAUCUAAGAAACUCAACAGCUCACAUCCGGCUGUGGAGUCUAUCACCUGAUCAAUUCUCGACAGAGUGAAUGGGUCCUUGGGACAGGCUUUAUUGAGGCUUGUGUAGUCGAUACACAUCCGCCACUACUUGUUCUUCUUCAGCACCAGGACUGGGUUUGCUAGCCACUCUGGGAAAAACACUUCCAUGAUGAAGCCGGCUGCCAGGAGCCGGGCUAUUUCUUCUCCAACAACUCUUCUCUUCUCUUCUGACAUGCGGCGCAAGGGCUGCCUGACGGGCUUCACAUCAGACCGGACAUGUAACUUGUGCUCGGCGAAUUCCGUCGGUACACCUGGCAUGUCUUUAGGGGACCAUGCGAAGAUGUCUCGAUUCUCACGGAGGAAAUCGACGAGCUCGCCUUCCUAUUCGCUGUCAAGGUUUGUACCCAUGACAGCGUACCUCUCUGGGUGCUCCGGGUCCAAGGGUAUCUUCUUUGUUUCUCUGGCUGGCUUGAAUGAUCCUUCUGCUUCCGACUCCUUGGGGUCGGGCGACAACUCGGGCUGCUUGCCGGCCAUCUCCAAAACCCUAUCAAGAAGUCGCUUCUCAGUCGCGAUCACCAAGGACUCGGCCAGCCGACUGCUUUUGGCCGCGCAUGCGGACGACUUUCUGUAGUCGCCGUCCACGGUUAGAAUUCCCUUGGAACUCGGCAUCUUCAUCUUGAGGUAGGCGUAGUGGGGGACCGCCAUGAACUUGGCCAAAGCAGGUCGGCCAAGCAACGCGUGGUACGGGCUUUCGAGGUCCACCACUUCAAACCAAACUGGCUCUCGGCGGAAAUGAUCUUUGUCCCCAAAGAGGACAUCUAUCAGGAUCUUGCCGGUUGGCGAGUAGGAAAGGCCGGGAACAACGCCGUGGAACACAGUCCGGCUGCUCUGAAGCUGUCUUUGCUUGAUUCCUAACUUCUCCAUGGUAUCCUUGUACAGGAUGUUGAUACUGCUACCUCCGUCUAUCAGCACUUGCGAGAAACGAGCGGCCCGCCUAUCUGUGGUGAGUGUGGCGCCCAAGACCAGGGCGUAGGAGCCCGGAUUUGGCAUCACCUCUGGGUGAUCUGCUCUGCUCCAAUUGAUAGGCUUCUCGGACCAGUGCAUGAACUCUGGAGUGCUUGACGCGACUGCAUUCACCUCUUGCUGCUGCUGCCGCCUGCUGCAUCGAUCGUCAGCCACACUGGUGAACACCACAUAGGCUCCGUGCUCCUCUGGGUACUCGUCUUGUAUUUCACCGACUGGCCUGACAGCCGGCUGCUGAGGCGGCGGUGGAGGCGGCGGCCCAGCAGGCGGGGGAGGGAGUAGGCCGUCUCCCUUAGCGAUUCUGGUGAGCUAGUGGCAUUUCCGGGUAGUGUGGUUCGACGGCUUCGCACCGCUGUGGAACUUGCAGGGGCCAUCUAGGGUCUGCUCGUAGGAGAAGGCCGGCAGCUAGUUGGACUUGUCGCCUUUCUGUCGCUUCGCCGGAGGCUGCUCCUCCGGCUGCUGGUCUUCGACUGUCGCAACUUGCCGGCUACUGGAAGCCGGCUGCGGAGCCUUGCGCUUGUGGUCGUUCUGCUGUUGUCGUCGACUAGCGUCCCCAGCCGGUGUUUUGGGAGCCUGAGGGGCGACUUUUCCAGUCGCACUAACUUGAAUCUCCGCCUUCAUCGAGGAGUCGGCUGUUGCGUACUUGUCUGCUAUGAUCAGCAGCUCGUCGAGGGUCUCCGGCUCGUCGCAGAGGAGCUUGUGCUUGAGGAGGGUGCCUUCUCUGCACCCGGCAGUGAAGUACUCGAUAGCUUGCACCUCGUGCACACCCUCGCAGGAGUUUCGAAGCUCAGCACAACGCGUGAGGUAGUCGCGAGUCGACUCGUUGGGGCUUUGUACGCACAAGGAGAGUUGGCGAGGCUUGGGAGGCCGCUUGUACGUGCUCGUGAAGUUGCGGACGAAGGCUUCGGUGAAGUCGACCCAGCUGUCGAUGCUGCGGGGCUUCAGGCUGUUCAACCAUGUCUGGGCCGUGCCCUGGAGCAUGAGUGGAACAUACUUCACGGCAACACGCUUGUUGCCGUUUGCUAUGUUGACAGCCGUAGAGUAGUCAACUAACCAAUCUUCUGGCUUCACAGAGCCGGUGUACUUGGGUGUAUCUCGAGGGAGCGUGAAACCUUUGGGGAAGGGCUCAUCUUGGAUGCGGGGCCCGAAACAGGGAGGGCCCAACUCGUCUUCUUCUUCCAGCGCCAGGGAUCGGUGAAGUCGGUCGAUCCGGUGGCGGGCGUUGUUCUCUCCGACUCCCUCUCAGCGGCCAAGGUGGUCGCCGAGAGUCGGAUGCUCAACAGGUAGCAGGGAGACUCGCCUUUCUUUGCGAGGAGGAGGAGGCAGAUAGUCGUCCUGCCGUUCUACCGCUUUGGGGCGGCCGUCUUGGUCGCGCUCGAUCGUGAUGUGAGUCCGACUGUGGCUGACAGCCGGAUCCUUGUCUUUUCUUCCGCGGACACCGCCUGUUGGUGUCCGAGACGUCGCGCCUUGAUCUCGGCAGGGAGGCAAGUCGUCGUUUUGUCACUGCGGCGCCUCCAUGCGGCAGCCGACUUCAUUUUGCGCGGCAGUCGCAUCGAGGAGCUGCGGAACUCGCCCCGUCAUCAGGCGGCGCUCUUCACCUUUGAAGUUGUCCAGCUCAUCCGCCGCUGCCUGGGCAGCGCGGAUGUUCUCCGCAGGCAUGGCGUACACAGGGCGAUUGGCCCCGAACAGGCUGGCAAUGGCCAUGCCACGCUGUCGGACCGCGCCUAGGCGGCUAGGCCCAGUCGGAGCCGGCGAGCCGCCCACAGCGCGAUCCAUCUCACGCUGGUAGGCUUCUAACAAGCGUCUCAUGCUCGCCAGCUUCUUCGCGUCUUUGACGAGCUGAAGGCAGCGCGCCUCCAGCAUCUCGGCGUCAGCGUCUUCCAGAAUGGGCACGGUCAGGUCUCAUAGAGCCGCGUCGAGUGGGUCAUGAGCUCCCUCACCGGAGUGCUCGCCAUGACUGAUGACGAGCACCUCCGUGACGGCGCUUCCGCCACUCUCCUCGUGAGGGAGCGGCUCGUCGUAGACCACCACAUUGGUGGGGAAUGUGUCGAGCGACACGCUGUCGGAGUCGACCAGCAUCGGGUCGGUGGAGCCUACGGACUCUAAGUCCACGGCGGGCUUGCCGGUGCCGUGGAGUUGGUCGAGGAGGCCCGCGAGGAGGCUCUCGGGGCCGCCCGUGCCUGCAUCGGAUGCAGGCUCGUCGGAGAUGCAAACCUCGCCAAGAAGAUCUGCGAGGCAGCUCGCCGCGCAGGCAUCGUCGAUGUCUUGCAGCGCGUCGGGGCAAGCGCCAUCGGGCGUGCCGGGCUGGCUACGCUUGCUGGGGAGAAAAAGGGUUCCCGUCCAGAGCAGGUCUCCGGACGACGGUGCACCUCGCCCCAUGGUGGGCCCCAAAUGUCGGGGGUUGGGUGCGACAUAUGCCAACGGAUGGCUUAUCACGGUGGGAGCGAGUAGAACGUCGCCGGUGCCCGGAAGCGGGAUGAGGCGAAGACAUGCACGCCGACGGAUCUUACCCAGCUUCAGGGCUCUCCGAGGAGAUAACACCCGUACUGCUGCUCUGUGGGGUCUCCGCAUGGUCACUAUGGCAAAGUGAGUACAAGGUUGCUCCCCGAGCUGUAUUCUGGAGGUAGGAGAAGGCAAGGCUAGCUCUUUCCUUCCUAUUUGCUAUGGUCUAGUGCUAAUGGAUUUGAACCCUUUGCAUGGGUGCCCCGGGGGGUUUACAUAGGCCUACCCCCCGGGGGUACAAUGGUAAUCCGGCUGGGCACGGGUCCCAGCCAUCUGUCUCUCAGGCCACCUUCUUCUCCGCCGACUGGUGGGCCCCGCCGACAGGUCCGGUACUGUAGCCGUGCUUCUAAUGACACAGGCUUGGUCAUGGGGUCAUGGCAACAGUGCCGCCGUCUGACGGACGAUCACUGUCGCCAUUCCCUGUCUCGUCUGGUUAAUGGCGUGCGGGGCCCGUGGGAGGGGCCAGCCGACUCCAGGGGGCCGACUCCCACGGGUCCAUCUUCGGGGCGCUUGUCGGUGUCAAAACCGACGGAUCUCGGGUAGGGGGUCCCGAACUGUGCGUCUAGGCGGAUGGUAACAGGAGACAAGGGACGCGAUGUUUUUACCCAGGUUCGGGCCCUCUAGAUGGAGGUAAAACCCUACUCCUGCUUGAUUAAUAUUGAUGAUAUGGGUAUUACAAGAGUAGAUCUACCACGAGAUCGGAGUGGCUAAACCCUAGAAGCUAACCUACGGUAUGAUUGUUGUUCGUCCUAUGGACUAAAACUCUCCGGUUUAUAUAGACACCAGAGAGGACUAGGGUUACAUGGAGUCGGUUACAAUGGGAGGAGAUCUUCAUAUCGUAUCGCUAAGCUUGCCUUCCACGCCAAGGAAAGUCCCAUCCGGACACAGGACGGAGUCUUCAAUCUUGUAUCUUCAUAGUCCAAGAGUCCGGCCAAAGGUCUUAGUCCGGCCAUCCGGACACCCCCUAAUCCAGGACUCCCUCAGUAGCCCCCGAACCAGGCUUCAAUGACGACGAGUCCGUCGCGCAACUCGUCUUCGGCAUUGCAAGGCGGGUUCUCCUUCAAAUUCCAUGUAUCCAUCAAAUAGUGUUCGGCUUCUAGCGCGUGUUGUCCUCCUCGGCUUCUGUGUCCCAUAAUGACCAUCUUCCACGCGUCAAACAAAUGUGAAAAGCCAGGGGAUUUUCUUUUCACUUACCCCCCGGUUGCGUUAAUGAGCCGCCCAUAAAAGAGACGGGGAUUUAGAUCCAAAUCGCACCAUCUUCCCUCCGCGAGUCUUCAUGAGAGCGCCUCUGACAGAGAUCCGUUCCAUCAUGGCCAGUCGGUGCCGCUCCUCCUCUCGCCCCUCCAGCCCUCGGCCCGGAGAUUUGGGGCGGUGUUCCGUCCCGCAUAGCGAGUUAGUAGUGCUUCAGUCCAAGGGGCUUCUCCCCCCAGCAUAUAUGGUCCCAGUUCGCGCCGGGAUUGCUGCCUACAGCGGCGGAGAGCAGGUGGAGGGCGUCCCCAAUCCCUCUCAAGGAGAGCGGGUAUGCUUAGUCCCUUAUUUGAUGAGAGGACUAGGAUUUCCAAUUCAUCCGUUUCUCCGAGGGUUGCUGGAGUUCUACGGCCUCCAGCUACACAACCUCACGCCCGCCUCCAUUUUGCACAUCGCGGGCUUCGUGGCCCUCUGUGAGCUGUUCUUGGGUGUUGAGGCCCAUUUCAUGCUGUGGAAGAGGUUAUUUUGCCUUGUGCCCCGUUCUCAGGAGGGGUCUAUUUAUCAGGUGGGCGGAGCCGAACUAUGGCGCAUCGCCGGGACCGGAUAUCUAUCCGGUACCCAAAAUAGGGCGUCCGAAGACUGGCCCUCGGAGUGGUUUUAUAUAGAUGACGUCCCCCUGCCGGACCCUAUACGGAUCGGCCUCCCCGAGUUCAAUAAUGCCCCGUUGAAGAAGCGCCUGAGUUGGCGCCCGCGGAACCCUCAGGGGGAAGCUGACAGGGACGUCCUGUACCUGAUGAGCCGGAUAAGGUUGUUGGCUCAUUUCGGACGGACCAUGAUCAAGGUCAUGGCCAUAUGCAUUAUGCGAGGGGUGCAGCCGCUUGAAUACAGAGGCCACCCCAUGUGGGAUUUCAACGGGGAGGAUGACGCUACCCAGUGCGAUCGCAAGGGGCCAGAUUCGGCCGCCACUUUAACGAGAAUCUUAUCCGCUUUGUACAAGGGAGAAGAGGAAGAAUUCCUUCGUGUCAAUCCGAAAGGCGGAUUCUCCAUGUACAAUCCACCUAGUUGGGUGAGUGGACGCUUUCACUUCCUAUCCGCUUUUGAAAUUCCCGUAGUUGAGUACUUAGUCUAGUAAUGUUUAAACGCAGGAGCUGCGCCAGGCUGUGAAGGAAAUAAACAGCCCUGCUCCACAACUCGAGGACCCGGAACGGUCCCUCGAUCCGGACUCCCAAGAAGAUCUGGACUUAUGUGUGGAGUUAAUUAAUGGAGUAUUUCAUCAAUGGAGCAAGGAUAACUCCUUAGUGGCCAUCACGGACGACUAUCCCGGACUACUUCCAGCCUCCAAGGUAACUAAGACCGAAGUCCCAGUAUUCUCAUGCUUUAUCUUGCAUGCCAUAAACCAAUAGCGUUUCGCAGGGUAAAUCCUUGAGGCAGAAGGCCGAGCCCACGGUGGGCAGCCAACAAGGGCCGCUGAAGCCAGGCGGGCCAAAAAGAAGUGCGGACCAGAUCGAGAUUCCGGCGCAACGGUACGGCGUGCGAAUUUAACGCCUAGGGUUUAUGCCCUUGAUUCUUACUAAUGCUCAUGAUUUUCUUAGAAAGAAGAGAGCCCGCCGGACUAUGUCCGCCGGCCAAGGUUCAAGGCCGGGUCCGGAAGCGGAGACGCACACGGGGCGCACCUCGGGCGCUCCUCCGAUAGAGGACGCCGACGGGCUAUCUGCCACCAAUUCAGAGGUGGAGAGCGCCCUGAACCACAAGCGUCGCCGGACUGUUCUUCGUGACGCGUGUUUUUUCCCAGACGCGUUGGACGCCUUUAAUACAGGAGAUGCAUAUCUCCGUGCUGCUCAAACUGGUCUAGCCAGAGCCACGGAGCAGUAUGUGAAAGACAUACAGGUGAGUAGAAUUGAAGGUUAUAUAUGUCAGUAGCCCCCGAGACUUGAAACAGUGAAGAUAACUGUUUGAAGGAUCAUGUGCUAUGUAGUGUCUUACAAAGAAGAAUACGCAAUUGUCCCAGGAGCUCGAAGAGUGCAAGGCCCAGCUCGAGGCCGCACUGGCCACUUCAAAAAAUGCCAAGGGGACGCCCGCAGGUAAUAUAUGCUUCGAAAGAUAAUUCCGUUUUGAAAUGCGGCAGGUGUGUAACCCUGACGAUAAUAAUGAGGCUGGAGUAAAUCCGGACAAGCAACAACUCCUACGCCAACUAAAGGCUGGCGAGAGCGUGCUGACGAGGGUGAGGCAAGAGAAGAACAAGCUUCAAGACGCCAAUACCCAGCUGGGCGAGGAACUGAAAGAUGUUCGUAUUCAGCUGUCUUCUGCCGUGAAGGAGAAUCGCCGACUUCGACGCGGUAUUUUUAGUAUCUGCUUGAACGAAUCUUCGAAAAAAGAAUUCGGCGAGGAAGUCGAUUUACAGAGCUGUGUCUGUAGGUCUGCUGACAGGUCGUCCUGCGGAGGAAAUGCCCGGUUCAACGGGAGACCUUCUUCUCGAGCUGUUGCAACUACACGAACGAGUUCGGUAGGCAAUGCAAAGCGUCAUCCAGGCUAUGUGGCCAUCCCUGUCCGUGCCCGAAGGCCUUGAGGAGCUUACAAAGAAGCUGGAGGGAGUGCGGCAGCGCUUCCAGUUGUGGAAGAUAUCGGCUUGCCAUCAAGGUGCCAGGGAGGCAUGGGCCAUGGUGAAGACUCGGUACACGAAGGCUGACCCAAACCACAUGGCCGAGGUCGGCCCUAUAGGUCCGGACGGAAAGGAGAUCCCAGUCAGCUUAGCAUAUGGCCAGGUGGAGCUGGCUGCAAAGUAUUCCCAACAGGACUGUAAAUUAGACUGCCUGUUGGAUGGUAUUGAAGAAGAAUAUGCCGAGUCGGAUUGACUCUGUAAUUUAAAAUGACCUAAAAAUGCCUUCUAGCCGGAUUGUAGAUCGUUUGUCAUUGCGGACCUUUUCGCUUCGACCUUUGGACCCUAUAGUCCGGAGUGUGUCCGAAUACCCUCUCGAUUAUGUAAGAACCGGGACAUGCAUGGAGACAAGGCGUAGGGGUCAUAAGUGCUUUAGCAGACAAGUGCCCAACUAGUUAUGUUAUAUUACAUGGUUAGUAAGAAACAUCUUCCAGGGAGAAUAGUUCUGUUAGGGGUUCCUUUCCCUGGGAGGCAUGCCCUAAAGUGUAUGUCCGAACUGCCAGAAAGAGCAGAAAAGCAUCUAGGGGCAAAUGAAUAAAUACGAAAGAUCAUCUUUUAGUUCACCGACCGAAUAUUCCCUUAAGAACGCUAGCUUUCGGCUUCACCCAGUCUAAGGUACACAUCCGGCUGACCCGGCAGUAACAAUCGCAGAGGUGCUCCCUUUACCACCUAGCCGAACGAACGGGAACGUAAGGGUAAGCACAGGAGCCAGGCAACCCAGCUUGGCCAAAACUUAAGUCAUAUCGAUGCAUAUAAUGGUGUAUAAAAGGUUCAUGCGGAAGCGUCACACAUGUUUUGGGCAUGAGGCCCCAUUUAUAUAAACUUCUUGGUAAAGAAGCCCCUAGGUAUUAUGAGCGCGGGUAGCGCGUCGGGUAUGUACGAACAAUGCACAGGCAAGCCCCUAAGGGCUUGGGAGAAGAAAAAGGGUAGGGAGAAGGAACAAAAUCCCGAACAGCCAAAAAAUAAAAAAUAAAUAAAAAUAAAAUAAAACAAAGGGAUAGAGGAAGGAAACGAACACGGAGUCCGGCGCUAGGCGUAGAAUCUUCGUAGGCGUGCUGUGUUCCAUGGGUUCGGCUCGAGUCGGUUAUCCGAUGCGUUUCGCAGACGGUACGCUCCGCCGGUCAGUACUUGGUCGAUUAUGAAGGGGCCCUCCCAUUUGGGAUUUAAUUUAUCCUUUUUCUUGUCUGGAAGGCGUAGAACUAGUUCUCCAACAUUAUAGGUUUUGGCCCGUACUUCUCUGCUUUGGUAUCUUCGAGCCUGCUGUUGAUAGAAUGAGGAACGAGCUUUUGCCACGUCGCGCUCCUCUUCCAAUGCGUCCAAGCUGUCCUACCGAUCGAGCUCGGCUUCUCUUUCUUCGUACAUGCGCACUCGAGGUGAGUCAUGGAUUAUGUCGCAUGGCAGUACUGCCUCUGCGCCGUAUACCAUAAAAAUGGUGUGAAUUCGGUAGUGCGAUUCGGCGUGGUCCGCAGCCCCCAGAGUACGGAGUCAAGCUCCUCUACCCAGUGCGUGUUAGAUUCCUUGAGGGAUCGCACUAGUCUGGGUUUGAUGCCGCUCAUAAUAAGAUCGUUGGCCCGUUCGACUUGACCAUUAGUUUGAGGGUGAUAGACUGAAGCAUAGUCGAGCUUGAUGCCCAUGUUUUUGCACCAAAGUUUGACUUCAUCGGUCGUGAAGUUUGUGCUGUUGUCGGUUAUGAUGCUGUGGGGGACGCCGUAACGGUGUACAACCCCAGAUAUGAAGUCUAUCACUGGUCCGGAUUCGGCCGUCUUUAUAGGCUUGGCUUCUAUCCAUUUGGUGAAUUUGUCCACCAUGACCAGUAGAUAUUUUUGCUUGUGGGUCCCUCCUUUAAGGGGUCCGACCAUGUCAAGCCCCCAAACCGCGAAAGGCCAAGUAAUGGGUAUAGUUUGUAGGGCGGUAGGCGGCAUGUGGCUUUGGUUGGCGAAUAACUGGCAACCAACACAUCAUUGCACUAAGUCCUAAGCGUCUGCCCGGGACGUUGGCCAAUAAAAUCCGGUAUGAAAGGCCUUGCUUACAAGGGCCUAGGCUGCGGCGUGGUGCCCGCCGAGUCCGGCAUGAAUUUCAGCCAAAAGGUCUCGCCCUUCCUCUUCGGAGAUACAUCUUUGAAGGACUCCGGUUGUGCUUUUCUUGUAAAGCUCUCCCUCGUGGACUUUGUAGGCUUUAGAUCGCCGCACUAUGCAGCGGGCCUUGUUUUGGUCCUCGAGAAGUUCCUGCCUAGUUAGGUAGGCUAGGAAUGGUUCUGUCCAAGGGGCAAUGACUGCCAUUAUUGCGUGGGUUGACGACGUUGUUUUGUUGGCGGAGCCCCCAACUGUGUCAGAAUGUUUGGUGAGGGGCAGUGUAGUUGUGUCCGGGCUAUUGUUUCCGGAUUCUCCUUCCCAUGAUACGUAUGGCUUGAACAGCCUUUCUAGGAAGAUGUUGGGAGGGACGGCCUCACGCUUGGCGCCAAUGCGUGCCAACACGUCUGUUGCUUGGUUAUUUUCCCGGGCUAUGUGAUGAAAUUCAAGCCCCUCAAACCGAGAUGACAUCCUUAAGAUGGCGUUGCGGUAAGCUGCCAUUUUCGGAUCCUUGGCGUCGAAGUCUCCAUUUAUUUGGGAUAUUGCGAGGUUUGAAUCCCCGCGGACCUCUAAGCGCUGAAUGCCCAUGGAGACUGCCAUCCGGAGGCCAUGUAAAAGGGCCUCGUAUUCGGCUGCGUUGUUGGAAUCCGUGUACAUUAUCUGAAGUACGUAUUGGACUGUGUCUCCGGUUGGGGACGUCAGAACGAUGCCAGCCCCCAGGCCAGCCAACAUUUUGGAGCCGUCGAAUGAUCCAGUUGGAGUAUGUGUCGUACUCUUUAGGGAGUUCGGCUUCAGUCCAUUCGGCGAUGAAGUCGGCCAAAACCUGCGACUUAAUAGCUCGCCUUGGCUUGUAAGUUAUGUCAAACGGGAGGAGCUCGAUGGCCCAUUUGUCAAUCCGGCCCGUUGCGUCGCAGUUGUUUAUAAUAUCAUUAAGGGGUACUUCGGAUGCCACUAUUAUGGAGCACUCUUGAAAGUAGUGUCGCAGCUUCCGGGAUGCCAUGAACACCGCGUACGCUAUCUUUUGAUAAUGCGGGUAUCGUGACUUGCAUGGAGUUAGUACAGUGGACACGUAGUACACUGGUUUUUGGACGGGGAACUUGUGUACGUCCGCUUCUCGUUCGACGAGGAGCACCACGCUUACAACUUGAUGGGUUGCCGCGAUGUAUAAUAGCAUUGGUUCGCCCGUGUUGGGCGCGGCCAGGACCGGAUUUGUUGCCAGUAUGGCUUUUAUUUCUUUGAGUCCGGCCGUGGCGGCAUCCGUCCACUCGAAGUGGUCGGUGCACCACAGGAGGCGAUAGAGGGGUAAUGCCUUUUCUCCUAAGCAGGAGAUAAAGCGGCUUAGAGCCGCCACGCAUCCUGUCAAUUUUUGUAUUUGUUUGAGGUCCUUUGGGGUAUCGAAUUGUGACAGAGCUCGGAUCUUGGCUGGGUUUGCUUCAAUUCCUCUAUCGGAUACGAUGAAGCCCAAGAGCUUUCCGGCUGGUACGCCGAAAACGCAUUUUUCCGGGUUGAGGUUAAUGUCAUAUGUUCGGAGAUUGUCGAAUGUGAGCCUCAAUUCGUCUACUAGAGUAUCGACGUGUUUUGUUUUGACGACCACGUCAUCUACGUAUGCUUCAACUGUUUUGCCGAUCUGGUUGGCCAGACAUGUCUGAAUCAUGCGCUGAUAUGUUGCGUUGGUGUUUUUGAGCCCGAAGGGCAUCGUGUUGAAGCAUAAUGGGCCGUUUGGGGUGAUGAAUGCCAUAGCGGCUUGGUCUGACUCUCCCAUCUUGAUUUGGUGGUAGCCAGAGUAUGCAUCGAGGAAACACAAUGAGUCGUGUCCUGCGGUGGCGUCGAUGAUUUGAUCAAUUCGGGGGAGUGGGAAAGGGUCCUUUGGACAUGCCUUAUUUAGGUCUUUGAAAUUGACACAUAGGCGCCAAGAUUUGUCCUUCUUUGGUACCAUCACCAGGUUUGCUAGCCAGUCCAGAUGUUUUAUGUCUCUGAUGAAUCCGGCUUCCAGAAGUUUUGCUAGCUCCUCUCCCAUGGCUUGUCUCUUGGGUUCAGAAAAACGCCGUAGAGUCUGCUUGACGGGUUUAAACCCUUUUAGGAUGUUCAGGCUGUGCUCAGCCAGCCUGCAUGGGAUUACUGGCAUAUCUGAGGGGUGCCAGGCGAAAAUGUCCCAAUUUUCUCACAGGAAGUCUCUGAGUGCGGCGUCUACAUCGGGUUUUAGUUGUGCCCCGAUGGAGGCCAUUUUUGUAGGGUCCGUUGGAUGGACUUGGAAUUUGACUAUUUCGUCCGCUGGUUUGGAAGAGGUGGACUUGGAUCUCUUGUCUAGUAUCACAUCGUCCCUGUCAACCGUAGAGCGCAACGAAGUUAGUUCCUCGGCCGCUAGGGCCUCGGAUAAUGCCUCCAGGGCCAGUGCGGCUGUCUUGUUUUCAGCGCAGAGCGCUAUGUCCGGAUCACUUGCGAGAGUGAUGAUUCCGUUGGGUCCAGGCAUUUUGAGCUUCAUGUACCCGUAAUGGGGUAUGGCUUGGAAAAUUGUAAAUGCUUCUCGCCCUAGCAGAGUGUGGUAUCCGCUGCUGAACGGGGCCACUUGAAACGUGACCUCCUCGGAUCUGUAAUUAUCCGGCGUGCCGAACACCACAUCCAAUAUGAUUUUUCCUGAACAGCACGCUUCCCGGCUUGGAAUUAUUCCUCUAAAAGUUGUGUUGCUUCGCUCAAUGCGGCUCCAGUCAAUUUCCAUUUUUCGCAAGGUUUCCUCGUAGAUGAGGUUGAGUCUGCUGCCGCCGUCCAUGAGUACCUUUGUAAGUCGAAAGCCAUCCACUAUCAGACUGAGGACCAAUGCGGCUGGUGCUCGGGCUGUCCGGAAUUUAGGUUCGUCACUGGCAUUAAAGGUGAUAGCCGCGUCACUCCAUGGGUUUAUUGUUGCUACUUGGUAGACUUCGGCAAGGUUGCGGAGCAUUCGUUUCCUUGCAUUGUUUGAUGUGAUGGUCUCAAAGACUGUCGACACCGUACUGGGGAGGUAUUCUUCGGGUGCUGGAGUUAAAAGCUCCUCGCCACUUCAGGCCACCUGCCAGAGUAUCCAACAUGCUCUAAGGCUGUGCGUUGGUGUGGCUUCCCCUGAAUUAUGAAUUUUACAGGGUCCAUUGAGCCAUCCUUCUAGUACGGUCCCGUACCCUGUAGAGGGUUUUUGUUUUUUGAUGAUUGGCUCAGAUGCCUGGCGAUAAUGCGCCCUUUUGUUUCGGACUCGUGUUGUAUUUGGGGCCGGAUUGUCCCAGAAUUUAUCUUCGGUUUUCCGAAUGCUUUCAGUCGCACAGUACUUUCGUACUAUGGAUGUCAAGUCGGCGAAUCGUGUAAUUUUGCGGCGACUUAUGGCGUUGAGGAUUCCGAUGUCUGUGCAAUUGUUACAGAAGAGUGAAAUUGCUUCUUUCUCGCGGCAGUCCUUUAUCCUGUUCAUAACCAGGAGGAAUCUGGCCCAGUAGUGGUGUACUGUUUCUCCGGGCUCUUGCCGUAUUAGGGAUAAAUCCCGCAUAGUUGGGUGGGCGGGUGGAAUUAAAUCUGGAACCUUUCCUGAUGUAAGAUUCAGGGGCCAAGCGGUUUUCGAAUUCGGAAGCUUGCUUUCUUGGACAUUAUUCAAUGAAUCAGGCCUGCUGCCUGACUUUAGAUUCAGGGUUUGGGCGACAUCCUCCCCUCCGCGGGUGUCCGGCUUGGAGGGAUCAGGAAUCUGGACACAUCUGGUCCUUAGGGCGGGCGAAGACUCACCGCAUUGUUCUUCCACCACUUCGACGUGAUGGGUGACCUGGGGAGAGUCGAUCUCUCUCUGAUCGGGUUUAAGCCCAAUCUGGCCGUAAUCUGUAGCGACUCCUAGGGCCGCGAUGCGAUCCAAGAGCUCGUUCAGGGAGAGGAGCUCUGUCGGAUCUAACUACUCGGCAAGCUCCAAGCUGAUGUGAAGAUUGCUUUCGAUGGCCCGAGAGGUCAUCGUCGGCGCGGCGGCCGGACAGGCAGUCAUCAAAAACCUGCCUAGCCGGAGAGUUUGGCCGACAGCCAAAGCUCCUUUAGCAAUGACGCCAUCUUUAAAGACGGGAUGCGGCAUUCUUCCUGAUGGUGACGACACAGCGGAACUCUCAAUGAAAGCACCAAUGUCGGUGUCAAAACCGGCGGAUCUCGGGUAGGGGGUCCCAAACUAUGCGUCUAGGCGGAUGGUAACAGGAGACAAGGGACACGAUGUUUUUACCCAGGUUUGGGCCCUCUUGAUGGAGGUAAAACCCUACUCCUGCUUGAUUAAUAUUGAUGAUAUGGGUAUUAUAAGAGUAGAUCUACCACGAGAUCGGAGUGGCUAAACCCUAGAAGGUAGCCUACGGUAUGAUUGUUGUUCGUCCUAUGGACUAAAACUCUCCGGUUUAUAUAGACACCGGAGAGGACUAGGGUUACACAGAGUUAGUUACAAUGGGAGGAGAUCUUCAUAUCGUAUCGCUAAGCUUGCCUUCCACGCCAAGGAAAGUCCCAUCCGGACACAGGACAGAGUCUUCAAUCUUGUAUCUUCAUAGUCCAGGAGUCCGGCCAAAGGUCUUAGUCCGGCCAUCCGGACACCCCCUAAUCAAGGACUCCCUCAGCGCUCUUGCCGUCUUCGGUGCUCCCGCUGACAGGCGAGUCCCGCCGUCUCUGGGUCAUAUAGGUAGGCCGUCGUGCCCACAGUGCGCUGCCCAUUGAGGCUGAGGUCAGGGCAGGCAUGGCAACAGUGCCGUGCCACGAUGGAGAUCUCCAGCGAUUCGGCACACUGUAGCCAUGCCAGCCCCUCGUAAGCGGGGUAGAGACGGCCACGCUAUGACCAUAACUUGCCCUGUCCAUCGCGGCGAAGGCAGGAGGUGGUUGGAGUCGCGAGCCGACUCCCCUCAGCCGGCUUCUCUGGAAGCCGUCAGCUGAGAGUCGGCUUAUCUUGGAGUCGUCCCUGGGACUCGACAUAUCUUGGAGUCGUCCCUGGGACUCGGCUUGAGGGGCGCAGCCUGUCCCAAUGUCUUGAAAGGUUCUGGGGCUCGGGUUAGCCUACCCAAGGCCCAUUACUCCGACAUGGAUGUCCUUGAAUGAGUAAAAUAUGCACCAACAUGCUCACACAAUAAAAUGGCAAAUGAAAUAUGUGGCAAAGCCUGCACAACCAAUUCUAGCAUCUAUCAAACAAUUGGCGAUGACUAGGUCAUCUAUAUAUGAGUAUAUUGACUUAGGAGUCAAAUGAGAACAUUUGAUCAUAGGUCAUACUCAUCAUUUAAGCUCAAGUGGGGUUACCACUUUUACAAAAUGCAUUUAUGUGUUCACACCAUUAGAGUUGCUUUGACUCAAUUUUUUGAGUUAAGCUCCCCCUAGAUGUGAGAUCCUCCCUUUAGAGGGAUGAACUAACCUUGGGUUUUGUCGAUGAUGACUUCAUGUAGGUGUUGAAGAUGUGGAUGCUCAAUGUUGAAGUAGAUCAUUUGGAGCAAUCCUUUGGAGUGAGUUGCACUUUCAACUUGCCUACAUGGGUUAGUCCCACAAGGAACAAACAAGAAUAUCCAUAGACAUAGAGUGAUGCACACACAAGAUGAUGUCCAUGAAACCAUUAGGUUACCUUGUCCCUUGCCUUACCAACAUGAGGGUUUGUGACUCCUUGAACUAGUGCAAGAUGUGGAAGUUGAUUGCACUUGUCCUUGCCAUAAAGAUAUGAGUGAAGAAUGUUGGCGGAGUCACCCACAAGAACUCUCUAGUUCUUCUUCUUUGGGAUCCACAUCAUCUUGAUGGGAAUCCUUGGAGUUGUAGUUGUACUUGAUGAGGUAGAACUUGACGUAGUCUUGGGAAUCCACUUGACCGAGACCUUAGGUGCUUCUUCAAAUGCAUCAAUCUCUUCUUGAAGCUUAUCCUUGCCUUUGUUAUUGUGGUCUUGUGGAGGAAGAUCAUCUUGAGCUUGUGUUCCCUUGAAGGAAGUAGGAUCAUACUUCUCUUGUUGAUGAACAAACUUCGUCUUGGGGUAUUGAUCUUCUUCCCACUCAAUUCCAUUGGCAUUGAACUUUCGUUCAAAACCAACACCUUGAUUCUUCCGGUGUCUUCCUUGCUUCCGUACAAUUUCCUCGAAUUGCUUACUCCCGGCAAGGCUCUUGUAAACACCUUUCUCUAUAAUUCCCUUCAAUAAGCUAUUUUCUUGCUCAAGUGUAACUUGGCUAAGAGAAUCAUUAGUGGAAUCAAGAGAACUACUAGAAGCAACAAUAUUGGAUAUAACAUUAUUAUAGUUACUACUAGAGGAAGUAUCUUUCUUGUACUUGUUACCAGACUUGACUUGAGGCAUGUAAGUAGAUAAGAGUAAACGCCUGGCAAUGUAAGAAGAACUUUUCUUACGGAGAUCAUCAUUGAUUGCCUUUAAGAACUCAUGCUCUUGCUCAAGAUUGAGCUUUUCAAAGCGUAACUUCUCAUGAGCCCUUAAAAGUUCUCGAUGAUCUUCGAAGAUACUCUCAUGAGCCAACUUUAGAGUGUUUAGUUCUUUAGUUAAAAGCUCAAUUUUCUCCUUAUCAUUGUCAUUCGUUUGAUUAACAUGAUUAAUUGACGUUUCAUCAUAGUAUUCAUCACUAGAGUUGUCAACAAGUAAAUCAUCAUCCACAAGCAAGUCAUCUUCAUCACUAUUGAAUUCAACAUACUCAGGAUGUGUUACCUUUGGACCUUUGGCCAUGAAGCAUCUUCUAAUUCCUUCAUUUGGUGAAUCAAAUAUGUCGUAGGAGUUGGUUGACACAAGUGCUAGACCGGCAACACCUUCAUCUUGAGUAUGUUCGGAGUCGGAGUGAUAGCUUCUCUCGGAGUGAUUGUCGGAGUCGGAGCUGGAUACCCAUUCACCAACAUGAGCUUGAUGUCUUCGUUUUGUGUAGCUCCUUGAUGACUUGUCCUUCCUUUCCGAAUCCUUGCUUCUCCGUGAGGGUCUUCGUUCAUAACGAUCAUCUGUACUCCUCCUCUCUCUUGGUGGUGAUUCUUCUCUUUUGCUUCUUCUUUUUGGAUAAUCUUCUCUUCUUUUGUAGGGUGUCGUACACUCAUUGGAGUAGUGUCCAGGCCUCCCACAAUUGUAGCAAUUGCGCCCUCGACUAGAAGAUCUUUUGUCAUGAUAAGACCUUGACUUGGAGCUUCUUUCUUUGCUUCUACUCUUGUAGAAUUUGUUGAAGUUCUUCACCAUUAAGCUCAAUUCUUCAUUGAAGGUUUGUUUCUCACUUGAUGAUGUGGGGGCUUCACUUGAGGCUUUGUAAGCACCACUUGACUUGUUGUGAGGUUCCUCCUUAUCCUUGAGUGACAUCUCAUGAGCAACAAUUCUUCCGAUGACUUCCAUUGGCUUGAGAUCUUUGUAGUUUGGCAUCAUUUGGAUUAAUGUGCACAUGGUAUCAUACUUUCCAUCCAAUGCUCUUAGGAUCUUCUUGAUGAUGAAUCUGUCGGUCAUCUCUUCACUCCCUAAGCCGGCAAUCUCAUUUGUGAUAAGUGCAAGCCUAGAGUACAUUUCAGCGACACCUUCACCAUCCUUCAUUUUGAACUUGUCAAGCUGACUUUGGAGCACAUCCAACUUGGAUUCCUUGACGGAGUCGGUACCUUCGUGCAUAUCAAUCAAAGUAUCCCAAAUUUCCUUUGCAUUCUCAAGGCGGCUGAUUUUGUUGAAUUCUUCGGGGCACAAUCCGUUGAAGAUGAUAUCACAAGCUUGAGCAUUGUAUUGCAGCAUCUUCAAUUCUUCCGCAUUCGCUUCACGGUUCGGUUCUCUCCCAUCAAAGAAUUCACCUUGCAAGCCAAUACAAAUAAUUGCCCAAACGGCGGGGUUAUGUCCGAUAAUGUGCAUUUUCAUCUUAUGCUUCCAACUAGCAAAAUUAGUACCAUCAAAGUAAGGACCUCUACGGUGAUAAUUUCCAUCGCUAGACGCCAUACUCUCCUAGGGCGUGAAACGAAGGCUAUGACCACCAAAAGCUAUGGAAAUCAAAGCAAAUGGAAACCAAAGCUCUGAUACCACUUGUAGGACCUUGAAGUAUGUCUAGAGGGGGGGUGAUUAGACUACUUGACAAAUUAAAAACUUAACCUUUUCCCAAUUUUAGAGUUUGACAGAUUUAGCUACCUUAGGAUAAGUCAAGCAAUCAUCACACAGUUCAAGCAAGCAUGCAAAGAGUAUAUAGGCAGCAGAAAUAAAAGCAUGCAACUUGCAAGAAAGUAAGGGGAAGGGUUUGGAGGAUUCAAACGCAAUUGGAGAAAUGGAUGUUUUCGGCGUGGUUCCGAUAGGUGGUGCUAUUGUACAUCCACGUUGAUGGAGACUUCAACCCACGAAGGGUAACGGUUGUGCGAGUCCACGGAGGGCUCCACCCACGAAGGGUCCACGGAGAAGCAGCCUUGUCUAUCCCACCAUGGUCGUCGCCCAUGAAGGACUUGCCUCACUAGCGGUAGAUCUUCACGAAGUAGGCGAUCUCCUUGCCCUUACAACCUCCUUGGUUCAACUCCACAAUCUUGUCAGAGGCUCCCAAGUGACACCUAGCCAAUCUAGGAGACACCACUCUCCAAGAAGUAACAAAUGGUGCGUUGAUGAUGAACUCCUUGCUCUUGUGCUUCAAAUUAUAGUCUCCCCAACACUCAACUCUCUCUCUCAUAGGAUUUGGAUCUGGUGGAAAGAGGAUUUGAGUGGAAAGCAACUUGGGGAAGGCUAGAGAUCAAGAUUCAUAUGGUAGGAAUGGAAUAUCUUGGCCUCAACACAUGAGUAGGUGGUUCUCUCUCAGAAAUGGUAAGUUGGAAGUGUAGAUUUAGUCUGAUGGCUCUCUCCACGAAUGAAGAGGAGGUGGAGGGGUAUAUAUAGCCUCCACACAAAAUCUAACCAUUACACACAAUUGACCAAACUCGGUGGGACCGAUUCAACAGACUCGGUUGGACUGAUUUAGUAAACCUAGUGACCGUUAGUGAUUUUCGAUGGGACUGACAUGCAACUCGAUGAGACCGAUUCGGUUAGGGUUAGGGCAUAACGUAAUCUCGGUAAGACCGAUUACACAAACUCGGUGAAACCAAUUUUGGUAAUCAGCUUUCGAGAGAGUUGGUCAGGUAAACUCGGUGGGACCGAUUUGCUCUUUUCGGUGAGACCGAAAUGUUACAAAAGGGAAACAUAGAGUUUAAAUUGCAAUCUCGGUGGGACCGAUCACUCACUUCGGUUAGACCGAAACGUUACGAAGGGAAACAGAGAGAUUACAAUCCCAUCUCGGUGAGACCGAGAUCCCUAUCGGUAGGACCGAUUUGCUUAGGGUUUGUGGCAGUGGCUAUGACUUUUGGAAUCGGUGGCGCUGGAUUGGAAGAAUCGGUGUGACCGAUUUUGGCUUUGGGUUUAGGUCAUUUGUGGAUGUGGGAAAGUAGCUGAGGGUUUUGGAGCAUAUCACAAAGCACAUGAAGCAAGAGGCUCAUUAAGCAACACCUCAUCCCUCCUUGAUAGUAUUGGCUUUUCCUAUAGACUCAAUGUGAUCUUGGAUCACUAAAAUAUAAAAUGAAGAGUCUUGAGCUUUUGAGCUUGAGCCAAUCCUUUGUCCUUAGUAUUUUGAGGGAUCCACUUUCAUCAUCCAUGCCAUGCCAUUCAUUGAGCUUUCCUGAAAUAAUAGUCUUGGAAUAGCAUUAGCUCAAUGAGCUAUAUGUUGUUGUGAAUUACCAAAACCACCUAGGGAUAGUUGCACUUUAAACUGUCAAACAUGUGUAUUGCUUUCCACUCUCUUGUUGAGAAAUACACAAAUUAUGGAGGAACACAAUUUAUAUUGGCCUUCUAAGCUUUUCUCCCAUUUUGGCAAUCAAUGCCAAUGGGGGAGAAGUUUCAGAGAGUUUUGUGGAGAAGUUUAGAGAAUUCUCUCCUCUUGCUUUGGUUUUGUUCCUAAGCAUUUGCAUCUCUUACUCAUGCAUCAUUGGUUGUUGCAUUGCAUGGUGAUGCAUAGUUCCUUAUAUAAACUCUCUUGAAAGUGAUUGUCAUCAAUUACCAAAAUGGGGGAGAUUGAAAGAACAUGCAGUGCCCCCAUGUUUGGUUUUGGUAAUUGAUGACAAUCUCUAUAGACUAAUGGUUGCCUUGAGUUAUAUUUGAAGGUCUUGUCCAUAGGAUUUUCUUGGAGUACAUGUGUUGGUGUCAAGGAGAGCUUGUGUCGACCAAUGUGCUAUUAAGGAAUUAUCCAAAGAUUGGUCAUGUGAGAGUUGAGAUUAUUGCAAGCAUGUCUUGAAGAAGAAGAUUGUGUGAUCAUUCAUGCUUACCUUCAAGGCAUCAUCCAAAUGAAGAGAGUUGGAAAGGUUCAAGGUUGAUCAAGACUAAGUCAAGAGUGAAUCAAGUUGAUCAACUCACAAAGCGUAGAAGAUGUACCGAGAGGGAUCAAGUGAUCCCAUGGUAUGGUAAGCAUUGUCAAUUACGCUUUGUGUACUAACCCAUGGUCUCUGUGAGAGUUCUUUGUGGGGUUAGGUUGCGGUGUGUAUGUUCAAGUGAUGCAUCACGAAGAGAUCAAGUGCUUGAAGCUUGUCGUCCAUUAUGGUGACAAUGGACUUGUGAAGAUGUGCCGAAGAGUGGCUCACCCAUAGUGGAGUAUGGGGAGCAAUAUACUAGUCUUCACCGAGCCAACGCAAUCAACAAAGGUGGUCCAACUUGAGGAAGUCAAGAUCGUCUACAUCGAGCUCAAGUGGACUUUGUGCAAGGCAAAGGUUUGCCCUUGAUAGGUGUUCUAUUUUACCGGCCUCACGGUAGUUGUGGGAUACCGGGUUAUAGGAUCGAUUGCCGUACUAUCAAGGGGGGCUCUCGAUGAGUUGCUUGAUCGUAUCAUUCGUAGAUAGCUCUAACCAUUGCAUCCUUGCAUCAUCUUUAUUGGUUCUUGUUUGGUUCUUCUCCUUGUGAGAUUUGGAGCUUAUGGUCAUUUUUAUGACAAGCUCGAGUUCAUCGAAAACGGAGUUCACAUGCAUCUUCUAUGAUGUUUUCGACGUUGGAGGGUAUGCCGGUUCUUCGCUGUUUUGAUGCUACUCGUCUUCCUCUAUCCAACAAGCUUGAGUUUGCUCAAUUCGGAGCUCAUUUACAGAAGUUAUGGCAGUUCUGGUUUUAUUGUUUCCCUCUGUUGUCUUCUGUGCAAAAUGAAGGACUCCUAGUGUUGCUGAUCUGGGGCAUGCGGUAGUACUGCUCUCCGGAGCGGUAGUACCGCAGGCCCUUGCGGUAGUACUUCAGAUGCUCAUGAUAGUACCACUCUAUGGGAGCGGUAGUACCAUGGCCUCAGGCCAAGCGCAGCUGCUCGAGCGGUAGUAGGGGCGGAUGUAAUUUUUUACAUCCGCGCCCUACGCGGUAGUACAGCGCCGCGGGCGCGAUAGUACCGUGGGCUCUGGCUAGGCUUAGCACCAUGAGCGGAAGUAGGGGCGGAUGUAAUUUUUGACAUCCGCGCCCUACGCGGUAGUACCGCUCUUCGUGUGCGGUAGUACCGUGCCAGAUUUUUGUGCAGGUCCUCCCUCAGCGGAAGUAGGUAUGGAAGUAAUUUUUUACUUUUGUGCUUUCUCUGUGCCUAGUGUUGCCGGCCUUACGGUAGUACCGUAGGGGCGCGCGGUAGUACCGCUCCGGUGGUUCUACCGCUUGUUGGCUUGUGCAACAGGCCUUCAUCUAGCCAGUGCUGCACAUGUGGUAGUACCUCAACCUAUAGCGGUAGUACCGCAGCUCCGUGCGGUAGUACCGCGUCAUGCGGGCUGAGUGAGGGGAUAACGGUUGGAUUUCUCCCCACCUAUAAUUGGGGGUCUUCUUCCCCAUUGAGACUUAUCCUUUGAGCUCGUGUUCUUCCCCCAUUGUUGACCUUCUUCGAGCUUGCUAACUCUUAAUCCCUCCAUGGAUUCUUGCUAGUUUUUGAGGAAAAAGAGAGAGGAGAUCUAGAUCCACAUUUCCACCAAUCACUUUCUCCUCUAUGUGAGGGGAACCCCUUGGAUCUAGAUCUUGCAGUUCUUGGUGUUCUCCUUCUUUUUCUUCCUCUCAUCUUCCUCCCUAGCAUUAGUUGCUUCGGUGGGAUUUGAGAGAGAAGGACUUGGGCACUCCGUGUGCCCUUGCCAUUGCAUUUGGUGCAUCGGUUUGAGUUCUCCACGUGAUACGUGGAAGUUACAAGUUGAGAAGCUUAUUACUCUUGGGUGCUUGGUGCCCUUGAGCUUGUUCCUCUUGGGUGCUUGGGCGCCCUAGACGGUUGGUGGUGUUCGGAACUCAAUCAUUGUGGUGUAAAGCUCCGGGCAAGCGUCGGGGUCUCCAAUUAGGUUGUGGAGAUCGCCCCGAGCAAUUUGACGGGUACCGGUGACCGCCCCCAAGGGUUGCCAAAGUGUACGGGUUCGGUGACCGCCCCCAAGGGUCGCCAUUUGUACGGGUUCGGUGACCGCCCUCAAGGGUCCCUUAGUGUAAUCACGGCAUCUUGCAUUGUGCAAGGGCGUGAGGAGAUUACGGUGGCCCUAGUGGCUUCUUGGGGAGCAUUGUGCCUCCACACCGCUCCAAACGGAGAUUAGCAUCCGCAAGGGUGUGAACUUCGGGAUACAUCGUCGUCUCUGCGUGCCUCGGUUAUCUCUUACCCGAGCCCUUUACUUAUGCACUUUACUUUGUGAUAGCCAUAUUGUUCUUUGUCAUAUAUCUUGCUAUCACAUAGUUACUUAUCUUGUUUAGCAUAAGUUGUUGGUGCACAUAGGUGAGCCUAGUUAUUGUAUGUUUUGUGCUUGACAAAUUAACCAUUAGGUUUAUUCCGCAUUUGUUCAAGCCUCUACCGUAAUUAUUUUAAAACGCCUAUUCACCCCCCCUCUAGGCGACAUCCACGAUCUUUCAAUAAGAAGCUAAGGUUUCUUUAUCAUUAAAUUUGCAUGAAAAGGGAAGGUGUGGAGCCUUCAUCCUAGAGCAACAAUUAUAAUCAUAUCUCAAGCAUAGAUCCCGAGCAUACCAACGCAACAUAUUAAUUUGAUCCCAUAAUAGUUUCCCUUUUUGUGUCAAGCGAUAAUCCUAAAGUAUUCACGUUGAUCCAACAUUACUCCCAUUAUAAAGUUGAAUAGGGUUUUCUCAUGAUUAUCAAAGUAGUACAUAAUAUUUUUCACAUAAUGAUCAUCGAGGGUUUUAGGAGGUUCCCCAUCUCCAUGAGUAGCAAGUACACCUAAUUUUUUUGGUAUUUCGUGUUCCAUAUCCAUAACUAAAGAUAGAAAACAACUAAGAACAGCAAAUAAAAAAUACUUAGUGAUAAAGCAAACAAGCACACACGAGAAUAUUCACCCCACGCUAUGACUCCCCGGCAAUGGCGCCAGAAAAGGGUCUUGAUAACCCACAAGUAUACGAGAUAGUUGUAGCCUCUUUCGAUAAGUAAGAGUGUCGAACCCAACGAGGAGCUAAAGGUAGAAUAAAUACUCUCUCAAGUCCUAUCGGCCACUGAUACGACUCUACGCACGCUUAACGUUCGCUUUACCUAGAACAAGUAUGAAACUAGAAGUACUUUGUAGGUGUUGUUGGAUAGACUUGCAAGAUAAUAAAGAACACAUAAAUAAAAGCUAGGGGUUGUUUAGAUAAAGAAGCAAUAAAGUAAAUAUAGCGAGUGUGGAAAAGUGGUGGUAGGAGUUGUGGAAUUGUCCCUAAGCAAUUGACUACGUUACUAGACCGGUAAUCACUAUUGCAAUUCUAUUUGAGGGAGAGGCAUAAGCUAACAUACUUUCUCUACAUGGAUCAUAUGCACUUAUGAUUGGAACUCUAGCAAGCAUCCGCAACUACUAAAGAUUCAUUAAGGUAAAACCCAACCAUAGCAUUAAAGUAUCGAGUCCCCUUUAUCCCAUACGCAAUAAUCCCCUUACUCGGGUUUGUGUUUCAGUCACUCACGCAACCCACUAUAAGCGAAUCAUAAACGCAUUGCAACACCCUACAGCGGGAGUCCCUCACGCUUGCGCGACACGGGGGGCACCAUAGGACAGCACCAAUAAUAAAACAUGCAACUCAAACCAAUCAUAGCAAUUCAUCAAUCACCGAUAGGACAACGGAAAUCUACUCAGACAUCAUAGGAUGGCAACACAUCAUUGGAUAAUAAUAUGAAGCAUAAAGGACCAUGUUCAAGUAGAGGGUAUAGAGGGUUGCAGGAGAGUGGACCGUUGUAGAUAGAGGGGGGAAGGUGAUGGAGAUGUUGGUGAAGAUGACAUAGGUGUUGGUGAAGAUCGCGGUGAUGAUGAUGGCCCCCGGCGGCAUUCCGCGUCACCGGAAGCAAGGGGGAGAGAGCCCCCCUUCUUCUUCUUCUUCCUUGACCUUCUCCCUAGAUGGGAGAAGGGUUUCCCCUCUGGUCCUUGGCUCCCAUGGCGUGAGAGGGGUGAGAGCCCCUCCGACAUUGGAUCUAUCUCUCUGUUUCUGCGUUUCCAGAUUCUGCCCCUUCACCAUUUCUUUUAGAUCUGGAGAUCCGUAACUCCGAUUGGUGUGAAUCUUUCGCCCAUAUUUUUAUCAUAAAAUUAGCUUUCUUGCGGCAAAAGAAGAGCGUCAACCGCCUUACGGGUGGCCCAGGAGAGUGCCAGGCGCGCCCAGGGGGGAGGGCGCGCCCCCUAUCUCCUGGCCACCUCGGGCACUGUUUCGCGUUGAUUCUUCCUCUUGAAAAUCCCAAAUAUUCCAAAAUAAUUCUCCAUCCGUUUUUAUCCCGUUUGGAUUCCAUUCGAUAUUGGGUUUCUGCGAAACAUAAAACAUGCAACAAACAGCAACUAGCACUGGACACUGGAUCAAUAUGUUAGUCCCAAAAAUAGUAUAAAAAGUUGCCAAAAGUAUAUGAAAGUUGAAGAAUAUUGGCAUGGAACAAUAAAAAAUUAUAGAUACGACGGAGACGUAUCAUAGAUCGGCAAGAGACAUCAUAGAAUGCACCAUAUCUAACGAGGUACAAUUACGAUGUUCAGACACACCAUUGUGUUGUGGUGUUCGAGGUGGUGUCAACUGUGAAAUAAUUCCACAUUGUCUUAAGCGAUUGCCAAACUCAUAACUCAAAUAUUCUCUCCUUCGAUCAGAUCAUACGAAUUUAAUCUUCUUGUUACGAUGAUUAUCAACUUCACUCUGAAACUGCUUGAACUUUUCAAAUGUUUCAGACUUAUGCUUCAUCAAAUAAACAUGCCCAUAUCUACCCAAAUCAUUGGUGAAGCUGAGGAAAUAACGAUAUCCACUGUACAUGUCAACACUCAUCGGACCGCACACAUCAGCAUGUAAGAUUUCCAACAAGUCACUUGCCCAUUCCAUUGUUUCAGAAAAUGGGGUUUUAGUCAUCUUGCUAAUGAGGCAUGGUUCACAUGUGUCAACUGAUUCAAAAUCAAGUGACUCCAAAAGUCCAUCAGCAUGGAGUUUCUUCAUGCGCUUUACACCAAUAUGACUUAAGCAGCAGUGCCACAAGUAUGUGGUACUAUCAUUAUUAACUUCACAUCUUUUGGCAUCAAUAUUUUGAACAUGUGUAUCACUACGAUCGACAUUCAAUAAACCAUUCACAUUGGGUGCAUGACCAUAGAAGGUAUUAUUCAUGUAAACAGAAUAACCAUUAUUCUCUGACUUAAAUGAAUAACCGCAUUAUGAUAAACACGAUAUCAUCAUGUUCAUGCUCAACGCGGACACCAAAUAACAUUUAUCUAGGUUUAACACUAAUCCCAAAUGUAGAGGGAGCAUGCGAUGGUGAUCACAUCAACCUUGGAAACACUUCCAACACACAUUGUCACCUCGCCCGUAGCUAGUCUCUGUUCAUUCCGCAGCUUUUGUUUCGAGUUACCAAUAUUAGCAACUGAACUGGUAUAUAAUACUCAGGUGCUACUAGGAGUACUAGUAAGGUACACAUCAAUAAAAUGUAUAUCAAAUAUACUUUUGUUGAAGUUGCCAUCCUUCUUAUCUACCAAAUAUUUGGGGUAGUUCCGCUACCAGUGAUCGUUCUCCUUACAAUAGAAUCACUUGUCUCGGGUUUGGGUUCAACCUUGGGCUUCUUCACUAGAGCGGCAACUGGCUUGCCAUUCAUGAAUUUUCCAUUCUUGCCCUUGCCCUUCUUGAAACUAGUGGUCUUAUUAACCAUCAACACUUGAUGCUCCUUAUUGAUUUCUACCUUCGCGGCCUUAAGCACCGUGAACAACUCCGGGGUCAUCUCCAUCCCUUGCAUGUUAUAGUUCAUCACGGAGCUCUAGUAGCUUGGUGAUAGUGACUAGAUAACUAUGUCAAUCACUAUCUUAUCUGGAACAUUAACUCCCACUUGAUUCAAGCGAUUAUAGCACCCAGACAUUCUGAGCACAUGCUCACUGGCUGAGCUAUUCUCCUCCAUCUUGUAGGCAAAGAACUUGUUAGAGGUCUUAUACCUCUCAACACAGGCAUGAUCCCGAAAUACCAAUUUCAACUCUUGGAACAUCUCAUAUGUUCCAUGGUGUUCAAAACACCUUUGGAGCCCUGAUUUUAAGCCGUAAAGCAUGGCGCACUAAACUAUCAAGUAGUCAUCGGAAAGUGUGUGCCAGAUGUUCACAAUAUCCUUAGACGAUGGUAGAGGGGUUGGCACACCGAGCGGUGCAUCAAGGACAUAAGCCUUCUGUGCAGCAGUGAGGACAAUCCUCAUACUACGGUCCUAGUCCGCAUAAUUGCUUACAAUAUCUUUCAACUUAGUCUUUAUCCAUUGAAACAGGGAGCUACAGCACGAGCUAUUGAUCUACAACAUAAUUUGCAAAGACAACGUAGACUAUUGUUCAUGAUAAAUGAGUUCAAUUGACCAUAUUACCUAAGAACUCCCACUCAAAUCAACAUCCCUCCGGUUGUUCGAGUGUAACACGAUCCAAAUUCACCAACCCAAGUCAGAUCAUCACUUGAGAUGAGGUGGUUUCAAUGGUGAACAUCUCUAUGUUGAUCAUAUCUACUAUAUGACUCAUGUUCGACCUUUCGGUCUCUUGUGUUCCAAGGCCAUGUCUGUACAUGCUAGGCUCAUCAAGUUUAACCCAAGUGUUUCGCAUUUGCAACACUGGCUUGCACCCAUUGUAUGUGAAUGUAGAGUUUAUCACACCUGAUCAUCACGUGGUGCUUCCCAACGACGAACUUUCGCAACGGUGCACACUUGGGGAGAACACAAUUUUAUCUUGAAUUUUAGUGAGGGGUCACCUUAUAAUGCUACCGUCACCCUAAGAAAAAGAAGAUGCAUAAAUGGAUUAACAUCACAUGCAAAUCAUAAGUGACAUGAUAUGGCCAUCAACUUGUGCUUUUGAUCUCCAUUUCCAAAGCACCGGCAUGAUCUCCAUCGUCACCGGCAUGACACCAUGAUCUCCAUCAUCAUGAUCUCUAUCAUCGUAUCGCCAUCGGGGUUGUCACGCCAACCAUGCUUCUACUACUAUUGCUACCGCUUAGCGAUAAAGUAAAGCAUUACAUUGUGUUUAAUGAUUGACACGCAGGUCAUACAAUAAUUAAAGACAACCCUAUGGCUCCUGCCGGUUGUCGUAUUCAUCGACAUGCAAGUUGUGAUAAACUAUUACAAACAUGAUCAUCUCAUACAUCAAAUAUAUCUCAUCAUGUCUUUGGCCAUAUCAUAUCACAACAUACCCUACAAAAACAAGGUAGACAUCCUCUAAUUGUUGUUACAUGUUUUAUGUGGCUGCUAUGGGUAUCUAGCAAGAACGAUUCUUACCUAUGCAAACCCACAAGGUGAUAUGCAAGUUGCUAUUUAACAUUCUACAAGGACCUCGGUUGUCAAAUUUGAUUCAACUAAGGUGAGAGAGACAGACACCCGCCAGCCAUAUUUAUGCAACAAAGUCACUUGUCUGUCGAUGGAACCGGUCUCAUGUACGUGGACAUGUAAGGUUGGUUCGGGACGCUUCAUCCCACAAUACCGCCGAAUCAAGAAAAGACCAAGGAAGGAAGAAAAUCUGAAUAUCAACACCCAUAAACUCCUUUGUGUUCUACUCGUGAUGUCAUCUACGCAUAGGCUUAGCUCUGAUACCACUGUUGAGGAACAUUGCAUGGGAAACAAAAAAAAAUCCUACGCUCACCAAAAUCAAUCUAGGAGAUGGACAUCUAUGAGAGGAUAUAUUGCAUCUACAUACCCUUGUAGAUCGCUAAGCGGAAGCAUUAAAAAUGCGGUUGAUGUAGUUGAACGUCUUCGCGAUCCAAUCAUGAUCCGUCCCGCGAAAUCCCGAUCUAGUGCCGAACGGACGGCACCUCCGUGUUCAACACAAGUAUGGCUUGAUGAUGCCUUCACCUCCUCAAUCCAGCGAGCGAUGGUGAAGUAGUAGCUCGAGUCCUCCGGCAACAAGACGGCGUGAUUGUGGUGGUAGUGGAGAAAUCUCAGCUGAGCUUCGCCAAGAACUACUGAGAAGAAGAUGGACUACGAGGGAGGGGAGGAGCAGCGCGUGGCACCAAUAGAUCUGUAUGGGUGCGUCUUCCCUCUCUCCACCUCUCUAUAUAUAGGGGGCAGAGGAGGAGGGGCACCCCUAGAUCCAAUCUAGGGCGGCGGCCAACAAGGGGAAACCCUAGAUGGGUUUUGCCCCCCCCCAUCCCUUAGGUGACUUGCCCCCCAAGGCAAAGGGGUGGGACGCCCUAGGGAGGCGCCCCACCUCCUCUGACAACGUGGGAAGGGGGCUUGGGAGUCGCACAUACCCUUAGUGUGCUGGUGUGCUCCCUCCCCUUGGCCCAUGAAGCCCCUCAACAGUUGUCGGGGCCCCCCGAAACACCUUUUGGUCAUGCUGGUCAUCAUCCGCUACCCUCGGAACACUUUCGGACUCCACUACCCUUCGUCCAAUAUAUAAAUCUUCACCUCCAGACCAUUCCGGAGUUCCUUGUCAUCUCCAGGAUCUCAUCCAGGACUCCAAACUACCUUCGGUAACCACCUUAAUGACUCAAUUAUACUUAUAUCGUCACCAAACAUUAAGUGUGUAGACCCUGCGGGUUCGAAAACUAUGCAGACAUGACCGAGACACGUCUACGGUCAAUAACUAAUAGCGGGACCUAGAUGCCCAUAUUAGCUCCUACAUAUUCUACAAAGAUCUCUAUCGGUCGAACCUCGAUGUCAAGGAUUCAGCUAAUCCCGUAUGUGGUUCCCUUUGUUUAUCAGUAUGUUACUUGCCAGAGAUUCGAUCGUCGGUACCUCCAUACCAAGUUCAAUCUCGUUACAGGCAAGUCUCUUUACUCAUUCCAUAAUACAAGAUCUCAUGACUAACUCCUUAGUCACAUUGCUUGCAAGCUUCCAAUGAUGUUGUAUUACAGAGAGGGCCCAGAGAUACCUCUCCGUCAUAUGGAGUGAUAAAUCCCAAUCUUGAUCCAUGCCAACUCAACAGACAGCCUCGAAGAUACGUAUAGAGCACCUUUAUAGUCACCCAGUUACGUUGCAACAUUUGGUACACACAAGGUACUCCUCUAGUGUCAGUGAGUUGCAUGAUCUCAUGGUCAUAGGAACAUAUACGUGACAUGCAGAAAACGAUAGCCAUAAACUUGACACGAUCAUAUGCUAUGUUUAUAGUUUGACAUAUAAUGAUGUGAUCCCGUUAUAAAAUGACAACUCAUGUCUAUGGAUAGGAAACCAUAGCCAUCUUUGAUCAACGAGCUAGUCUAGUAGAGCCUCACUAGGGACACGUUGUUGUCUAUGUAUCCACACAUGUAUCUGAGUUUUCGAUCAAUACAAUUCUAGCAUGGAUAAUAAACUUUUAUCAUGAACAGGGAAAUAUGAUAAUAACUAAUUUAUUAUUGCCUCUAGGGCAUAUUUCCAACACAUAAAGCUCCGGGACAUCAUGGAUCUGAAUCUAGAUAUCUAUUGUAUCCAGUUUGACCUUGGAAGGCUGGGUCACACCAUCAUAUGGGAUGAUGAUUACAUCAUGUCCUCUGAAGUUCCAUGGCCCCUCUUGCAUGACUCGUUCCCAAUCACCCAAGCAAUUUAAUUGCAAAGUGUAUAGAUUUUAUUCUGGUGGUCUGAAAUUCACCGGCUGUGCGAGAUCCCAAGCAGAUCGCAUAUUCCUGAAAAAACAACCUUGGAUGUAGCUCUUGUCGAUGUGUACCCGCGCCACUGACCUCCAUCUGGCAGCAUCCUUUGGCACUGCGGUCUCAUCAACUACCACGUCGUCCAUAUCAUCCUCUUGGAGAUCGAGCUCCGUCAUCAAUCUCUCUAUCUCCAUUGUGGACAAAGAGCAGCCAGACUCCACUGACUUGCCCCCAACUUCCGCAACCAUCUUCUCUUACCCGAUCUCGAAAGCACCGGGUAUGACAGGAAGGAACCCUAGCCCGAGCCUUCGUGACACAGAAAAGAUCCCCUAGAUCAGAUCGACGAGAGGGAAGAAGUUACGAUCUCAACGGCGGCCACGGGUGCCGCCGAGAGAAGCAAACCCUAACAUGGGGGAAGAAUUCUUUAGGCAGUCCAACUGCUCUAUAACUGGGCUAGCAAAAUAAAAAUAUUUCUAAGGGAAAAUAACUAACAUGUGAAAAAGGGCCGCCGUGACAGCAGCCCAUUUAAGACUUAUGUGCAUGCAUCAAAUGGUACUUGAUCUGUUCGCUAGCCCGGCAGGCUGUAGUCUCACAGGUCUUCUGUUAGAACCUGGGUGGCGCAAUAUUUUGCAUAUUAUCUUCCUCCUUGUAAUGUGUCCUGAUGGUUGGGGCCCAAUGGACACCUUCCAUUGUUUUGAGGAAAAAAACUUCAAGCGGCUUUUUCGUGAUAAAAAUAAAAUUUUAGGAGGGUUUUCGCAAAAAAAAAGUAAGGUAACAUGCCCUCGUCCCUGCCUCCUAUUCACUAAUGGGUGGGCCCUGCUCCAUGCUGGCACACCACAUCAGCACCCUGCACGUAUAGAAGCGUAGUUAGCACCAUAGAUGCACAUCCAAACCAAGUUCUGUCACCGGUUUAAUGUAUGCCGCAAGUUUUAGUAUAUAUAGGCAAAAUUGUGUCUAUCAUAACUUGCUGCAGACAUAGCUAUCGGAGCCACACCCGAGUGCUCUGUGAUUCGUGCAGGGAGGGAAGGAGGAUAAAUGUUGAGGGAUUUGAUGGAGAUUUUGUGGCUCGCGUGCCAGGGAAAGUACUGAGCUAUUGGGGUCCAUAUGCUGGUGGUCCGUCUGGCGCUAGCAGAUGGCAGUGGGUCUAACCACGUCAGAUGCCAUAUUUGACUGAAAGAUGUUUCCCACGUGACAGCCUAAAUUUCUCACUGAUUAAUUUGUUCCUCUACUAUUUCUGUGCUGCGCGGGUGCCCAUGAGGCCACCAUCUGGACGUCAUCGUCAAGUAGCACCAGCCAUUUUUUCUCUCCUGGUUGGUGCGUGUCAGCGUGUUUGGAUGAAUGAACAAGGCAAAGCGAAAUAGUAGUGAGUACAGUAGUACUAAUACAAGACUUGAGGGAAGCUCCACUAGUAGUUCAAGUCUAUACAGGGACCCAAAAAUAGUAUGUACACAUCUACACUUGAAACUCAUACAUCGUUAAGUUUAAACUUUAAAGGAAAAAAUAAACAUUGGACCCGUCGUUCGACCUCCUCGGAACUGGAAGGACCUCCUCGUGGAAAUAUUGGAACCGUCUUCAUGUAGGAACCGUCGUUCGACCUCCUCGGAACUAGAAGGACCUCCACGGAACCGUCAAAAUUAUACUUGGAACUGGAACAGAAUUUGCCACCUAUGCGGAACCGUCAAAACUAUACUCAGAACUGGAAUAGAAUUUGCAAAGGGAUGAACUCCCAUCUCCGUGGAACCGUCAAAAUUAUACAUGGAACUGGAAUACAAAUUGUGAAUGGCCGGCGUCCCACCUCCGCGGAACCAUCAAAAUUAUACUUGAAAGGACCGACGUUUCACCUCUGCGGAACCGUCAAAACUAUACUUGCAAGUAGAAUAGAAUUUGCGAAGGGCCGACGUCCCACCUCCGUGGAACCGUCAAAACUAUAGUUGAAACUGGAAUACAAUUUGUGAAGAGUCAACGUCUCACCUCAAAUGAACCAUCAAAAUUAUACUUGGAUCUGGAAUAAAAUUUGCGAUGGCCGACAUCUCACGGUCUCACCUUUGCCGAUUUUGUUGAUAAAUAUCACUAGUUAAAUCCUUAUCUAAGGCCGUUUUUUUAAUUUGUUUUUUGGGAAAAUUAAACGAAAUAGUGCUAUGGCAGUUUCCCUUAAAAAAACACUAUGGCAAGGAUGAAGUAGUGCAGAGUUUAGUGCUCCAUCGUGACAGACCAUACGAAUUAAUUAUAUGUUCCGCGCAUGCAAAGCUAUUUAGGUAAGCUAUAUCACGUGAUUGAAAAAAGGCAGGCUCACACAACGUGCACCUGCUGUCAGGCCCUACUCGACCCAACAGGCAGGAACCGGUAUGCAAGUUCAACGGACAGUGUGGAACCUCCAUUGCACACGCCCAUGACCGACGAGUUGGUCCAAGAGCGAGUCACCACCACAUGGGACAGGCCCUGUCAGUAUUCCUCUGUAAAGGUGUCAGCACGUGGGGCGGGCUACACCAUUCAAAAAUCUACAAAAGGAAAAGAAAAGGAACCGGACCACACUUCGGUUCGAAUCUUGAGGCAGAGUCCGACGGUUCUGAUAGCUAUUUCUACAGUAAGCUAUGAUAGAAAAUCCCUCUCCUACAGUAUAUGUGUNNNNNNNNNNNNNNNNNNNNNNNNNNNNNNNNNNNNNNNNNNNNNNNNNNNNNNNNNNNNNNNNNNNNNNNNNNNNNNNNNNNNNNNNNNNNNNNNNNNNNNNNNNNNNNNNNNNNNNNNNNNNNNNNNNNNNNNNNNNNNNNNNNNNNNNNNNNNNNNNNNNNNNNNNNNNNNNNNNNNNNNNNNNNNNNNNNNNNNNNNNNNNNNNNNNNNNNNNNNNNNNNNNNNNNNNNNNNNNNNNNNNNNNNNNNNNNNNNNNNNNNNNNNNNNNNNNNNNNNNNNNNNNNNNNNNNNNNNNNNNNNNNNNNNNNNNNNNNNNNNNNNNNNNNNNNNNNNNNNNNNNNNNNNNNNNNNNNNNNNNNNNNNNNNNNNNNNNNNNNNNNNNNNNNNNNNNNNNNNNNNNNNNNNNNNNNNNNNNNNNNNNNNNNNNNNNNNNNNNNNNNNNNNNNNNNNAUAUGGUAAUUAUUAUUAUUAUUAUUAUUAUAAGCAUUAACUCUCCACCUAUUAUGCCAAGGAUAUCACCUAUUUUUGCAAGGAAGAAUGUAAAGGGGAGCAUUGUUUCCGCUAUGGCCGUUGCCAUAUGUAAUUGAUGUUGUUGCGGGAGGGUAUGUGUGGUUCGGGGAAUAUAUGUGGAUUUACGAGCCGAAUAACCAAGAUGAGGAAAACUUGUUAAAAUGGAUAGAGAGGGAUUGAUAGAAUCGUUGUUGUAUUGCUUGAGCCUCGUGGGCAUAUAUAUAGGAGUACAUAAUCAUUUUCGAGUACAAGACAAGGUAGAAUAAUAUCCUAUGCUAUCAUAUCUUUCCUAACAAUCAAUAUACUCAACAUCCCCCGCAGUCACAAUGGUAGCAACGCAGACGGUGAGACUGGAGAAGAAUCCAAAGUGAAGCCGACGGAAACCACCCCACCCCCACAGUCGUAACGGUCGAUGCUUCGUGAAAGUCGUGGCUGGAGGGAAAACCGACAAGGUUGCUCAAGCAAGGUGGUAGCCCUUUGUGCCAUUUGUCGAUAUAGCCGAGGGCGUAUGGUGGUGUAGUCGUGGUCGAGCUAGCCGUGCGAAGAAUGCCGUGGUCGAUGUUGAGUCGUGGUGGCCGGUGUCGAGGAAGUCGCCAUGGAUCGGGAAGAAGAGCGGCGGCAGCGGCCUGAGGAGGAGGCGGCGGCUAGGUCAGAAGCGCGGCAGCGGUCCUCGAAGUAGGCGAGGAAGAACCCAACAGCGUGAUGAAGACCGGCACGGACGGCGGCGUUCCCACGCCUAAGGAGGUGGCGCGAAGCAUACCAUGUAGAAGUCGGCGCGCGGGGACGGCGGAGUGGACAGCGCGCCGUGACGCUACGGCCUGAAGAGGCGACGAGGCGGCAGGGCGCGAGUUGGGGCCGCGGGAAAGACCUCAGGACGGUUGCAGGGACCGCGUGCCAAGCUCACUACGGCUCGACGGAGUGACGCAAUGGCAGCGGGAGGGUGGGUGCAUCCUCGAGGACGGCCUGGAGCGGACGGCCUCGAGGCGGCGGUUAGCUGCGGACCACGGCACUACGGUCCGAAGGGGCGACGCAACGGCAUCACGCGGGUUGGUGCAACCACGUAAACGGCCUCACGGCGGCGGCGGGGACCAUGUGCCGUGGCGCUACGGCCCGAAGGGACGACGCAGCGAUGGCGUGGAUCGGUGCAACCACGGAAAGAACCACAAGGCGGCGACGCUGCGGUCCUAAGGGACGACGUAACUGCAACCUAUUGCUCGAUCGGUGAAGAGGGGUGUAAACAUGACGUUGUCUUCACUAAAUCAUGCGGAGACGUACAUCGGAUUAUCCAGACGACGGGACGUAAAAUAGUCCGCAUGGGAUGCAACAUGUACGGGCAGCCAGGAUGCACACAUCAUGCAUAAAACGGCCAUGCGGCAUGCAUUAAUGGGCAGCCAGUAGCACGCCUGUGCGGGGCGCGUGAGUAUGCACGCGACGCGGCCAGCCCGACAGGCCAGCGCGAGCGACCACCGUACCAGCGUACACGACGCGCGUGCGUAUGGCCCGAGGCCCCGUGUGGCAACCGAUUCUGUCGGGGAGCCGAUGAAGAUGCUGAUGAAAUAGACACGUGUUGUUGAUGACGAACGACGGCGGACGACGCAAACCAAUCUAUAAAUCGGAGAACCAAAAAGAAACAUCAAUCAAGUCGACCGACAUAAGAGAGAAACCCGGAUCAAGGGGUGGCGCGGUGCGGAAGCAGCGGCAGCUAGGGUUUAUGAUCGAGGUAAGGAUGAUACCAUGUUAGAAAGGAAUAGAAAAAUUGAUGAAAUCGUUGUUGUAUUGCUUGAGACUCGUGGACAUAUAUAUAUAGAAGUACAUGACCAUUUUGAAGUACAAGACAAGCUAAAAUAAUAUCCUGUGUUAUCCUAUUUUUGCGAACAAUCAAUAUACUCAACAAAACCAAACCGAUCCAAAAUUUCUGUUAGUUCUGGUAUAUGGUGGUAUAGGAUUUAGAAAUGAUAUUUAACUUUGGUUAUAAACCAAGAAAAUCAGUAAAAUGAAAAGAACACAGAUUGCACACAUCCCAUUUCACAUAUUAGGCCCAGCCCACCAUGCGCCAUGUCGUGUUUUGCAUAGUUUUAAAAUUUUGGCAGUUUAGAUUUUCAGCGGCCCGUUCACUUGUCGACUGCUGGUUCGCUCGAUUCAUAGUAGAUUUGAUAGAAAAAAUACUAGUAAUUGUGUAAACUAAGAAAAAUCAUAUGGGAGGAAACUCUUUCGUUUGUAUGAUAAUUAGGGGGUGUUUGUUUUCAGGAACUUUUUGGUGUAGGGACUAGAAAAAGUUCCUCUUAAAGACUUUUUAACCAAACAGGAGGGACUACUAGGGACUAAAAGUUGCUUUUUGGGACUAAAUGAAGAAAACUCUUAAGGAGAGUCUUUUUUUGGGACUUUUUGAGACUUUUCCAACAAUGCCCCUCCCUGCACCCAUUGCCCCGCCGCCCCUAUGGUGUUGUUUGGUGUUAUUUUUCUGUAUACUAGGGGUAACAUGGUCAUUUAAUAACCUCUAGGGAGGGACUAGGGACUUUUUAGUCUCUGGAAACAAACAGGGAGUGACUUUUUAGGGACUAGUGACUUUUUAGUUGGGAUUAGAAAAAGUCCUAAGACUUAUGAACCAAGCAGGGCCUUAGGUAGCCGUGGGUGGUCAUUGAGGUUGAUGUCUACGGUUCGGCCUGUUUGCAAACAUAAUGGCUACGACGAUAUUUCAUCAUGAGAAUUUAGGAAGAAAAUAAGAUUGUUGCCUUAUUUUAAAGUUCAUGUCAAUUUUGUUUAUUUGGUAGUAUAUACUGAAACCACACCGAAUAAGAUGGUUACUGAAACCUAAUUGUGACAAAACUUGUAUCUAGUUUCCCAAUGUACUCCUUCCUCCAUUGAUCCGUGACUCCGAGAACGCAACCCCGCCGCCACCUAGAACUCCCCCAUCUGUGCUCCCCCUGCUGGAAUUUUGUCUAUUAUGGUCCAGCCCAAUAGCAGUUUCAGAAAUUCCUAAUAAAUCCUAGAGGCCCACGCAGCCCAUUCGUGCAAGGCAAGAGGUGGAACUAAAGUUUAGUCCCACAUUGCUAGUUUAGAGGGACUUACACCUGUUUAUAAGGGAGGUUCUUUUCCCACAUGUAUGAGCAUGAGAACAAGAGGGACAUCCAAGCGCGCUCCUCCUCCGCCGCCCACCUCGCCAUGCCACGCCUCGUCAUGACGUGCCGCGCCGCGGGUUGCGGGAAUGAGCCGAGUCGAUGUCUAAAUUUUUCCCACGCACUAUGGGUAUACAAAAGGUCAGACAGAAGCUGAAAAGAUUUUUGCGAUAGUGGAGUUUGAAUGCAAACGGUAUAGCCCUUCGACUGCUGGCUGUUCACUUCAUCUCCGUCUCUUUGUUUCACCUCCCGUCGCUGCCCUCUCGCCUCCUUCUCUUGCGCCUAUAGAAGGGAGGUCGCUCCUCUGAGAGAGACGCACCAGAACUACUUCUUCCUCUCGCCACUGGUUUCUGAGCACUGCGCUGCUCCUACGAUGUUCCCAAUCCCGGCUCGCGGCGUGCACCGUAGGUCGGGACAGUAGGCCUCCAAAACCUCACCUUUUGUGUCCUAUACGGGAGAAGGGUGAUAUGGUUUUUGGGGAGCGCUCAGCGCGACUACUGACUUCUUCGUCACGGACUCCGAUGACUACUUCCCCGACGACGACUUCUUCCCUGACGUUGACAACCUCCUCGACGACGUGGCUGGCGAGGACACCGACUCCAAGUCCAGUGCUACCGCUGCUGUUGUUCGGUACGUGUUCUUACUCUUUCUAUUAGAGGUCCCGCUACAGUUUCUUGUUCUACUAUUUGUCCUAGAUAUGUUAGACUCUAUUUCAUAUAUGCAACUUGCUAUGCUAUCCGCUCUAGAUAUGUUUAGUUACGGUUCAUAUAUGAAGAUGUUGUUUACCUUCUCUUUGUCAAAUCGCAUGGCUUGUUUUAUCACUUCUAUACUAGUCAUGCUUUAUCUAGUAUUUCUGUUAAUAAAAUCAUUCAGUAAAUUGCUCAUAUCUCCAACAAUCCAAAAACCUUAUUAUAGGCAAUUUACCCCAAGUGGUUUUGCUGCUUCCAUGAGACCUCCUAUGUUUGAGGGUAUCCACUAUAAGAGGUGGCGCAUGAGAGUAGUCUUAUGGUUUUAAACCAUGAGUUGCUAUGACGCCCCUCUUGGUAAACCUGAAGGAGAGCAAGAUGCUCAACAGGCACAAGCUUUUCAGAAAAUGGAUACCUUUUUUAAGGCUGCUCUCUUGAGUGUUCAUGGUGAGAACAUAGUUGAUGCUUAUGCGUCAAUUGAUAAUGGAAAAGAUAUGUGGGACGUACUCGAGGCCAAAUUUGGGGUUUCGGAUGCUGGCACUAAGCUGUACAUCAUGGAGCAAUUCUAUGACUACAGGAUGACUGAAGAGCUCUCCGUGGUUGAGCAAGCUCAUGAGAUACAGUCAUUUGCUAGAGAACUUGAGCACUUCAAUUGUAUCCUACCGGACAAGUUUAUUGUCGGAGGUAUCAUCACUACGUUUCCUCCCACUUGGAGGAACUUUGCUACCUCACUGAAGCAUAAGAGGCAGGAGUUUUCCAUUACGGAUCUCAUUGGUACUCUUGAUGUGGAAGAAAAGGCGAGAGCAAAGGACAACCGUGCUCGAGGUAUUGAGGGAGGUUCUAGUGCCAAUCUGGUACAGAAGAAGAACUUCCAGCCCCACAAGUUCAAGAACAAGGGCAAGUUUGAUGGUAAAGCAAAGUUUGAUGGGAAGAACAAGGUUGUGCAGCACACGAACUUCAAGAAGAAGAAUGACAAGAAGAAAGGUGUUUGUCAUGUGUGUGGGGAUCCUGAUCAUUGGGCUCCUAGUUGCCCUAAUCGCUAUGACAAGCGUUAUCCUAGGAAAGGCGGCAAGACCGCUAAUGUUGUCAUUGGAUACAAUGACAUGAAGGAUGAUGGGUAUGGUAUAUUUCUCACUAUUCUUUCAGUAUGUCAUUCUCCUAAUUGGUUGAUUAACACGGGUGCUAAUGUGCAUAUAUGCGGUGAUAUUUCCAUGUUUUCAUCUUAUCAGACCGCAGGGACUUCAACCGUGCUGAUGGGCAAUGGUUCAAGUGCUUUUGUUCGUGGUGUUGGCACGGUCGAUCUGAAGUUUACUUCGGAGAAGAUCGUGCGGCUGAAGAACGUGCUUUAUGUCCCCUCCGUCAAUAAAAAUCUUGUUAGCGGAUCUCUUCUGUGUAGAGAUGGCUACAAGCUUGUCUUUGAGUUGAAUAAAUUUGUAAUUUCCAAGUAUGGAACCUUUGUUGGUAAAGGCUAUGAGUCAGGAGGCCUAUUUUGUUUAUCCUUAUCGGACGUUUGCAAUAAAGUUGUUAAUCACGUUUGCAACAAUAGUGAAUCAAAUGUGUGGCAUUCACAUAUCUGUCAUGUUAACUUUAGUUUCAUGUCGCGACUAGCAAAGUUAAACUUAAUCCCUAGUUUCACCACUGUCAAGGGAUCUAAGUGUCAAGUGUGUGUGCAAGCUAAGCAACCUCGUAAGUCUCAUGUGACUGCGGAAACGAGAAAUCUUGCACCAGUAGAGCUCAUACAUUCAGAUCUAUGUGAAAUGAAUUGUGUUUUGACAAAAAGUGGAAAGAAGUAUUUUAUGACGUUGAUUGAUGACUCCACUAGAUACUGCCAUGUGUAUCUUCUGAAAUCUAAGGAUGAGGCUUUGAACUACUUCAAGAUAUAUAAAGCUGAAGGGGAAAACCAACUUGAUCGAAAGAUCAAGAGGCUUAGGUCCGAUCGUGGUGGAGAGUAUUUCUCAAAUGAAUUUGAUUCCUUUUGUGUGGAACAUGGUAUAAUCCAUGAGAGGACGCCUCCCUAUUCACCUCAGUCAAAUGGGGUGGCCGAACGAAAGAAUCGUACUCUAACUGAUUUGGUUAACGCCAUGUUAGACACAUCGGGUCUCUCCAAAGGCAUGGUGGGGGGAGGCGAUAUUGACUGCAUGUCAUGUCCUAAACCAAGUUUCCACAAAGAACAAAGAGAUAACUCCAUUCGAGGAAUGGGAGAAGAAAAUUUUAAAGCUCUCUUAUCUACGAACCUGGGGUUGUUUGGCGAAAGUCAAUGUGCCAAUUCCAAAGAAGCGGAAGUUGGGACCAAAAACUGUGGAUUGUGUUUUCCUGGGAUAUGCUUUUCAUAGCAUUGGUUAUAGAUUCUUGGUUAUAAAAUUUGAGGUACCUGACAUGCAUGUCGGUACAAUCAUGGAGUUGAAUGAUGCGACUUUCUUUGAAGAUAUCUUUCCCAUGAAGGAUAUGGCUACCUCAUCUAAUCAGGAGAUGCCUAGUUCAUCGAAUCAGGAACCAGUUACAAUUACUGAACCUGCCAUUUCGAUGGAACACUUUGAAAGUCCUGUGGAGGAAAACAAUGAAGUUCCUACUAGGAGCAAGAGACAGAGGACUGCAAAGUCCUUUGGUGAUGAUUUUCUUGUGUAUCUCAUAGAUGACACUCCCAGUUCUAUUUCAGAGGCCUAUUCAUCUGAAGAUGCUGACUACUGGAAGGAAGCAGUUCGUAGCGAGAUGGAUUCCAUCUUGGUGAAUGAAAAUUGGGAGAUAAAUGAUUGUCCUUAUGGGUGCAAACCUAUAGGAUGCAAAUGGGUAUUCAAGAAGAAGCUUAGGCCUGAUGGUACUAUUGAAAAGUACAAGGCUUGGCUCGUGGCUAAGGGUUAUACCCAAAAGGAAGGUGAAGAGUUCUUUGAUACUUACUCACCUAUGGCUCGACUGACCACUAUUCGAGUUCUACUUCACUAGCUACCUCACAUGGUUCAUCAAAUGGAUGUUAAGACUGCUUUCCUAAAUGGAGAGUUGGACGAGGAAAUUUAUAUGGAACAACCAGAUGGGUUUGUAACAGAUGGUCACCAAGGGAAAGUGUGCAAGUUGCUGAAGUCUUUGUAUGGACUCAAGCAAGCACCAAAACAGUGGCAUGAGAAGUUCGAAAGAACUUUAACAGCUGUAGGCUUUGUUGUGAACGAAGCUGAAAAAUGUGUGUACUAUCGCCAUGGUGGGGGCGAGAGAGUUACUUUGCUUGUAUGUUGAUGACAUACUGAUUUUCGGAACAAAUCUGAAUGUUAUUAAGGAGGUCAAGGAUUUCCUAUCUCGCUGCUUUGAGAUGAAGGAUUUAGGAGUGGCUGAUGUCAUUCUGAACAUCAAGUUGUUGAGAGACAAAGAUGGUGGGAUUACAUUGCUUCAAUCUCACUAUGUGGAAAAGAUCUUGAGUCGCUUUGGCUACAGUGACUACAAGCCCUCUCCAACACCAUAUGAUGCUAGUGUGCUGCUUCGAAAGAAUCGAAGAAUUACUAGAGACAAAUUGAAUUAUUCUCAGAUUAUUGGCUCGCUUAUGUAUUUAGCCAGUGCUACAAGACCUGACAUCUCUUUUGCUGUUAGCAAACUAAGCCGGUUUGUCUCAAAACCAGGAGAUGUGCAUUGGAAAGCUCUAGAGAGAAUUUUGCGUUAUUUGAAAGGCACUACGAAUUAUGGAAUUCACUACACUGGGCAUCCAAAGGUGCUUGAAGGGUAUAGUGACUCAAACUGGAUCUCAGAUGCUGAUGAGAUAAAGGCCACGAGCGGAUAUGUAUUCACUCAUGGAGGUGGCACUGUUUCUUGGAAGUCUUGCAAGCAGACCAUCUUAACGAGGUCAACAAUGGAAGCAGAACUCACAACACUAGAUACAGCUACGGUCGAAGCAGAUUGGCUUCACCGGUUGUUGAGAAACAUGUACCGGGUAUCCUUAUGAACUGCGACAAUCAAACUGUGAUCACGAAAGUGAACAGCUCAAAGGAUAACAUGAAGUCAUCAAGACACGUUCAGAAAAGGUUAAAGUCUGUCAGAAAACUGAGAAACUCCGGAGUUAUUGCAUUGGAUUAUAUCCAAACGUCUAAAAAUCUGGCAGAUCCUUUCACUAAGGGUCUAUCACGUAAUGUGAUAGAUAAUGCAUCGAGGGAGAUGAGUAUGAGACCCACAAUAUGAGUUGUUCACAAUGGUAACCUAUUCUUUGUGAUCGGAGAUCCCGUGAAUUAGAUGUGGAAGACAAGUUGUUGGUCAACUGGGAGGAGAGUACCCUUACUGUUAAAAAUACCACUCCAUGAAGAUGCAAUACUCUCCUAAUCUGCAUGGCAGGUUGAUGUAUAUCUUAAUGUGUUCUAAGUAGCUCUUUGAAGCAGAGAUGUUGUCCUGCAGAACAUCUUUUGAAGAACGCACCUAUAUGAGUCUGAUUGUUAAACAUCGCAAUCUAUGAGAGUAGGGUUCUCUCUAGUAAACUCAUGAAAGGUCUCGAAGUAUGACGCAUAAGCUCCACCCGCGGGGAAGACCCACGGUAGCCACGUAUCGGUCAAGGCUUUGUGUGAAGUUAGAUUCGCAGAAAACUUGCAGUUAAAGGCCCAGUCCAUUUUCAAGUUGCUUACUAGUGUAGCAUAGAGUUCUAGGUGGAAGUUCAACUUAACAGCCUCCACUGCAGUACCGGUAUAUAAAACAGUGUUUUGGAACCAAAGGUAAAUUUUCUGUGCCUCUGGGAUCUGGUGGGGGAUUUCUAGAAUUUUGUCUAUUAUGGGCCAGCCCAAUAGCAGUUUCAGAGAUUCCUAAUAAAUCCUAGAGGCCCACGCAGCCCAUUCGUGCAAGGCAAGAGGUGGAACUGAAGUUUAGUCCCACAUUGCUAGUUUAGAGGGAGUUGGACCUGUUUAUAAGGGAGGUUCUUUCCCCACAUGUAUGAGCAUGAGAACAAGAGGGACAUCCACGCGCGCUCCUCCUCCGUCGUCCGCCUCGCUACGCCUCGUCGUGCCGCGCCGCGGGUUGCGGGAAUGAGCCGAGCCGAUGUCUAAAUGUUUGAGUCCUGUACGGGAGAAGGGUGAUAAGGUUUUUGGGGAGCGCUCAGCGCGACUACUGACUUCUUCGUCACGGACUCCGACAAUGACUUCCCCGACGACGACUUCUUCCCCGACGUCGACAACCUCCUCGAUGACAUGGCUGGCAAGGACACGGACACCAAGUCUAGUGCUACCGUUGCUGUUGUUUCGUACGUGUUCUUACUCUUUCUAUUAGAGGUCCUGCUACAGUUUCUUGUUCUACUAUUUGCCCUAGAUAUGUUAGACUCUAUUUCAUAUAUGCAACUUGCUAUGAUGUCCGCUCUAGAUAUGUUUAGUUACGAUUCAUAUAUGAAGAUGCAGUUUACCUUCUCUCUGUCAAAUUGCAUGGCUUGUUUUAUCGCUGCUAUACUAGUCAUGCUUUAUCUAGUAUUUCUGUUAAUAAAAUAAUUCGGUAAAUUGCUCAUAUUUCCAACACCCCCUCCACCAUUGCCGCCGACAUCUGCUUCGCGGUGGUGGGCUCCCGCUGCCAAACAGCGCUGGGGGCGGCUCCUUCUCGUGGUGGCGCUAGUGACUACUGGUCUUGGCUGGGGAUGGAGAUGGCGGCUCGCCUGCACGGGUAUGCCGGGGCGGCGGCCCCGGGGACGCGGAGGAGCGGUAGCGAGGAGGCUUGCGGUUCCCGACAUCGGGGUUAUGGGAUGGCCCCGUUUCUGGUGUCCGACCGACCCAGAUCCGGCGGAGGCGGUGGCUUCCAAGGCGGGUCUCCAUGUGUGGCGGGCAGGCUGGGGCGUGGCUGCUCUGGCUGGCAUCCGCGAGUCCGUGGUGGUGGCGGUGUGCCACGGAUUAAGGGUGGCAGCGCAGCGGCGGUGCUCGAGGUGGUGUGCUGGUAGCGGCGAGUUUGUCCGGAUCUGGGGCUGGACUAGUGGCGGAGGCUACUAUCAUGCUAAAUGUGACUCUUCUAGAUGCGGUGGUUAGUCUUCUCUUGCGGCUCCGGUGGGCGUUGGGUUCUUUGAUCUGGGUUGGGAGAAAUCCCUACUAUGAGACGAGGCUCACAACGGCAACGCCCGCGGGCGCCGUUCCCUUCCUUUUGUGUUGGACCUGAUCGGACUCCCUUCCCUGAGCUCGGGGAAACCCUUGUCUUGGUCUGGCCUCCGGACCGGACGGCGGCGGCGGUGUCAAGGUGUCGUUACCUUCUUGAAGGUGCCGUCUUGUUGCUCGAGGAGUCUCGUUGGUGUGGCUCGAGUCAGUCGGGUGCCACUUUGGGCAUGGGCCUCAUGGGCGCAAUGUACGCCAUCUCCGGUGCUCUCACGACAGUACCUUCCCUAGGUUCGCUCAGGCUCUGCCAUUCACUUGCCGAUUUUCUCUUGGCGCAAAUGGGUGGCGGUACGUUGGUAUGUGUUAGCCUUGGGUUUUGGUCUUGUUGUAGAGGUCUCGGCGUUGGUUGUGACAUGGGUUGAUUGCUCUAUGGCUUGCCUUGUUGUCAUUGGCAUGAGGUUGGACUAGGGAAACAUGUAUCAUAGUAGCCAGGGUGGGUGUGGGUGGUGGAUGUGGAGGCUAAUUCUCGUGAUUAACAUUGUAAUGGCUGGAAGGCCUUGUAUCCGGCUUCUUUGCCGCUUCUUCUUUAGUGUGAUGAUAGGCAUGUUUGUGCGUAUUCGAGAAAAAAAAUCCUAUGCACUUCAUCCUUAUGAUGUUAGAGCAGCACUGCAUGAACUUCAUUAGUAGUAUAAGCGUAGUUUAUUUGUCGCGCUGUGUGCUGUUGAGUUCAUGAACACUCUGCCACCAAACCUUAGGCCAACUCCACCGUGCGACCCUAUCCUGUCUGGCUCCGUCCGUUUGGGGUAAAAGGGACAAAAGAGGCGGCCCAGCGCACGGCCUCAAACGGACAAAUGUCCAGAUUCCGUCUGUUUUCGACCCAUCCCCGGCCCAAACUUGCGCUUGGUUUGGGGUGAAACGGACGCGCGCGGACGGCCGCAACGCACGCCCUUGUCCCCCCAUGGCUAGCCUGUCGGGGACACUAGCAGUCCCUCCACUCCCAAUGCUUCACCCUCUCUCCCGCCCCGCCCCGCCGCCGGCGCCGCCCCUAUUCUCCGGCCGCCUCCUCACAGCGUAGCCCCCCGCCGUCCAUACCAAACCACGUCUCGACAUGACCGCCACCACGCCCGCGCUUUCGCCGUAGUUUUGGUCGUCUAUCGGGGGAGGUUUGGCCGUCGCCGUCCUUGCCGGUGGCGGAGGGGACAUGACUGCCGGCGACGGACCACGACGGCCGAGGCAGAUUCCGACGAGAGCUCAAGAGCGGCCAGUAGCCGGCCGGCAACCACCCCUGCUGCGUUGAGGUGAUUAUCGCGGCCUCUUCGCCACCACGACCGCAAGGUGUUCGACCUUUUGCCAACAAAGGUAUGGACAGUGGAGACGAGUUUUUCUUUCAUCACUUCCUUUGUUCAUCGGAUGAUUUGUCGUCGGAUGAUGAAGAUCUUGUGGUUGCUGCACUGGUCGUUCACGACCAUAUUCAACGGCAGCUUCCUUGGUACAGGGGGUCACUCCCUGGCCGUGCUCCCAACCUGAACCGCAACAGGGAGAGAGGCCACGCCCUGCUCUAUGUCGAUUACUUUGCCAACACCCCGCUCUUCAAGCCGGAUAAAUUUCGUCGCCGUUUUCGUAUGGCAAGACAUGUGUUCAAUCGUAUCCGAGAGGGUGUGGUUGCUCAUGACCCAUACUUCGAGUGCAAUACGGAUGCCCUUGGCAAGCUUGGAUUCUCCUCUUACCAGAAAUGCACCGCGGCCAUCCGCAUGCUUGCAUAUGGUAUUCCAGGCGAUCUAGUGGACGAGUAUGUGUGUAUGAGUGAGACAACAUGUCUGAUGUCAAUGUACAAGUUUUGUCAGGCUGUGAUCGAGGUGUUUGGCCUAGAGUACUUGAGGCAGCCAACUGUCGCUGAUACAGAGAGAUUGUUGGCGACCAACACAGCUAGAGGCUUUCCAGGCAUGCUUGGCAGCAUAGAUUGUAUGCAUUGGGAGUGGAAGAACUGUCCAUUUGCUUGGCAGGGCCAGUACAAGGGGCAUGUUAACGGGUGCACUGUCAUAUUAGAAGCGGUGGCAUCGCAAGAUCUUUGGAUAUGGCAUUCUUUCUUCGGUAUGGCAGGUUCUCACAAUGAUAUCAACGUGCUGCAGCGUUCUCCAGUCUUCGCGAGGCUUGCAGAAGGCCACUCCCCACCUGUCAACUUUGAGAUCAAUGGCCACCAGUACAACAAGGGAUACUAUCUAGCAGAUGGUAUAUAUCCUCAGUGGUCAACUUUUGUGAAGACAAUCUCGAAACCCCAAGGUGAGAAGAGAAAGAGAUUUGCCCAAAUGCAAGAGAGUGUUAGAAAGGAUGUGGAAUGUGCUUUUGGUGUGCUUCAAUCCCGGUGGGUUAUCGUUCGAAACCCUGCACUGUCAUGGGAUGAAAGGAAGCUUUGUGAGGUGAUGACUGCUUGUGUGAUCAUGCACAACAUGAUCGUCGAGGACGAGCGUGAUGAGAGUAUCUUCGACCAAGGAUUUGAUUAUCAAGGUGAAAAUAUUGAGCCCCUGCACCAAGACCCGGCCACAUUUGAACAGUUUGUCCAAUUCCACCGUGAGAUGCGUGAUUGGCACACUCAUUUGAAUAUUCAAAAUGACUUGGUUGAGCACGUCUGGGAUCACAUUGGCAACCAAUAGAUGUAUUGGUCCAAUUUAUGUUCAGUCAAGACAAUUUCGAUUUGGUUGUAAAACUAUUUUAUUAAAGACAUUUUCAAUUGGGUUGUAAAACUAUUUUAAUUUUCAGACAAAUAUUUGGGUUGGAAACUAGUUUUGAUGCAAAUUUGAGCAUUUUUUGCCCUGACGGACAGGAUGGGGCAAAUGGAUGCGGUUGCGCGCUGUGCGCACGGCCACCGCAUCCCAGGACAGGCCCGGAUACGACCCUAAAUCCCUAUCCAAACGAAGAGAAACCGGACAAAACGAACGUCUGUUUGGGGUCGCGUGGUGGAGUUGGCCUUAUCCCGUGGCACCGCACCAGAAGCUAAGCUAGUGUAGUGCUAGUGCUUCUCCGAGCCAGCGUUGCACAGCUACGGUAGCCUGUCGCAGCAAGCAAGCAAGCGACCGAGGCAGGACCUUUCCGUGUACAAGUAGCCAGCAGCCUUGCUUUCUCUUCAGCGGGAACGAUCGAUGCGAGCCGUCAGUCCAUUUCCAAUCAAUGCUGCGUGCAAAGGAACACCCAAGUACGAAAAGUCCAUUCUGCACCCGAGCUCAUAUGCUCCCGCAUGAACAGUAAAAUCGAAACAAAAUCAAAAAAAAUUCAAAAAAUUCCAAUUUUUUUUGGGACAAACAUUGACAAAACUUCUAAGUGCCUGCAAAGAUUCGUCAUGAAAUCACAUUCCUAGAAGGCGUGGCAAAAAAAACAAAUUCAGUGCUUCAAAAUGCGUUUGAAAGUAGCUUUUUCAGAGUAGUUUUUUUGUUUUUUUUGCCACGCCUUCUAGGAAUGUGAUUUCACAACGAAUUUUUGCAGGCACUUAGAACUUUUGUCAAUGUUUCACUCAAAAAUAAUUUGGAAUUUUUUGAAUUUUUUUUAAAAAAAAUUCGAUUUUACUGUUCAUGCAGGAGCAUAUGAGCUCGGGUGCAGAUUAGCCGCGUCCCACCCAAGUACUACUACUUACUACUGAUAGCAAGUGGGUGUACGUGCACAGUACACUCCACCGCACCAUGCAAGAUCCACUCAUGCGUGUCUGCGUUCUCAGCUGGUGGUGACUCUGCUGCUAAAGAAGAUAGUAGCAUUCAGAAGAAGCUGGCAGUCUCUCUCAGUCGGUGUCGAGCAUGGCAUCGCAUCGGCAAUGGCCGUUCGCGUCACAUCGCGCGCUCCCCUUCUCCUGCCUCCCAAGCCAAACCCAGAAAAGGGAAAAGCUACACCGUCCAAGUUGAUAUAGGAGCAGCGGCCGGCAAUGCUAGCUAGACGGAUGGAUCGGCGCCGGUGAGACAAGCACCGAGGCGUUUCCGUUUUGUCACCUCGCCGGUGGCCGAGGCAGAAAAGCCACCGUACCGUACUACUAGUUGGUGUCUGAUGUCUCUAGCUCGGCCGGCCUAGCUAGGUACCAGCAGCAGCUUGAAUUGAUUGAUCCAUGGAGCAUCCAGAUGAUGCGCGUGAAACUACUAGCGCUAAGACAUUUCAAUUUCUUCACCUCUCGCCAGUGGCACGGCGUGGAAAGGCACCGCUGCUGCACACACGAUAGUUACUAGCACUAGGAGCUACGUACACGCCUCGCUCCAUGUGCAGUGGUGCGGCGCAACUGUAAAGCACCGGCAUAUACUCAGAAUUUGUUGCAAUGUCCGCUAUAAAAGGCUCCCGCGCCUUCUUCGCUUCUCCUGCAUUCACAAGUCACAGCUCACGAUUCUGCAAACCAUCAACAAGAAGAGGCUCCAUCACAUCUAGCCAGCUAGCCAAAGACGAUGAGGCCGAACGCCCUGACGCUGCCGCUACCUCUCGCCUUCCUCCUCCUCCUCCUCCUCCUCGUGCUAGCACCAGGUACGUGCCCAUUCGUCCAUGUAAUGCCUACGUUGCUUCACAAAUUAAAUGUAUAGUGUAGCUACAAAUUAAUCUGCGGCCAUGCAUGCAUGGUUUUUAUAUCCCACUAAUUCUCUUCUUCUUCUUUGCUACAGCUAAGGCGAGAGAUGAUUGUACAAGCCAUAUAUAUCAUCGGGUGCAAGAACAAACCCGAGCCGCCUUGUCCGUGCGACCGCGCGGAGUGUAGCUUCGACAGCCGUGUAGCGUUCGCUCAGCUUGGGUGCCCGAAAGAUGCGACCAGAUGCACUUGGACAGGACAGUGCAUCAACCGGGGGUGCAACUUCACCUACUGCGUAUAUAGAUAAGAUAGGUGGGCAUGUCGACCUGAUAAAAUAACAAAGAUGAUAUCAUAGAUGGCAAUGCAGUAUGUAGUUCUGUUCGCUGCAAAGUGAUGUACCUAAAUGGUGAAUUAUUUACAUGCCUACCAUGGAUAUGUCUCGUUUAUCAUAUUAUCCAGAAAUAAAAA
rnacentral:lncRNA from 1 species